rnacentral:lncRNA from 1 species
AAGAAUGCUGUCAAGAGCUGUGUGAAGACUGUGGCUAGGAAGAUACUGAGCACCGAUAACAAUGGCCAUCUCCACAACGCACGCUUCUGCGAGAAGGACCUUCUGCUCACAAUCGACCGUGAUGCGGUGUUUGCGUACGCAGAUGAUCCUUGUAGCGCCAACUACCCACUCAUGCAGAAGAUGCGUGCAGUUCUUGUCGAGCAUGCCUUGGCAAAUGGUGAGGCUGAGCACGACAUGGAGACGUCAGUGUUUGCCAAACUUGCCAUGUUCGAGCAGGAGCUUCGGGCAGUGCUGCCAAAGGAGGUUGAGGCUGCCAGGACCGCUGUGGAGAAUGGCACUGCCGCACAACAAAACCGUAUUGCCGAAUGCCGGUCAUACCCGCUCUACCGAUUCGUGCGCAAGGAGCUUGGAACAGAGUACUUGACUGGAGAGAAGACGCGGUCCCCUGGCGAAGAGGUGGACAAGGUGUUCAUUGCCAUGAACCAGGGCAAGCACAUCGAUGCGCUGCUUGAGUGCCUCAAGGAGUGGAACGGCGAGCCACUGCCUAUCUGCUAAAUAGAGGAUCAAGAAAGUGAAGAGUAAUGUGCUUCAGAUUUCUGAAGGCUCUUAUGAUAAUACUGUUUUUUCAUUGUAUAUUCCAAAACUUGAUGUUUACAAUGUUCUUCUAGAGCUGCCAAUGUAUUGCCAAAGAUUGCAAUUGCAUGACUUGGUAGUGUUGGGUAGCCAGUAGAACUUUUAUGAUGUACGCAAGUUCAAAGGGCAGAGUGUGUGUUAAAUUUUCGUGAUAAAUCUACUGGUUCCAUUUUUUGGGAUUAACCGGUCCUCGUGACGAUAGUCCAAGAACCAACUAUUGAAAUUUCUUAUGGUGUGUGUACGACGAUUCAGAAAAUAAAAUUCAUGCUUAGGUGGUCACCGGUCAGUAAUAAGUUCUUUGAAUUCUCUGAAUGGGGACGAGGGCUUCUCUGAAUUCCCAAUCUCCCAUCUAGUUUUUGUUGUUUCAGUAUUCUACUUACUAAUUUUGAGUCUGGAUUUCUAUGGAGGGACACAAUGAUGUUUAACUUGGUGUUCUUCAACUACCAUACCACCGCAUACCUGUGAGUACCACUGUAUACCUAUAAAUCCUUUUCAUUAUUAUUAAUUCACUAAUGAUCACAGCCCAUAACACAGGGUACAUACACAUGAAGUUUCUUUGUGCUUCUGAACAUUGCACUAUUUUUCAGUUCUAGCCAUAAAUAGGCAUGAAAUGUAUAUGAAGAUUGUAAGGUUGCUCACCCAUGUGGCGCGUAUUUGUAUUCUACUCCCUUUGGUGUUCUUUAAUGAGUCAGUAUCACUUGGAGUCAUAUAACUUGCGCUCGAUGUUCAGUUUGGUUCUAAAACUUGUAAAAUACGAAAUUGUGGUCACAUAACUUGUCCCCGCGUUUGAAUACGGUGCUUCCUCAUGUAUCCGAACGUAUGGCCUGCACAUGUGGCCUGCCAGCGAGGCAUAGGCCCACCUGUCAAUGGAUGGAAACAUUUUUCUACACGUAACUCCUAUGCAUUUCAUUUAUUUACGUACAAAAUCGGUCAAUUAAAAUAAAAAAUAAAGAUGCUGCUGGUGUGGACUGAUACAACGAUCCCCUGCUAGCCGCCUAGCAUGGACAACCACCAGGCCAAUGGUGGUUCACGUUUAACUUUCACAACGAUCCCCUGCUAACCAACCAAGCAUGAUGACGCUUGAAUAUAAAGGGACCCAAACCUUUUGUUAUUCAAUAUUAUUAUUUUUAUGUAAAAAACUUAUAUUCUUUAAUUAAAAAAUUUAACAAAUUAUAUUCUGAUGUAUCUUGUGUUUACUUUAUGUUGCCUUUGCAUUUACAUUGUUUAUAUAUCCUUUUAGUAAUUGCAGGCUUAGUAUACGUAUCGUCACUUAGCUAAAGAUAGACUUGGUUUUAUUUUCGUAGAGAUAAAUAUAGAUAAAAGUGCUAUGUGUUGUAUAGUUUCAAGAUUAAGAGCCCCAAGUCCAGCCAACUAUAUAUAAAAUUUCUUUUGUGGGGAACUUAUUUUUAGAAGUUAGUUUCUGUGCACAAAUUUGUAGUCUUAGUCACCCACUUAUUAUCUAGGGAUAAGUGCAAUUCAACCUAAAUAUAGUAAGUAACCUUAAACUACCUCACAAUGAAAAGUUUCACCAUUAUGAAAGAAAAACCUUUAAAAAUUCAUAAAUUUAGUUUGGAUGGACACGACAUAAGAACUGACAACAUAAAUAUAUUUUUUACCACAUGACACACGUGGUAAGCAAUCCAAAAUAUUCAAAAAAUAUAUUUGUGAGGACUGACAACAUAAUGUUAUUUAUCCUAUUAAAUCACAAAGUGUAACAUGGUCUGGUGAUUAGCCCACGCACACGCGAUGUUCAACCAGGAGGUCACAUGUUCAAAUUGAUUUUGUCAGUUUUUUGUUUAAAUUUAAUUUCAUUUGUAUGGCGCCAUUGUGGGUUCGAAUCCCACUCGCUACAAUUUUUUUAUUUGACGAUUUUGUACGUGAAUAAAUAAAAUGCACAUCAGUUAUCUGCAAAAAGACUUUUCCAGCCACUAACAGGUGGACCUACGUCGCGCUGACAGGUCACAUGUGUAGGCCAUACACCCCAUACGAGCGGAAGCACCGUAUUUGCACGCUAAGGCAAGUUACGUGACCACAAUUCCGUAUUUUACAAGUUUUAGAACCAAACUGAACAUCGAGCGCAAGUUCUAUGACUUCCAGUGAUAUUACCUCUUCUUUAAUCUACAUGCAUCAACAGCUCUACGCAUACAUUGACCAUACACGAGACGUGUAUGUAUGUCCCUUUGCACCGGCCACCGUACCCUGCCAACUAACGCGUCUGUGUUCGAUGAAAUGAAGGUGUCAACCAGCUGUGUCCUAAUCUCGAACUCAAUUUGUGUUGGAUGAAAUGAAGAUGUCAACCAGCUGUGUCCUAAUCUCGAACUCAGUAGGAGAAACAGAAAGGAGUCAAGUGGUCAUCUUCAAACCGUGUUUUUUUUUUCAUUGUAUUUCCUUAUUCAAUCUCAAAAAGAAAUUGUAUUUCCUUAAAAGUCGGUGUUUUAUAAUCUUCCUAUAAAGCUGCUAGUUUGUUGCCAAAAAAUGCAAUAUGGCAAAGUCUUUGUUGACGCUAAAACCCCGCCCUCAUGUGGCAAAGAACCCUCUCAUAUAUUAUUAAGAUUUGAGGAGAAAUUGAGGGAGUAAUAUUUUUAGGGGUGCAAUUAUAGUUGGUAGGAUUCUUAAGCACACUCAACACAUGCAGUUGUUCGUUCAAGGGGAAAAAUGCAGUUGUUCAUGAAAUCUGAAUUUUGACCAAUAUUAGUAAGUCAAUGGUCAACAACUUGAAUGCUGAUGAUUUGGUGGUGGAGUUGUUGGCAAUUAUAGGUCAAGUCGAAUAUUAACAUCCUCGCAGAACAAGUCUAGCGUCAACAAAGAUGAGGUCAAAAUUAGGCAAUUGCCGGUCUUACGUCCUUAGCACCCAUGGUGCGAGAAUGUUUCAGGAAGAAAAUUGUGGAUAUUCCCUGAUUAGCAUGGGCGUUGAUGUUCAACUUAAUUUAAGCCAACAACCAAAUGGUUUCAAAAUAUAUAGUUUAUAACUGAAGAUCACUGAAAACGUCUAGCUGUAAUAAUUUUGAGGAAUUUGCAUGUUGUUUCGCUCCAGUGGGAACAUGGGGGCAAACAGCCAGUCUAACUAACUUCACUGAAACCGCGAUAUCACGGAGUGAACUUUAUUCAGCCUGAACUUGCACGGAUGUAAAUUACAUUUGAAUUAACCUAAACUGCUUCACUCGUUCGGGAGAAACUGAUUGCACAACUCGAGUGUCGACGUGCAUUUUCUUCUCCAGAGAAUCACAUGCAGUGUGAUCAUACUGAGCAUACUGAUACAAGCCGGCGUUCUUGUCCUUGCGAGUCGUGGGAUCAGGUCCUCGACGAUCUCUUUCUAUAGACUGAAGCUCAAACAAGAUUGUGCACAUGUAUGCACGCAUUCGACCGACCUGUUUUUGUAAGAGCUGGCCAAUUGGCUAUGGAAAGUACGCUCCGUCGCACGACCAAUCACUUGACCACCCACACGAAUCUGGUGGACACAACGAUGUAAACUUCACCAUCAGUAAUUUCAAGGAAGCAAUUUCUGUGGCAUGCGUGGUCACGGUGUCGCGUCGGUGUGCACGCGGUGACCGACCAGGAAAGGCCGGGCGCAGGACCAGUGGACACCGGCCGGUUCCUCUCCGAUGGAACAACCGGAAUUGAGGCUCAGGCGACAGGGCACAUGCCGCGUUGGCGUGCAAACGCGCGCAAUGAAGCCCGAUCUCCGUACCUGACCCAUCACUGAUUAGGACGCCACAUGCUGCAGUCGGACUCUCUCCGCAGUCGGACUCUCUCUUUGCAGUGUACUGCUGAGAUUCCAGAAUAUCUGGUCGACACAAGUCAAGUCUGUCCAGUCAAGUGUGCACUGAGGAGCAAAACUUCACACCGGAGGACCGGCAGUAUGCAUCAGAAUGGCUUCACAUUCAGACCGUCAUUUACUCAUUUGGAGAUGCAAUUGCAAGGACGACCAAGACGGGAACAAAAGCGGGUUUCCAGAUCUUGAGACGAAGCUUCAAUAUAUCAAGUGGAGCUGAUAAUAAAGGAAUCAACAAAUCCACGUGAUUCUCAUCACCGGCGUGUUUCCGUCGCGGGACUCCGUGACUGACUGACCGUGGGAGGACUGAUCGGUAGACUAAUUAAUCCUUAGGAAAGCAGCAGGAUAAGGAUACAAAAAUACUCGAGAUCAUGAUCGAGUUUAAGCCCCAUUUAACCAUGUGUGCUUGGUUACUUUAAAAUAGUAUAGUACGUGGGGUUCUUCACACCCCAAAGCAGAGCAGAGCACUAGUGGCCUAGUGAUCAGAUAACCACUCCGGUUGUCCAUAGCACAACUCCACUUUCUUUAGCUAAACAAAACCUAGUAGCUCCUUUACGUUUAAAGAUCUCUUUUCUGGUAGUUCAUACAUGGUGCAUGCAGCCGCAUUGCUUCUUUUAAAUAUUUCAAUAUCGACGACAAAGAACAUGAUUUACAUGAGUACAGUCUGCACGUUCGUAACUUUAGUGCAGCGUUACCUCAAACAAAAAGCAAAAAGAAAAAGAAAAAAAACUCGGAGUGCAUGGUUACUCGAAUCAGACUAUCAAUUAGGAGGUAAUAGCAUGCAGCAUGUGCAUUUCAUGCGGUUGGUGUGAUGAAUAACUAAUUAACAAACAUGUAACAAACUAGGGCUUUCAUUUCUAAUAUUUAUUCAUAAUUUAAAUUCAUUCCUUGGUAAAUCUGCUUUCUCCUCCCCUUCACCUAUCUUCCUCUGCCCCCUCUCUUGAGAGUCGACCAGGGUUGCCCGGCCUGAUCCAACGGCUCGUUCGACGGCACUACCGACUGGUGAUGGCUAUGGAAAAGUGGUCAGGUCCUCCAUAUGCAUAUUAGGAUAGUAGAAGUCCUAGUAACUCUUGGCUUUAAGUUGUGGUUUGGCGCGAUAUGCCAGCCUCUAGCUUGUGAGUGGCGUUGUUUGUUGGUCNNNNNNNNNNNNNNNNNNNNNNNNNNNNNNNNNNNNNNNNNNNNNNNNNNNNNNNNNNNNNNNNNNNNNNNNNNNNNNNNNNNNNNNNNNNNNNNNNNNNNNNNNNNNNNNNNNNNNNNNNNNNNNNNNNNNNNNNNNNNNNNNNNNNNNNNNNNNNNNNNNNNNNNNNNNNNNNNNNNNNNNNNNNNNNNNNNNNNNNNNNNNNNNNNNNNNNNNNNNNNNNNNNNNNNNNNNNNNNNNNNNNNNNNNNNNNNNNNNNNNNNNNNNNNNNNNNNNNNNNNNNNNNNNNNNNNNNNNNNGGUAAGUGGUGAAUGACGAUGAUAUAGACCUGGAGUAGGGUCAUAGGCCUGACCUAUACGCCCUACCCAAGGUCACUACCCUAGAAGCAAAGAAGCCCAAGAGACAACAAGGAGUACCCAGUGAAGGAGUCGAGUGCAAUCCACUCGACCAAUCAUAUCACUCGGGUACCGCCUCCUUCCUGAUGUCACUCGACCAUACAAGAAACCACUCGACCUACUGAAGACCAGGAGUCACUCAGAACUGCAACGGUCAGGAGUUCUCCGUAGUCUUUAAGAUCAUUAAUAGCACUUAUGGCUGGCGUUAUCAGUAACACCCCGUCUUUAUGUACAUUGAACUCCUUGUAAUGGAGGAUGGCCGGGGUCCUGGCGCACUCUAUAUAAGCCACCCCCCUCCUCUGGCACAAGGGUUCGCACCCUCUGUAACACACACUCUCAUAAUCCAGUCGACCGCCUCAGGGCACCGAGACGUAGGGCUUUUACCUCCUCCGAGAGGGGCCUGAACUCGUAAACACUUGCGUACAAUCUCACCAUAGCUAGGACCUUGCCUCCUCAUUCGUACCCCCUAUACUUACUGUCAGACUUAGAACCACGACAGUUGGCGCCCACCUUGGGGCAAAGCGCCUUAGCGACUUCCGGCGAGGUUGCAUUUUUUUCGAUCUUCAUUAGCAUGGUUUCCAGCGGCGGUUUGGUCAUGGGCCGCGAGUUCCGACUCGGUGUGCUCACUUUCGUCGCCGACGACUCCGCCUGGCUCCAGGAGGGCCCCUCGAUGUUGAGGCCCUCCCGGCUCAUGGCUCGUCGCACUUCCACGCGAGUUCCUGCGGCGUCCUCCUUCGGCAGCCGUCUUCCCCGUGCCAAUCGGUCAUUGCGUCGUCCUCUCACUCUGCUGGACGCCACCGCAAGUGGUUUGGGCUUUGCGGCUCCAGCGGUGGGUGAGACACGCAGCGGCGCAGUGGGUGAGACACGCAGCGGCUCGUCAGGCGUUCACCCCCAAGUUGCGGCGAUCGAGCCCGACGUAUUUCCUUGCGGAUCGGUCGACCUAUCAACUGAUCUCAUAGAUACUUGUUCCGAGAGCGGGAGUUGUGACCCCGCGGCGGAGGACCUCAUGGUCGACUCCCGUCGCGGUCGGCCUAGUUUUCUUCACAGCGACGACGGCGUUAGAAGCGACGGCCCGUCAUUCGACCAUGAAGAGUAUCAGCCCCAACCUCAGCUCACAGUAAAUGGAGGAGCUGCAUCGCUGCAACGUGGAGACUCUCCAGACCCCCAUCAUAGGGGAAACCGCCGAGGCCCGGGCCUUGGAAGCAGUGCGCCUAGCCACUCUAGCUGAGCGCACUCGUUUGGAGACUCUCCAACAUUCUCUCAAUGAGCCAACGCGUCGAUUGAUCCGUGAGUCCAGUCGACGUCCACGGCAAUUGUUUCCACCGGAAACUCAGGUAUUCCGUACACCGAUUCAGAAUCUUGCAGCCGAUGCGCGUAUUGCGGAGUCCAUUCAGCCGUCCCGUUCGGAGGCUGGAAGAGGCUUGGAACAGAUCAGAACGCUGCUCCGAGCAGUAGGAGACCAGAACUCCGCUGUGUCCCAGUCGCGGAACAGAAUUCACAGCAGAUCAGUAAGAGCAGACACUGUUCAGUCGGCGCACAGUCCUAGGUCGCCUUUGAGGCAUGGAGGUCAUGACCACCGCCAGGAUCGGCACCUGGGAAGAGCUCAUGGAGAGUAUGACCGCGAGUACGCCCGCGACAACCACAGUCGAGCGCCUUCGCCCCUUCCGAGGGACGGGUCAUACGCGCCCCGGCGAUAUGAUGACAAGCGUUUGUAUGGGAAUGACCGCAGAGUUUCAGUCGACCCCAGGGAGCCCGGCUUCGACGCAAGGUCCGUCCUUGUGCAGGGUUUGGCCAACCGAAACAGAGCAUACAGAGAGGGGCUGGAUCGGGACAGACUCAGUGGUGGCAGAGUCCACGUUUUUGGCCCAGAGUGUUUCGGAAGAGCCAUCAGAGCCGAUGAGAUUCCUCAUAACUUUAGACUGGCGACUGGCGUCAGUAAGUUUAUAGGAGAGUCGAAGCUCGAUACUUGGCUUGAAGACUACCGAGUGGUUGUGCACAUUGGUGGCGGCAGCGACGAGGUGGCCGUGAAGCACCUUCCUCUAAUGCUUGAAGGUUCUGCCAGGGCUUGGCUGAAUCAGUUGGCCCUUGGGAGCAUUUUUAGUUGGGAUGAAUUAGCCCGAGUGUUCACCAGAACGUUUGAGGGUACUUGAAAGAGACUUGCUGGUCUACCGGAGUUACAACAUUGCGUGCAUAAACCAAAUGAAACCCUGAGACAUUAUAUCCAGAGAUGGAUCACUCUGCACCACAUAGUGGAGAAUGUGUCAGAUCACCAAGCAGUCUGUGCCUUCAAGGAAGGUGUUCGCUACAGAGAGCUCAAUCUGAAAUUCGGUCGGACUAGAGAUAUGUCUUUGACUCGGAUGAUGGAGAUUGCCACCAAGUACGCUAACGGUGAAGAGGAAGACCGACUCAGGAGUGGCAAGCACAAAACAGUCGCCUAGGACACUGGAGGAGGAAAUUCCAGUCAGAAGCAGAAGCGAAAGGCUGAGGCAGCAAGUCCUGCCGAGGCAGCAUUGUUGAAUCAAGGAAAGUUCAAAGGGAAACCCAAAGGGCCUUGGAUCCCUAAGAAAGUGAAGGACCAGGAAGGAAACGAUGUGAUGGAUUUGCCGUGUCAUAUUCAUACCAAGAAGGAUGAGGAGGGGAACCUGAUUCUCCCCAAGCAUACCACUCGACAAUGUCGACUCCUAAUCCAGAACUUCCAAGAGAGUAAACCCAGUGAUAAGGACAAAGAGUCUGAGAAGAAAGAAGAAGAUAAGGAGGAUGAUGGUGGUUACCCCAAUGUCAAUGCCACCUUGGUGAUUUUUGCCGAUAUCAAGAGCAAAAGUCGACUGAAGGUCAUUAACAGAGAGGUAAACAUGGUUGCUCCGGCAACACCAAGGUAUUUGAAGUGGUCAAAAAUCCCCAUUACAUUCGACCAGUCCGACCACCCGGCAUGCGUAGCUACCCCUGGGCGGCAAGCGCUGGUGGUCGACCCAGUCGUGGGAGGCACCCGACUGACCAAAGUUCUGAUGGAUGGUGGCAGUGGUCUGAAUAUUCUGUAUGCCGGGGCCCUCAAAGGAAUGGGCAUUCUGAUGUCCAAACUCAGCGAGAGCAACAUAAUGUUCCAUGGAAUCAUCCCAGGAAAGAAAGCCGAAUCACUCGGCCAGAUCACUCUUGACGUGGUUUUCGGCGAUGAAAAGAAUUUUCGCAAGGAAAAGUUGACGUUUGAGGUUGUGGAUAUCCAGAGUGCAUAUCAUGCCAUUCUGGGCAGACCUGCUUAUGCUAGCUUUAUGGCUCGACCGUGCUAUGUAUAUCUCAAGAUGAAGAUGCCUGGCCCCAGAGGCGUAAUAACGGUUUCCUGUAACCGUCAGAGAGCAAAAUAUUGUCUUCAAGAUGGGGCAAAGAUAGAAGAUAAGCAGAUGGCAGCAGUAGAGUUUCAAGAGUACCAGAAGACUGCAGAUCCGAGUGAUUUGCUGCGUGCUAAGAGGCCUGCCUCGGAGUCUGCAUUUCAGUCGGCCGGCGAGACCAAGCCAGUCCACGUUCACCUGACCGACCCCAAUGCUGCUCCGACCCAUAUCUCGAUGACACUCGACAGCAAAUAGGAAGAAGCGCUCAUCUAGUUCCUCCAUGAUAACUGGGACAUCUUUGCAUGGAAGCCAUUUGACCUGCUAGGUGUACCCAGGGAGCUGGCUGAGCACCGUUUGCAAGUUGACCCAAAAGUAAAACCUGUUAGGAGCAUUUCCAUCGGUCCGCCAGGGAGAAGAGAAAGGCCAUUGGCGAGGAGGUGGCUCGACUCCUGGCUACUGAGUUCAUCCGCGAGAUAUACCACUCCGAGUGGCUCGCCAAUGUUGUUAUGGUUCCCAAGAAAGACAAAUCACUCUAAUGUGUAUUGACUUCAAGCACAUCAAUUGGGCCUGCCCGAAAGAUCAUUUUCCUCUGCCCCGCAUCAACCAAAUAGUCAACUCAACUGCAGGAUGUGAGUGACUUUCCUUCCUGAACGCUUAUUCCGGGUACCAUCAGAUCCGACUAUAUGGACCCGAUGAGAUAAAGACGACUUUCAUCACCCCGUUCGGGUGUUUUUGCUAUGUCACUAUGCCCUUUGUCCUCAAGAAUGCUGGUGCUACAUUCAUGCGCAUGAUUCAGAAGUGCUUGCUCACUCAAAUCAGUCGGAAUAUGGAAGCAUACAUGGAUGACAUAGUGGUCAAGUCACGUGGUCAAGUCACACAAAGGUUCCACCUCCUGGCCGACCUCGCUGAAACCUCUGCCAACCUAAGGAGGUAUGAUAUCAAGCUCAAUCCAUCAAAAUGCACAUUCAGAGUCCCAGGCAGAAAGUUACUCGGUUUUCUCAACGAGGGAUCGACUCAAAUCCUGAGAAGAUUGGCACAAUCCUCCGAAUGAAACACCCAGUGCGUGUGCAUGAUGUUCAGAAGCUUACUGGUUGUUUGGCUGCAUUGAGCCGAUUUAUCUCACGCCUCGGUGAAAAGGCGCUGCCUCUUUACUGACUGCUGAAUAAGUCAGACAAGUUCGAGUGGAAUGACGAAGCUGAAGCAGCCUUUGAGGAGCUCAAAGCCCUACUUUCCACCCAGCCGGUGCUUACUGCUCCGGUUAGCAAGGAGCCUCUACUGCUUUACAUCGCAGCCACGGGACAAGUUGUCAGCACAGUGCUCACAAUCGAGCAGGAAGAAGAAGGCAAGGCCUUCAAAGUUCAGCGUCCCGUGUAUUACAUUUCAAAAGUCUUUGCCCCAUCCAAGCAGAGAUAUCCUCACUAUCAAAAGCUUGUUUAUGGGAUUUACCUGACCACGAAGAAGGUUGCACACUAUUUCUCUAAUCACUCAAUUUCAGUCGUAGCGACGCUCCAUUGACAGAGAUGCAACUGGUCAAGUGGCAAAGUGGGCGAUUGAACUUCUUCCUUUAGAUAUCAAAUUUGAGGCAAAGAAGGCCAUUAAGUCUCAAGCAAUUGCAGAUUUCCUCGCAGAGUGGACAGAACAACAACAACCGACUCAUAUUUAGUCGGAACAUUGGACCAUGUUCUUUGAUGGAUCCAAGAUGUUAAAUGGCUCUGCUGCAAGAGUGGUCUUAGUAUCCCCAUGAGGAGACAAGCUCAUUUAUGUCCUCCAGAUUCACUUUGAUUCUUCGAACAAUGAAGCUGAGUAUGAGGCACUAUUGUAUGGGUUGUGUCGUGGAACUGUCACGUCAGAUGUCCUAGUGUGAGGACUUAGUCGUGAGGCCAAUGCAACUUUUGUGGUAGCUUGAGAGGGAUUGAUCGGGACGAGAGAUGCAACACACAAGACGAGGAUUUAGACAGCUUCGGGCCCCGGGAAACAUCAUCCGGUAAUAGCCCUACAUGUUGGUUGUGGCUAGGUCUUAUUAUGAUCAUGAGGGAGACGCUGCAUAACUGGCUCUCCUCUAGUUGUGUCUAGCCUUAGCGAUUAUUUUCUUGCCUGUCCCUCUUGGGGUGCCCUGCCCCUCCUUAUAUAAGUUGAAGGGCGAGUUAUAUGUGGAGUCCUAUUAGGAUUAGGACUAGUCUAUUACAAGUGGAGUCCUAGUCUUGCUUCCUUUGUAAGGGAAUAUUCCUUACGCUUUCCUCUUAAGCCGGCCCAUCAUAACACAAGCCGGCCUUCUGGGCCUUGGGCCUAGUCUUCUAUCCGACCCGCCGUCGGAACCAUUAGUGUGUCGCCAGGCUAGUGAGUUAUCAGACCAGUGAGCCGCCAGACUCGUGAGUCGCUAAUCCUCCGGCGCGUUACUAAUGAAACGCCAAGUCCGGUCGGGUCAUACUUCCGCCGGGUCAUACCGCGGGGUAUAUCCCUGACAUUAGCCCCCAGUUUAAUUUGGAUUUAUCCAUGUUAAACUGAUCCUGUAAAAUAAACACAAGAACAAACUUGAUAGGUUGUGCUUCGGGUUAAAUAUUUUCCUGAACCGGCACCUGAUCAUCCUUAAGUCCUUGUCAUUUCCUCCUUCUGGAAAGUCCGGGUCAAUAGACCAACUUUAUAAUCAAUUUGCUUGUAGAAGAAAUAUUGUGAAUAAAGAAUCCAUUUGAGUCAGUCUUUAAUGCUCUGACUUAACAAAAAUAUUGGUCUUGAAAUACUCAUUUGAUUUUUAGCCAGAUUGAAGAUGUAUAAACUUGCCUAUUUAUGAUUACCAAAAUUGUCGGGUUAUAAAUAGAUGAUGCCAAGUCAUAAUUGUUGAAGAGAAUUUGAAGAUUUUUCUCCGUUAUAUGUAUAUCCCCUGUAUCCCCCCAAGUGCUGGGUUGUCAUGCUUGCAGCAACCUGGGACUUGUAAUUGCCUUAUGUUCAUAAAAACUUCAACCAUUGUAGCCCCCAAGGGUCGGGUCAUUAUGCAAUAAUAAGCAGGGAUUUUUGUAUAUAAUUCAUUAAUAAUAACAUCAUAUGAGGUAAUCUCCACCAUGUGGCUCGAACCCACGUCCACAAGGUUAAGAGCUUUGUACUCUACCAACUGAGUACUAGACCUUUCAACAUAAUAGAUGGUACCUUGAAUUUUUUACAGUAGCAAUUGGUAGCCCCCAAGGGCUGUCUCAUUACAAUGUGAUGAGUCGGAUCUUCAAUGAAGUGAGACAAAAAAAUGACUUUGCAUUAGCCCCCAAGUGCCAUGGUGCAUGCUGGCAGUGACAUGGGACUUGCAUAUUUGAUAUAAUCUCAAUCUAAAUAAUGUAGCCCCCAAGUGCCGGGUCGUAAGCCUACAGCGACUUGGGACUAUUCCUUACAUUGUAGAAUAAAUCAUAUCCAUUGAUAACAUAAUAGCCAUUGCGCCAAAGAGACUUUGAAUACCUUAUCUGUUGACAAGUAAAUCCGGAGUUUAAAUACCUGGCGGCUCUUGGCUGAUGGCGAUUUAAUACGCCUCCAUUGUAAGCCGGGAUUUUUAUAACCCGACGGCUUAUAGCCUUUGAGAAAAUCCAGAACGGAUAAUCAUUUUGAAGCAUCAAUUUUGAUAAUGAGCUUGAACUUAAUCAUUUAUAUAAGUCAUAUUUCUGCAAAUCCUGCACAGAGUUUAAACAACAUAUGCCCUGGUGAUUUAACGUCAAAGCCAGGGUGGGUAACAACCUAAACAUAAUAUAGUCUUUAUGCAAUUAUGGGAAAGACUAGGAUUAAGGCCAUUCAAGCCUAAACAUACUGGCGACUUAAUGUCAAAAGCCAGGGCGGGUUAUCCAACCUCACAUAUUUAUAUAAUCAGGAAAACAUUCAUGUAGAAAUUGGCUCAUACUGCCGACUUACAUCGCUGUAUCCAAUAAGGGCAAUAAUCCGAUGAUUGAUAAGCGCAUGAUUCGAAUGGCGCAAUCCAAAAAUACACCGGUGAAUUAAAGUCCAUAGCCACACUACAAAAAAAAGACACAUCCGUGACAUUUUGGGCCGAAUGAUUUUUUUUUCUGUCAUACAUAUGACACUUCUAUGACGAUAAUUGUGACAGAACCCGGUAUCAUAAUAGAUGUGGUGGGCUCCUACUUCUAUGACAAAAAAUCAUGACAGAAAAUGGCUUUUCGUCCUGGGCGGGCCGGAGACGCAUCUGCAUGACAUUCUUUAGGCCGUCCAUGACGGAAAAAACCGUGGUAGAAGCGAGGGGGAGGAAAAUUUCGGGGAGUUGCCGGUUACGGUGGGAGGUCGGGGGCCGAGGGAUGCACGUUUCUCUCGUACACGUACGCGCGUGUGUGCGAGGCGUUGGCUCUAGCUGAACCCGAGCGAGGCGUUGGGCUCUAACUGAACCCGAGCGAUUGCACUGCAGGCUACGCGUUACUGAACCCGAGCUAUUUAUCGAUGGCUGUUAACUGAGCCCGAUGGAGCAAUUCCUUUGCUGCUGCUGCUAACUGAAGCCGUUCGAUUGGAUGAACANNNNNNNNNNNNNNNNNNNNNNNNNNNNNNNNNNNNNNNNNNNNNNNNNNNNNNNNNNNNNNNNNNNNNNNNNNNNNNNNNNNNNNNNNNNNNNNNNNNNNNNNNNNNNNNNNNNNNNNNNNNNNNNNNNNNNNNNNNNNNNNNNNNNNNNNNNNNNNNNNNNNNNNNNNNNNNNNNNNNNNNNNNNNNNNNNNNNNNNNNNNNNNNNNNNNNNNNNNNNNNNNNNNNNNNNNNNNNNNNNNNNNNNNNNNNNNNNNNNNNNNNNNNNNNNNNNNNNNNNNNNNNNNNNNNNNNNNNNNNNNNNNNNNNNNNNNNNNNNNNNNNNNNNNNNNNNNNNNNNNNNNNNNNNNNNNNNNNNNNNNNNNNNNNNNNNNNNNNNNNNNNNNNNNNNNNNNNNNNNNNNNNNNNNNNNNNNNNNNNNNNNNNNNNNNNNNNNNNNNNNNNNNNNNNNNNNNNNNNNNNNNNNNNNNNNNNNNNNNNNNNNNNNNNNNNNNNNNNNNNNNNNNNNNNNNNNNNNNNNNNNNNNNNNNNNNNNNNNNNNNNNNNNNNNNNNNNNNNNNNUGGAGGCUGGAGGAGGUCGACGGUGGAAAUGAACAAUAUCUCGUGGAGUCCCGUUUUGCGGUACGCCACACCCCUCCCGAUGAACAGGACCCCCGUUUCGACCAUAGCGCUCCAACACAAGUCCGUUUCGUCCGUUUUGCGGUACGCCACACCCCUCCCGAUCAACAGGACCCCAGUUUCGAUCGUAGGAGGUCCGUUUCCUCCAUUUUGCGGUAGGCCACACCCCUCCAAAUCAACAGGACCCCGUUCCGGACGUGGCCGGUCGAACACAAGGCCGUUUCCUCCCUUCUGCGGUACGCCAGGCCUCGUUUCCAUCGCCUGUUCCGUCCAAGCCGGUUGGCUCCCACGCGUUCCGUUGCCUCCCGAUGAACACGAGCAUUCUGUUGCCUCCCCAUGAACACGACGACGACGCUAUUUCUCCAUUCCGACCCAGCCAUGUACACGAGCCCUCGCCGUACGUAUGCGCGAGUAGGCGUUCGAGACCCCGCCCGUAUGUACACAUACGUGGCUGUAUUUUCUUUCUUGCACCCUGGCCGUUGUACGUACGUGUACAUGCUACGUGCGCGCCUCUACAUCCACCAGUAUAUAUGUACGUACACGUUCGCGACCAGAAUGAAAACGCUACGUAUGCUUCGACAAGGUGGUCCCGACUGUCAGUCACUUCCUUGCAUGCGAAAAUGUAGCUGGUGGGUCCCAGCAGUCAGAGGGGCGAAUCAUUUUUUUUUUGCCCGGACGCACUUCCUUUUCAUGCGAAGAUGUAGCUGGUGGGUCCCAGCAGUCAGGGGGCGAAUCGUUUUUUUGCCCGGACGCACUUCCUUGCGUGCGAAGAUGUAGCUGGUGGGUCCCAGUAGUCAGGGGGCGAAUUGUUUUUUGUUUGCCCGGACGCACUUCCUUGCGUGCGAAGAUGUAGCUGGUGGGUCCGAGCAGUCAGGGCGAACGUUUUUUUCGCAAAAUACGGUGGCCCGUCCGGUGGGUCCCCGCUGUCAGGUGGAGGAAUCAUUAUUUUGCGCGUAAUAAGGAGGCACUUCCUUGCUGCGGCCGUGGACCCAGCUGUCAGCCUCUCCAGGUACAGUCCACGUCCGAUGGAAGUCGUUCCUUGACCACGUUGACCACGCCGCACCGAGAGCACCACGGCGGUGGACGACGGCGAGGCCUAGGAAGGAGACGACUCAAAAUGGGGAAGACGCAACAGUGGAUGCCCACGCGAAGAGGAGUACGAGGGUUCACUGGUUCGGCUGCGGUGUGAGGCUGCUGUCGCCGCAGAAUAACAGAGGGUGUGUGUCGGGGAAACUGAUCCAUGAACACUUAUGGGACCGGCGGACCGAGCCCCUUUCGGUUCGGCGGGGGGCGGAGAUCGCACGAAGAGCGGAUCGAGGCGAAGCACAUGAGCAGUUUACCCAGCUUCGGAGCUCUCCGGAGAGAUAACACUCCUACUGCUGCAUGUCUGAGUGUAUUGAGUUCUUGCUCGGGAGCGCUGAGUGCUACAGUACACACUAGCUGCUAACGAGACCGAGCGUGAGUGUUUUUCUGCCCUUCCACCCCCUCUAUGUUGCGCAUGAGCCUCCUUUUAUAUGCUAAAGGGGUCACCGACAGGUGGCAAUGUAGACAAGGGUAAAAAUGGAAAAGGAAUUACGGUAGGUACAACUACCUGUACAGUGUAUCAUACCUAACCCUGACGGCAGGGGACAAAGGCAUUAAAUGCCCGUCUACGUCGCCCAAAUAGUGCAAAAAGGGACCGUCAGGGACGCCACCGCUUGCCACGAUGGCAACCUUGUCAGCGUCGCUUGCCACCGCGCACCGCUGGCUGCCCAGCCUCUUGCCAUGCGCGCCUGGAAAGGUCCCAGGGCGACUUGUUGGUGGAUGUGCUGGAGCACGGGUGCAGAGUAGUAGCUUGCCGUGGCAAGCGCCUUGCCGCAGUCGUUGUCUUGUCGCGUCCGGAAGCUUGUCGCUCACCGGGCCUCGCCGGGACGCGUGGCGCGUCGUGGCAAGUUUCUUGAGGUGCCUUGGUUGGCCUUCCCGGCAAGCUCCUCUUGCCGGGGCCUUGUCUCCUUGGCUUGAAUACUUUGUUCUUGAAUGGCUCCAAAGGAACCACGGAGGACCUUGGCGGUAAAACCAAAAAGGGCUAGGUGAGGCAAAUGGUAAAACCAAGGUUGGGCCUUGCUGGAGGAGUUUUAUUCAAAGCGAACUGUCAAGGGGGUCCCAUAAAUCACCCGACCGCGUAAGGAACGCAAAUUCCGGGAACAUAACACCGGUAUGACGGAAACUAGGGCGGCAAGAGUGGAACAAAACACCAGGCAAAAGGCCGAGUCUUCCACCCUUUACCAAGUAUAUAGAUGCAUUAAUAAUAUAAGAGAUAUUGUGAUAUCCCAACCAAAAUCCUGUUCACCAUGGAGAAAUCUUCAACUUCACCUGCAAGUAGCAACGCUAUAAGAGGGGCUGAGCAAAAGCGGUAACAUAGCCAAACAACGGUUUGCAUAGGAAAGGUGUCAAAGGUUAGAGGUUCAUGGCAAUAUGGGAUGGCUUGAUGAGCAAAAGAUAGGUAACGCAGCAAAGCGAUAGAACGAAGCAACUAGCAUAGCAAUGAUAGUAAUGAGAUCCAGGGUAGCGGUCAUCUUGCCUGAAAUCCCGCAAGGAAGAAGAACGAGUCCAUGAAGAAUACGAACGGAUGAAGUCGAACCAAUCGUAGACGAACGAAUCCUCACGAUCGCAACGAAAUAGGAACUAUCGAAAAGAAGCACACAACAUAGUAAACACAACACACAUGAACAAGGCAUGAUGCACAACCAAGCAUGAUGCACGACAAAGCUACAUGGAUCUACUCAUGGCAAGAGAUGAGGCAAACAAGAGCAACACAUCAAGGCAAGUUUAAAUGGGGCAGGGAAUAACAUAUAACAAUUCCGGUAAGUCCUCAUAUGCAUAUUUCGAAAUUGGUCCAGAUAUGAAUAAACCUUAUGUUCGAGUUGUUAAACAGCAAGUUAAGAUGCACAAAGAUGAUCUACACGAGAUUCUAGUCAAGUUACAUAUAAAGUUCAUUUAAUUCGAAGCUACGGCCUAGAAGAUAUGAGCAAAACAAGUUAAACAUGGCAUUGACGCAAAAUGCACUCAAACAUCAAGCAAACACACCAAAACAAGGAUGCAACAUGAUAAUAUGAAGCUACAUGCAAUUCUAAGCAAGUUUCAUAUAGAGCACACUCAAAACGGAGCAACGGUUCAACACACACACAUGAAACAAAUUUAAAGGACAAGCUGUCCAAAACAGCAACUAAGCAUAUUGCAAGCAUCAAAACUAUAUGCUACAGCACCUCAACAUGAAAACAAAAGACAUGGGCAUGAUUUAUAGGUAAUGCAUUACAAAACAUGAAAACUGAGCUAUCUCUAGAAAUCACUAGAACAUACUCAAACACACAUGGUAUGAUUGCAAGUUAUAACAAUUCAGACUUUGCAGAAAAUAACAGCACGACGCAAUGUUUAGAGCUAUCAAACAACAUGUUACAGGAACUUAUAAUGGCAAACAAAGGCAUGUCAUGAAUCUACUAAUUGCAUAGAUCAAAAGACCCUUACUUACCAUAAGCCAAAAGGGAUCAGAAAAUAUGAUGGCACCCACGUAAACAUAGCAAGUUAUAUUACAGAUUCAUACAUGGCAGGAACAUAAUUAUGAAGGCAUGUAGAUGAGCUUGUGCAACUCACUACAGAGCAAAACAUGGCAUGGCAAGGCACCCAAUAGUAAGAAGGCAUGUUUGUGAAUCUAAGAAUGGCAAUAGCAAGGUCAUAGGAUGCAUGGAUCACUAGCAAAACACAUGGAAACAACUGAACUUAAUGUAAACAGGCUGACAGCAACAUUAUGAAGCAACUUUGGAGCAAGGAAACAACAAGCUGCAGCAACCUAUAAAUGCAACCAGGGGCAUGGAUGGAUAUAUGAUGACAUGUAGAUCAAAACAUGUUUAUAGAACAUCUCCAGAUUAUGCAUAGAAUGAUUUGUAUAAGCAUGUUUAUAUAGCAUCACGAAAUAACAGAUUCAGCCUAGCAAAACAGUAACAGCAUGAACACUACUUAACAAGCUCGAUUCACUCACCACAAGUCAUUGCAUGACAAGAUAAUCAUAGAAUCGUCAAGAAGGCAUGUUUGUGAAACAAACCAAGUCAAGAACAAGUCGAUAGCAUGCAAGGAUCAACUAUAGCGACCUUGGCCAAAUUGAAUAACAUGUAAACAAUCUGCCAGGAAACAUUUUCAAGCAAAAGUAGAGCAUGAAAAUGACAUACUAGACUACUCCAUAAUUGCAACAAAGGGCAUGAAUGGAUGGACAAUAACCACAUGUUCAAAACACCCUUACUGAAGUAUCUCAAAAUAUGCAUGGAUCUCUCUGUUGCAACAAGUUUACAUGACAUGAAAAUAACAGCAGAACAGGGACUAAAAUCAGCAACAUCACGAAGCCUAGUUUGCAUGCUUGUGUUAGUCACCACAUUGAUCACAAAAAUACAUGGCAAUCACCACUGUAAAGAUUGCAUGGCAUAGUUCAAAACACAUGUAGAUAUCAACCUAGGAUGCACACAUCAAUCAUGGCAAAAAUGACAAAAGAGCUCGUUCUGAUAACAGACAGCAGAAAACAUUAUGAAGCACUCUUACAAUGAUGAUUCAGACAUCUAGAUGACCUCAAAUGAAUAUGAUGCAAUGGAAUGAAAUGAUGUACUCUUCGAGUCAAACAAAUUGACAUAUUACACGUACGAAAUGAAGCUACGGAUGCAGAGAUACAACAGGUCAAACAUGGCAUGAUAAUUACUGAAAUCUGGGGACUGGCGAUUUUUACCCUCUGGAAAGUCAACCUGUCCGGAUCUGGAUCGGGAUCCCGGCGGCACGGGAACCGAGGUUUGCCGGGGUGGGUCGCCGGAGACAAGGGGAACGGCGGCCUGAGCUUGGGGAGAAGCGGGAUCCAGGGCGGCGGAGGACGGAGGAGCUCGCCGACGAGCAGGGCGGCGACCGGCGAGCGCGGGGCCGCGGCCGGCGGAGCUCGGGNNNNNNNNNNNNNNNNNNNNNNNNNNNNNNNNNNNNNNNNNNNNNNNNNNNNNNNNNNNNNNNNNNNNNNNNNNNNNNNNNNNNNNNNNNNNNNNNNNNNNNNNNNNNNNNNNNNNNNNNNNNNNNNNNNNNNNNNNNNNNNNNNNNNNNNNNNNNNNNNNNNNNNNNNNNNNNNNNNNNNNNNNNNNNNNNNNNNNNNNNNNNNNNNNNNNNNNNNNNNNNNNNNNNNNNNNNNNNNNNNNNNNNNNNNNNNNNNNNNNNNNNNNNNNNNNNNNNNNNNNNNNNNNNNNNNNNNNNNNNNNNNNNNNNNNNNNNNNNNNNNNNNNNNNNNNNNNNNNNNNNNNNNNNNNNNNNNNNCGGCGCGGGGAGCCAGCGGUGCCCACGUGGCAUCUCCGGAUUGGCGCGGGGCGCGGGCGGACGUGUCCGGCCGCCGGGUGGACAUGUCCGGCGGCGCGGAGGGAGAGAAGGCUAGGGUUUCGGGGGGAUCAUCCAUGAAUUUCGGGGGAGAGGGCAUAUUUAUAGGUAGAGGGAGCUAGGAGAGUCCAAAUGAGGAGCGGUUUUCGCCCACACGAUCGUGAUAGAACGACCGAGAGAAUGGAGGGGAGUUAGAUGGGUUUUGGGCCAGUUUGGAAGGGGUGUUGGGCUGCAAAGAGAGAGGGGCUUUACAGUUACCCGGUUAACCGUUGGAGUACCAAACGAACUCCAAAUGGCACGAAACUUGAUAGGCGGUCUAUCGGUGCUAUACCAAGGCCACUUGGCAAGACUCGGUCCAUUCCGAGAAAGUUUAGUACCCUCUCACAACGAGAGACGAAAGAGGAACGCCGGAGGACAUAGGAGCGCCGGAUUGCAAAACGGACAACGGGGAAAAUGCUCGGAUGCAUGAGACGAACACGUAUGCAAAAUGAAAUGCACAUGAUGACAUGAUAAAAUUGCAACACGCAAGCAAAUGACAUGGCAAUGACAGCAAAUAACUGGCAGACACCUGGCGCAUCGAAUCUGGGGCGUUACAACACUCCUCCACUAACAAGAGAUCUCGUCCCGAGAUCUUAGGACCGAGACAGAAGAGAAAGAGGAAGAGGAGAAACAAGAACUCAAGAGAAGAAGCAAAGAAUCGAGAGCACUCGAGAAGAAGAGGGGAACGACGAGAAUGACAAGAAUUGAAAGCUCACGGAAUCAGAUAGACUAUGAAACCACUCAUGUUAGAACGAGAUAAGAAACGAAUAAGACUGAAAGGAUUUAGGCAGCACUCCGGUUGAAACAAGGAAAGAAUAGAACACGAACUUGAGGGGAUGGAAUGACACUUGACGAGAUGAACAACGCAAAGCCUCCAGAAGAAUUAAAAGAAUGAAAUGAAAUGAACUUAUAAGGAAGAAUUGAAUGGAGUUGUUGAGAAAAUCAACAACGAAAGAAUAAGCUUGUUGUGGAGUUAUGGUUAACAUCUCAAAAUUUAUGAGCUGAUAACCGACCACAAAUGGAAAUGAUUGGAUAGCUAAGAAAAACGAAGAAAUGCAAAACUCCACUUCAAAAGAAAAUGAAGAAUUAAUUGCACUUCGAAAGGCAAGAAGGAAAGAUACUUGAGCUCCUUCAAUAAGAAUCUUGAUGAACUCUUGAAGAAAGAAUUAAAUCAUGAAGAACCGCCAUGAAGAACUCCGGUAACAAAAGGACAAUGAGAUAGAAUUGAAGGAUGAAAGAAUAAGAUGAGCCUUGCGAUGAUUUAGAUGGAGGUUCCGACGAAAAAAAACAAGGAAAUAAUUGAACUUCGGAAAAGAAAAGAUGGAGAACACUUGGAACUAAAAUUUAUUCCUCAAGAAUAAACUCCGAAGGAAGGGAUUACUCACUUGGAUGAAAUAAGAAUAAGAUUUAUUGUAUGCUUAUCCUUCAUGAAAUUAAAUUGAUGACUAGCAAUGGAUUUUUGCAUACUACUUAUUCUUCUUGAAAAGGAUUGAGAAGUGACAUGUCACAAACUUGAGAAGGUCUUCAUGAACCACCGGUUGAAUUGGAAAGAACGAAUGGAUUGAAUGAUAAUCAAGGAAAAAAAUCUUGAGCGAACCACCGUAAGAAUUCGAAAAUGACUGAUGAAAUAGAAUGACUCACCGGGAUAAUUAGAGGACGAUAGCUGGAAUGAUGAUGGCGAAGAAUUCUUCUAGAACGAUGGCCUCCGGUUAAAAUAAACGGGAAUACAACUUCUGACAUACUCCGGAUCGGUAAGAAAAGAAUAUCUGACAAACUGAAAUAAAUCAAGAGGAUGAUACGAAACUAGAACCACGAAUCUUCGAGAGGACGGACAAGAUUUGGAGGAAAACUCUUCUUCGGUCUUCAAAUGACGACGAGAAACACCACCAAAAUAACUGAGAUACCCCGGGAGAAUGAAAAGCGAAGAGGUUAAGGCAACAAAGGAAAAUGAUUUGAAAUCGAUCUUGGAAAAGCAUCUGACUGAUGAAAUUCAUUCUUACGUCAGACUUCGGAAAGGGUUUGGGAAUUACUCCAGGGGAAUUAGAAGAGUUAGGUAAGAUCCUGGAAAAAACCUGUGGGUUAGGGCCCACUAAAAUAGAACACCAUUGGAAAGGAUUGAAGAACAUAUAGAAGAUGCACCGGAACAAUAGAAAUAUUUGAAUGAGGUGACAACCUCGAAUUAAUUGGAGGCCAGGCGAAUCUCAUGAGAUGUCUUGAGCACUCCGGGAGGAUAAACUGGUGAGAUACGAACGAGUAGGGAAAACACUUGAGCUGAGGAAAAUAAUAUAAUCACUACCGAAAAAUGGAAUUGAAUCCACCGGAGAAGAAAAGAGAUGAAGAAUGACGACCGAGACGAGAAUUCACCGGUUGAAAUAAUUGAGGGAAGACUGAAGAGGCUCCACACGAAUGAAAUAGAUGGUCGAGAGAGAGUCAGACUCCGGGAAGAAAAAGGGUGGGAGGGCGGGAAAAACAAAGGCAACAUGGAAGGGGAAAUCGAUGAAAUAACUUGAAGAGAAGACACUGGUUGAAAGAAUGCAAAGACUUCACACGAGUAGGAUGGAUACUCGAUAACGGACUCCGGUUCCGAGAAGAAGAAGGUGGGCGGGUGGGAAAAGAAAACAACUGAGGAAUAACUCAAAGAUGAAGAGAGUCGAGUCGACUUGACGAGAAAUGCACCGGAUGAAAAGAGCUGAGGAACAACUACCGAAAAACCAACUGCGUGAUCCUAAAGAAAAUUUUGAAGGGGAAGAAAAGUAAUUCAAAACACCUACGUCAAGAUUCCUUACCAGAGCGACGAAGGGGCUGAGGAGUAAAAAGAAUUCCUACUCUCUGAUAUAACUAGACUCCGAAAAUAGUUUUCUAUACUCAACAAAGGCCAAACUACACGAUCAAUCAAGGGGGGCUCCUAGGGUCGGUCGAGGCUCUGAUACCAACUUGUCACGCCAAUAUGCGACCCUAUCCAAAAGGAACUCGAAGGUCCCACCAAGGAUAGACCCGCAUAUUGAAACGCUUUUGCAAGGUGGAUAUCAUUACAUCAACAUUACAUAAUAGAUGGGGAUACAUACAUAAGGCAUACAAUGCCACAUGAAUACAUCAUCACAAUACAUCAGAGCAUCAUCCGACUACGGAUGAAACACAAACAGAAACUCAAACGACAUCCACCCUGCUAGCCCAGGCUGCCGACCUGGAACCUAUCCCCUGAUCGAAGAAGAAGCAGAAGAAGAACUCAACGCAUGCAAGCAUCGCUCUCGCGUCAUGACCAUCACAUAACCUGUACCUGCAACUGUUGUAGUAGUAAUCUGUGAGCCACGAGGACUCAGCAAUCCCAUUACCAUGGGUAUCAAGACUAGCAAAGCUUAAAGGGAAUGGAAGGGGUAAAGUGGUGAGGCUGCAGCAGCAGCUAAGCAUGAUAUGGUGGCUAACAUAUGAAAAUAAGAGCGAGAAGAGAGCAAGCGGAACGGUCGUCAACUAGUAAUGACCAAGAAGUGAUCCUGAACUCCUACUUACGUCAAACAUAACUCAGAAACCGUGUUCACUUCCCGGACUCCGCCGAGAAGAGACCAUCACGGCUACACACGCGGUUGAUGCGUUUUAUUUCGGAUCUGGUGUCAAGUUGUCUACAACCGGACAUUAACAAAUUCCCAUCUGCCAAUAACUGCAGGCACGGCUUUCGAAAGAUUAUACCCUGCAGGGGUGUCCCAACUUAGCCCAUGACAAGCUCUCGCGAUCAACGAAGGAAUAGACCUUCUCCCAGGAAGACCCGAUCAGACUCGGAAUCCCGGUUUACAAGUCAUUUCGACAAUGGUAAAACAAGACCAGCAAAGCCGCCCGGAUGUGCCGACAAAUCCUGAUAGGAGCUGCACAUAUCUCGUUCUCAGGGCACACCGGAUUGUCCAAACUUCCGGUAGGCCAGCCCAGAGUUGCCUCUGGUGGCCACCGGUGGUUGACAGGUUGGACCAACACUCACGACGAGCACUGNNNNNNNNNNNNNNNNNNNNNNNNNNNNNNNNNNNNNNNNNNNNNNNNNNNNNNNNNNNNNNNNNNNNNNNNNNNNNNNNNNNNNNNNNNNNNNNNNNNNNNNNNNNNNNNNNNNNNNNNNNNNNNNNNNNNNNNNNNNNNNNNNNNNNNNNNNNNNNNNNNNNNNNNNNNNNNNNNNNNNNNNNNNNNNNNNNNNNNNNNNNNNNNNNNNNNNNNNNNNNNNNNNNNNNNNNNNNNNNNNNNNNNNNNNNNNNNNNNNNNNNNNNNNNNNNNNNNNNNNNNNNNNNNNNNNNNNNNNNNNNNUCCCAAGGGAAAAAGGGCUAGGUGAGGCAAAUGGUAAAACCAAGGUUGGGCCUUGCUGGAGGAGUUUUAUUCAAAGCGAACUGUCAAGGGGGGUCCCAUAAAUCACCCGACCGCGUAAGGAACGCAAAAUCCGGGAACAUAACACCGGUAUGACGGAAACUAGGGCGGCAAGAGUGGAACAAAACACCAGGCAAAAGGCCGAGUCUUCCACCCUUUACCAAGUAUAUAGAUGCAUUGAUAAUAUAAGAGAUAUUGUGAUAUCCCAACCAAAAUCCUGUCCACCAUGGAGAAAUCUUCAACUUCACCUGCAACUAGCAACGCUAUAAGAGGGGCUGAGCAAAAGCGGUAACAUAGCCAAACAACGGUUUGCAUAGGAAAGGUGUCAAAGGUUAGAGGUUCAUGGCAAUAUGGGAUGGCUUGAUAAACAGGUGAUAGGUAGCGCAGCAUAGCGAUAGAACGAAGCAACUAGCAUAGCAAUGAUAGUAGUGAGAUCCAGGAUAGCGGUCAUCUUGCCUGAAAUCCCGCAAGGAAGAAGAACGAGUCCAUGAAGAAGACGAACGGAUGAAGUCGAACCAAUCGUAGACGAACGAAUCCUCACGAUCGCAACGAAACAGGAACUAUCGAAAAGAAGCACACAACAUAGUGAACACACCACACAUGAACAAGGCAUGAUGCACAACCAAGCAUGAUGCAUCACAAAGCUACAUGGAGCUACUCAUGGCAAGAGAUGAGGCAAACAAGAGCAACACAUCAAGGCAAGUUUAAAUGGGGCCGGGAAUAACAUAUAACAAUUCCGGUAAGUCCUCAUAUGCAUAUUUCGAAAUUGAUCCAGAUCUGAAUAAACCUUAUGUUCGAGUUGUUAAACAGCAAGUUAAGAUGCACAAAGAUGAUCUACACGAGAUCCUAGUCAAGUUACAUAUAAAGUUCAUUUAAUUCGGAGCUACGGCCUAGAAGAUAUGAGCAAAACAUGGCAUUGAUGCAAAAUGCACUCAAACAUCAAGCAAACACACCAAAACAAGGAUGUAACAUGAUAAUAUGAAGCUACAUGCAAUUCUAAGCAAGUUUCAUAUAGAGCACACUCAAAACGGAGCAACGGUUCAACACACACACAUGAAACAAGUUUAAAGGACAAGCUGUCCAAAACAGCAACUAAGCAUAUUGCAAGCAUCAAAACUAUAUGCUACAGCACCUCAACAUAAAAACAAAAUACAUGGGCAUGAUGUAUAGGUAAUGCAUUACAAAACAUGAACACUGAGUUAUCUCCAGAAAUCACUAGAAUAUACUCAAACACAUAUGGUAAGAUUGCAAGUUAUAACAAUUCAGACUUUGCAGAAAAUAACAUCACGAUGCAAUGUUUAGAGCUAUCAAACAACAUGUUACAGGAACAUAUAAUGGAAAACAAAGGCAUGGCAUGAAUCUACUAAUUGCAUAGAUCAAAAGACCCUUACUGACCAUAAGCCAAAAGGGAUCAGAAAAUAUGAUGGCACCCACAUAAACAUAGCAAGUUAUAUUACAGAUUCAUACAUGGCAGGAACAUAAUUAUGAAGGCAUGUAGAUGAGCUUGUGCAACUCACUACAGAGCAAAAAAUGGGAUGGCAAGGCACCCAACAGUAAGAAGGCAUGUUUGUGAAGCUAAGCAUGGCAAUAGCAAGGUCAUAGGAUGCAUGGAUCACUAGCAAAACACAUGGAAACAACUGAACUUAAUGUAAACAGGCUGACAGCAACAUUAUGAAGCAGCUUUGGAGCAAGGAAACAACAAGCUACAGCAACCUAUAAAUGCAACCAGGGGCAUGGAUAGAUAGAGGAUGACAUGUAAAUCAAAACAUGUUUAUAGAACAUCUCCAGAUUAUGCAUAGAAUGAUUUGUAGAAGCAUGUUUAUAUAGCAUCACGAAAUAACAGAUUCAACCUAGCAAAACAGUAACAGCAUGAACACUACUUAACAAGCUCGAUUCACUCACCACAAGUCAUUGCAUGACAAGAUAAUCAUAGCAUCAUCAAGAAGGCAUGUUUGUGAAACAAACCAAGUCAAGAACAAGUCCAUAGCAUGCAAGGAUCAACUAUAGCGACCUUGGCCAAAUUGAAUAACAUGUAAACAAUCUGCCAGGAAACAUUUUCAAGCAAAAGUAGAGCACGAAAAUGACAUGCUAGACUACUCCAUAAUUGCAAAAAAGGGCAUGAAUGGAUAGACAAUAACCACAUGUUCAAAACACCCUUACUGAAGUAUCUCAAAAUAUGCAUGGAUCUCUCUAUAGCAACAAGUUUACAUGGCAUGAAAAUAACAGCAGAACAGGGACUAAAAUCAGCAACAUCACGAAGCCUAGUUUGCAUGCUUGUGCUAGUCACCACAUUGAUCACAAAAAUACAUGGCAAUCACCACUGUAAAGAUGGCAUGGCAUAGUUCAAAACACAUGUAGACAUCAACCUCAUAGGAUGCACACAUCAAUCAUGGCAAAAAUGACAAAAGAGCUCGUUCUGAUAACAGACAGCAGAAAACAUUAUGAAGCACUCUCACAACGAUGAUUCAGACAUCUAGAUGACCUCAAAUGAAUAUGAUGCAAUGGAAUGAAAUGUUGUACUCUUCGAGACGAACAAAUUGACAUAUUACACGCACGAAAUGAAGCUACAGAUGCAGAGAUACAACAGGUCAAACAUGGCAUGAUAAUUACUAAAAUCUGGGGACUUAGGCGAUUUUUACCCUCUGGAAAGUCAACCUGUCCGGAUCUGGAUCGGGAUCCCGGCGGCACGGGAACCGAGGUUUGCCGGGGUGGGUCGCCGGAGACGAGGGGAACGGCGGCCUAAGCUUGGGGAGAAGCGGGAUCCGGGGCGGUGGAGGACGGAGGAGGUCGCCGACGAGCAGGGUGGCGACCGGCGAGCGCGGGGCCGCGGCCGGCGGAGCUUGGGGCCCGGGGCGCAGGGCGACAGGGGCAGGGAGGCGCNNNNNNNNNNNNNNNNNNNNNNNNNNNNNNNNNNNNNNNNNNNNNNNNNNNNNNNNNNNNNNNNNNNNNNNNNNNNNNNNNNNNNNNNNNNNNNNNNNNNNNNNNNNNNNNNNNNNNNNNNNNNNNNNNNNNNNNNNNNNNNNNNNNNNNNNNNNNNNNNNNNNNNNNNNNNNNNNNNNNNNNNNNNNNNNNNNNNNNNNNNNNNNNNNNNNNNNNNNNNNNNNNNNNNNNNNNNNNNNNNNNNNNNNNNNNNNNNNNNNNNNNNNNNNNNNNNNNNNNNNNNNNNNNNNNNNNNNNNNNNNNNNNNNNNNNNNNNNNNNNNNNNNNNNNNNNNNNNNNNNNNNNNNNNNNNNNNNNNNNNNNNNNNNNNNNNNNNNNNNNNNNNNNNNNNNNNNNNNNNNNNNNNNNNNNNNNNNNNNNNNNNNNNNNNNNNNNNNNNNNNNNNNNNNNNNNNNNNNNNNNNNNNNNNNNNNNNNNNNNNNNNNNNNNNNNNNNNNNNNNNNNNNNNNNNNNNNNNNNNNNNNNNNNNNNNNNNNNNNNNNNNNNNNNNNNNNNNNNNNNNNNNNNNNNNNNNNNNNNNNNNNNNNNNNNNNNNNNNNNNNNNNNNNNNNNNNNNNNNNNNNNNNNNNNNNNNNNNNNNNNNNNCGGGGAGCCGGCGGCGCCCACGUGGCAUCUCCAGAUUGGCGCGGGGCGCGGGCGGACGUGUCCGGCCGCCGGGCGGACAUGUCCGGCGGCGCGGAGGGAGAGAAGGCUAGUGUUUCGGGGGGAUCAUCCGUGAAUUUUGGGGGAGAGGGCAUAUUUAUAGGUAGAGGGAGCUAGGAGAGUCCAAAUGAGGAGCGGUUUUCGCCCACACGAUCAUGAUCGAACGACCGAGAGCAUGGAGGGGAGUUAGAUGGGUUUUGGGCCAGUUUGGAAGGGGUGUUGGGCUGCAAAGAGAGAGGGGCUUUAUAGUUACCCAGUUAACCGUUGGAGUACCAAACAAACUCCAAAUGGCACAAAACUUGACAGGCGAUCUACCGGUGCUAUACCAAGGCCACUUGGCAAGACUCGGUCCAUUCCGAGAAAGUUUAGUACCCGCUCACAACAAGAGACGAAAGGGGAACGCCGGAGGACAUAGGAGCGCCGGAUUGCAAAACGGACAACGGAGAAAAUGCUCGGAUGCAUGAGACGAACACGUAUGCCAAAUGAAAUGCACAUGAUGACAUGAUAAAAUGCAACACGCAAGCAAAUGACAUGGCAAUGACAGCAAAUAACUGGCAGACACCCGGCACAUCGAAUCCGGGGCGUUACCGGUGUGAGGCUGCUGUCGCCGCAGAAUAACAGAGGGUGUGUGUCGGGGAAACUGAUCCAUGAACACCUAUGGGACCGGCGGACCGAGCCCCUUUCGGUUCGGCGGGGGGGCGGAGAUCGCACAAAGAGCGGAUCGAGGCAAAGCACACGAGCAGUUUACCCAGCUUCGGAGCUCUCCGGAGAGAUAACACUCCUACUGCUGCAUGUCUGAGUGUAUUGAGUUCUUGCUCGGGAGCGCUGAGUGCUACAGUACACACUAGCUGCUAACGAGACCGAGCAUGAGUGUUUUUCUGCCCUUCCACCCCCCUCUACGUUGCGCAUGGGCCUCCUUUUAUAUGCUAAAGGGGUCACCGACAGGUGGCAAUGUAGACAAGGGUAAAAAUGGAAAAGGAAUUGCGGUAGGUACAACUACCUGUACAGUGUAUCAUACCUAACCCUGACGGCAGGGGACAAAGGCAUUAAAUGCCCGUCUACGUCGCCCAAAUAGUGCAAAAAGGGACCGUCAGGGACGCCACCGCUUGCCACUAUGGCAACCUUGUCAGCGUCGCUUGCCACCGCGCACCGCUGGCUCCACAGCCUCUUGCCACGCGUGCCUGGAAAGGUCCCAGGGCGACACGUUGGUGGAUGUGCUGGAGCGCGGGUGCAGAGUAGUAGCUUGCCGCGGCAAGCGCCUUGCCGCGGUCGUUGUCUUGUCGCGUCCGGAAGCUUGUCGCUCACCGGACCUCGCCGGGACGCGUGGCGCAUCGCGGCUAGUUUCUUGAGGUGCCUUGGUUGGCCUUCCCGGCAAGCUCCUCUUGCCGGGGCCUUGUCUCCUUGGCUUGAAUACUUUGUUCUUGAAUGGCUCCAAAGGAACCACGGAGGACCUUGGCGGUCACCCGGCAAGCCUUGCCGCGGGGUGCUGCGACUGCCCGUGCACAAGUUAGGGAUACUAGGGUACCCCUACUCUAGUACACCGACAGGAGCCCCCGGGCCUGGGCCACACACGGUGCCGAGCGCUGUUGGGCCAGGCCCAACACAGGGCACGGGCACGCGCGGCCUAGGUUUCGUCGUAUCUUACUCCGUAUCCACCACGUCCUCCCCGAAUGGCACGCGUCGAAUGCGGCGUCGUGGGAGAGAUCGUGGGUGGUUUCUUUAUUCAGAAAAAUGGAACGUCCGCCCCUCCCUCUUUAUAAGUAGGGGAAAUAGGGGCAGUUCUCCCAUCUCGCCGGUUGCUACUCCAAUCUCAAGAAUCUCCGCCGCUCCCCCCUUCUUCCAAAGCUGAAAGAGAGAAGCGCUCCGCCCCCCAUCGCCACCGGCACCAUCAACGCCGUCGAUCUCUCUCACCACCUCCGCCAUGGCCCCGAAAGCCGGGAAGGUUGUGAAGUUGGCCGAGGUGUAGCGGCUCGCGGCGCUGCGAAAGGAGCGGGCAAUCUUCCCCCCUCAGCUCGUCGCGAAGGAGCUGAGGGAGUAUUACUACCUCUUCUGGUCGACGGAGACGCGAGCGCAUCCGCGCACGAAGGUACUCUCAGCUGCCGCUUCGGAACUGGCUCCGAGUGGAUAUUCCUUCUUCGCGUUGUUCUUCUACUGCGGGCUCUGCCCGCCUUUCUCUGAGUUUUUCUGUGAUAUCAUAAACACCUAUGGGUUCCGCCUCCUUGACUUCACCCCCAAUGCCGUUCUGACCAUGGCAGUUUUCGCACAUCUCUGCAAAAACUUUGUCGGAGUCCAUCCAAAUGUAGCUCUUUUUCGCCACUUCUUUAUGCCCCGAGUUGAGAGAGGGGAGCCUUUAUCCGGCGGAAUCGCCUGGAUCUCGAGAGCUGGCAAGAAGGAAGCUUAUCUGGAGGGAGAGCUCCACAGCAAGUGGGAGGAAUGGAGAGCAGAGUGGUGCUGGAUUGUCGAGGAGAACCCGCAGCCAUUUACCGCCCAGUGCCAAGCCCCAAUAGUGCACGGCAACGAUUGGAGCAACGUGGCCCCGGAAGACGAUAGGCUGAAGAUUGCCGUCACCCGGAUCCUACGCCUCAGGCUUGCUGGGCUCACCGUAGGCGCUGUUGGCGCAGAUUUUCUUCGCUGCCGCAUCGCCCCCUGCAGGAGAGGAGGAGACCCGCUUGGGAGUUCCAGAAUGUGGCGGAUAUCAUGAGGCUGCGCCCGGGCCUCAACUUCAACUUCACUGUCCUGGAACUGGACGCGAUGCUCCUGGAACUGUUCAAGCGUGAUCCUCAACGUCCCGAAGCGUUCAUGUUGCCAAGGGGUGUCGUUUCGUUGUGCAACAACUCCUUGCUCGACCGCAUCCGUGCAAUGAUGCCGCUGUGCGAUUCGCAUGGAAUUGUCCCAACUUGGCAAGAGCCUGCGGACGACGUCGUGCAGGAGUUCUUUGACGGCUUGGUAGAAGUGCCGGUCCGCCCCGAUGAACAGAAGAGCCUUACUCGCGACACCACUGAUGCGGAGAUGCAGCACAUCGCCACUAGGCUGGAAGAGGCGGCGGCAGCCGCUGCCGCGAGCGAGUUUGGAUUCACCGUGGAGGAGCCAGAGGCAGCAGAGGCGGCAAGCCUUGCCGAGCGAGAGGAGCUUGCCGGCGAGGGAGAGCUUGUCGGGCCUGGAUCUGAGUCGAGCGAGCCCGCCGAGGGCACGAGCGACUCGUUGCAGAUCGACUCCUCCUCCUUCUCACCUUCAGGCAGCGCGCCGCAAGCGGAGCCCCCAUCUCCACCAAGAAGGCGUCUCCGCAAGGCCGUGGACGUAACGGGGCGGCAGACGGGUCAACAGCCGCCGCACCGCGCGACACGCUCUACCGCGGCAAGCACUGUUGCCGCGGGCGCAUCUCAUGCCGCUGCGGCAACUGGAGCGGGGCCCUCCCGGACCACCGCUUCUACUCCCGGCAAGCGGCUAAGGGAAACUACUCCUCCGCCUUGCCACGCCGAAGGUGGGCCGGACUUUGACCUCUCCGCGCUCAGCUCCGAUGAGGAAGAGGAAGAGUAAGAUUCUUUGUUGUACUUGUAGUUUUUCAAUUCUUGCUGUUUUGUCUUGUAUCUGAUUCGCUUUACUCCGAACCCAUUCCCUUUUCAGGACUCCGGCCCAGAGAGCGGCGAAGAGAGCCAAGGUCCCGGUGAUUGUCAUUGAGGACGAACCCACCGCGACAACAGGGGAUGUGUCUGAGAUCACCUUGCCAGACCCGGCAACUAUUCUCCAAAGCCGCCCCCAGCGUAGCCCCCAGCGUAAGUAUAUGGUUUACUUCCUGCUGUUAGGCGCGCAUGAGUGCUCUUUCUUUGCUGACAUCUGACUAUUGGUUUGCGUAGGAGCAGAGCAGCCUCACCAGGAGUGCCCAGAAGCCACUCCCGACAUGCCAUUUGCUUCAACUACACCGCCAAGGGAGGAUUCCCCGGCAAGGGAGCGUUCUCCGGCAAGGAACAGCUCUCCGGCAAGGGAUAGCUCUCCGGCAAGGGACAGUACCAGCGACCCCCCGGUGGCGGAGACCACGACUGUAGAUCCUAGUACAGGUAAUCAUCUUGUUUGAAAACUUCCCUUGGGUUCUUCUUCUUCUUCUUCUUCUUCUGCUUUUCUUUUUGAAUAUUUGCUUGACUUUUCUCCCUUUUCCGGUCGUCAGAUCCAUCUGCCACGGAUCCGAUGGAAACCGAGGUCGCCGGCGAGGAGAACGCGCGCGGCAAUAACAACGACACCGCUACCACCGAAGAAGAAGCCGGCGCUGAUGAUCCCGCCGGCGAAGAGGCCGCCAAAGCUGCCGCCGCAGAAGCUGGCGAGGAGUCCUGCGGUCGCACUGACGGCCCCGAGGCCGCAGGAGCUUCAGGCGCUAUGCCGACCGCCGACCCCUCCGCCGCUGCUGCAGCGUCAGGCUCCGAAGAGCCCCAGCCCGGCGCCUAUUUGAAGGCCGGCGAUGGCAUCUUCAUCAAGCUCCCCUGGGCGUCAAGCUCCAGGGCACUGGUCGAAGGAGAAAUCUUUGAUGAAGAGUUGGUUGCCUCCGCUAGGCUGACGCUGGUCGACGCGCCGAGCAGCAGCAGCGGCGAGCCUGAGGAGGAGCGGCUGCUGCGGAAGCUGUUGUCGCUCUACCACGCCCGACAGGCCAAGCUGGCAUCCCGAGAAGCGCUUGUCGCGAAGGCGGGAGUGGACAUCAAGAAGCGCGCGGAGGAGCUCCGGGGCUUCAACCAGGAAGCUCUCCGGUUCCUGGCAGAGGAGCGGGAGCAACUCGCCGAGGAGCGGAAAGCCUUCCUCCUCGAGAAGGCUGAAGUUGAAGAGCAGCAGCGGCUUGCUGCCGAGAAGUUGUCUGCGCAGGAAGGGGAGUUGGCGCAGUGGAAGGUUAACCUUGACAGCCACGAGGAGGAGCUUGCCGCACGCGAGCAAACAUUCGGCAGGGCUCUCAAGGAAGCAGAGGAUGCUGCCGCAGCUGCUGAGGCCGCCAAGAAGGAGCUGGAGACGAAGGUGGUGCAGCUGGAGGCCGAUCUCAAGGUGAGCGGCGAGGAGCUUGCUGCGCUCAAGCGUGAGCGCGAGAAGGACGCCUACACCCAUGGCGAGCUGCAGGGUCGUCUCGCCGAGAGGAUCAAGGAGCUUAGCGCCGCCAAGGAAUCCAACGCAGAUCUUGAGUUGAAGCUGACUACUUUGACCAAGACGCUGGACGGCGCCAGGGAGCAGGAGGUGGCCUUGAAGGAGAAGAUCAAGGCCAUGAGGAGCUGCUGGCGAGUGCUGCUGCCGCCCAGAAUGCUUUUAGGGAGAAUGUGGAGCACUGGACCGAGGGUCUCGUGGAUGUUGCCACAGCCAUCGACGGGGAGCUGGCGCAGCUGGGGAUGGAGGAUCUCGGGUAUUCCUCCGAUGAGCACCUCCAACCCAGCGCCAAGCUCAGCUUGUUCUUCAAAGGCGUGGCGACGGCCCUCCAGCGACUCCGGGAGAAGAUCCCAAAGCAGCUGGUCGACGAGUCACGCAAGAUCUGUGCAGGAGCUCUUCAAAAGGUGCUGGUGAAGGUGGCCUUCCGCAACCCAGGCCUCAACCUCACCAACGUCCUCAGGUCCUUGCCGCCGGAUGCUGAUCUGGAAGCGCUCAAGACCCUUGUUGCACCCAUUGUGGACAAGGUGAGCGGGAUCAAGAGGGUUGAGGGCGAUCGCGUAGAUUAGGCCGCCUGUUUCCUCUUUUUCUUGUCGCUGCUGGUCAUGUUAUGAGAACAAUCUGUUAGAGCUGCGACAAGCUAUCUUGUAAUAUGACUCUAUUUUGGGUAGCGAUUGCUAUGUUAUUUCCUUUACUUGAUUCCUUCCUUUGUAUGUUUUUGCCCUACGCUUUUAGGGAACUUGUCGGCGCAGGAACCUUAGCCGCGAGCGCUGAGUGCGGGACGUCAGCAGCCUGCUGGCGGUGCCGCUACCGACAAGAAACCUUGUGGCAACUAGUCGCAGCUCACUUAAGUUGUUGAGCGGACUCGAAACAAAGUAAGGGCGCAACUAGCUACGAGUUGGUUCCUUUGCGCACAGGUUUUCCAUACAAAGCACGAUCGUUCGAGGAAGAUAACUUAAAAAAUCUAAAAUUGAUUGCUCAAAAUUUAGCAACUUAGCUUUUCUGUCGUUUGCUUCCCGGUAAGGCGAAACUUCUUCGAGCGACGCUUGGUCCACACCAUUAUCUUCUCCUUUCCCCCCGGCAAACUUGUGGGUGAGGGAUCCUUCCUUUCUUUGAGAAAGAGAAAGAAGAGAAAAUAAAGAUAUGGAGCCUUACGGCUCGUUUUUGCUUACCGGGGGUAGGCGCUGCACAACGUGUCAGAUAAUACAUGCAAAAAAAGAUAGAAAGCAUGAAAUUGACAAGAUGUGCGGAGCACAUGAGCUCUACUUAUGCACGGGGUCUGCGCCCGGCUUCGUACAAAGGAUUACAUGCAACAUCGGCAAGACUUGUACAAAAGGUGGUUGCCGGAACAGGUUCCGACAACUGCGUCCUACGGGUAAAACUUACGAAGAUGCUCAAUGUUCCAGGAGUUGCUCACCGGAAUGCCAUCUUCGGUCUCAAGGCGGACAGCGCCAGGCCUAGUGACUCGUUUCACCCGGUAAGGGCCUUCCCACUUCGGCGUCAACUUGUUGGAAUUCUUGGCGGACUGAACGCGCUGAAGAACAAGGUCACCUUCCUCAAGACUUCUGGCAUUAACUUUGCGGCUAUGGUAGCGGCACAAAGCUUGCUGGUAUCGAGCAGCUCGUACAGAAGCCUAAAGACGGUCGUCCUCAAGGAGCAGCGCGUCAUCUUGUCGCAGCUGCUCUUGCUCAAGCUCAUCAUAAGCGAGCACUCGAGGUGACCCGUAUACGAGUUCCGUGGGGAGAACUGCCUCUGCUCCAUAGACUAGAGCGAAAGGUGUCUGGCCAGUGGCUCGAUUUGGCGUCGUCCUGAUCGACCAAAGAACCACCGGCAGCUCCUCAAUCCAGUUCUUUCCGCACUUGGGCAGCCUGUCGAAAGUCCUGGUCUUGAGCCCGCGCAACACUUCAGCAUUCGCCCUCUCCGCUUGACCGUUACUUCUCGGAUGAGCAACAAAAGCGAAGCAGACCUUGGCGCCAAGAUCUUGGACGUACUGCAUGAAGGUGCGGCUCGUGAAUUGCGUGCCAUUGUCGGUGAUGAUCCUGUUAGGGAUCCCGAAGCGGCAAACAACCGACCUGAAGAACUUGACUGCUGACUGUGCUGUCACCUUCCUCACUGCUUCCACUUCCGGCCACUUUGUGAACUUGUCGAUUGCAACGUACAAGUACUCAAAGCCCCCGACAGCUCGGGGAAAGGGGCCGAGGAUGUCGAGCCCCCAGACCAAAAAUGGCCAGGAUAAAGGGAUCGUCUGGAGAGCUUGAGCUGGCUGGUGUAUCUGCUUGGAAUGGAACUGGCAUGCUUCACACUUGGUUACUCGUGCAGUUGCAUCCUGGAGGGCUGUCGGCCAAAAGAAACCUUGCCGGAACGCUUUGCCGGCAAGUGCUCUUGCGCCAAUGUGGUGACCACAUAUGCCUCCAUGUAUCUCUGCCAACAGCUUUUGUUUGUCUUCCCGGUGAAUACACUUCAAUUUCACGCCGUUGAGUCUUCUUCUGUACAGUGUGUUGUCGACAAACUGGUACAUACUUGACUGCCGGGCUACUCUUUCCGCUUCUUCUUGCUCUUCGGGAAGUUCUCCUGUCUGAAGGAAAUGGACAAUCUGCUAUGCCCAUGCUGGAGCUUGCGGCUCGACAACAAGGACUAAAGGCAUAUCUGCUGCUGCGGGAACAUCCGCUUCUACGGCGAGAACCUGCGACUCAGCCGGAGCUUGACGUUUCCCGGCAAGCUUGCCAGAGCAAAACUUGUCGGGAGCGUCUGCUUCAACGAAACAAACCCUAGGGCUUGCCGGAGCAGACUGCUCCUCAGCGUCCUUGGUGUUGAUUUUGAGGACCUUCUUGGUGGCGCCUUCGGGGAGAUCUGCCGGAAAAUAGUCACCAGAAAUCAACUUCCUCUUCUUGCUCUGUCCAGUUGAUGGUGUUACAGAUGGUUGAGUCAGUUUGAGCACAAAGAUCCCUGGUUCCACAGGUAACUUAAGUGCGGCGCACUUCGAUAGGCCAUCGGCAAUGUCGUUCUGAGCUCUUGGAACAUGUUCCAUCUGUAGGCCGUCAAAGUGCUCUUCUAGCUUUCUCACUUCGUCAACGUAAGCUUCCAUCAACGGACUCUGAUAAUUCUUGUUCACUUGGCGGACGACAAGCUGUGAGUCACCCCUGACAAUGAGCUUCUUGAUCCCAAGGUCUGCUGCGAUCCUGAGACCGGCAAGCAAACCUUCAUACUCUGUAGUAUUGUUCGUUGCUUGCUCCUUGGGAAAGUGCAUCUGAACUACGUACUUGAGGUGCUCUCCGGUGGGUGCAACAAGUAGCACGCCCGCACCAGCGCCUUGCAGCGAGAAGGCACCAUCAAAGUACAUCAGCCACUCUUUGCUUGCUUCCUUGACGGGGAUGCUCAUUUCUGGAAUUUCUUCAUCUUGUGUUGGCGUCCACUCUGCUAUGAACUCUGCCAAUGCUCUGCUUUGGAUAGUUGAAGUGCUCUCAAACUUGAGGCCAAAGCUUGAUAGUUCCAGUGCCCACUCGACAAUCCUGCCUGUUGCUUCUGGAUUUUGCAGUAUCCUCUUCAGCGGAAAACGAGUGACGACUGUGAUCUCAUGUGCUUGGAAGUAAUGGCGCAGCUUUCUCGAGGCCAUGAGAAGGUCGAAAAGCAAUUUCUACACACCAGAGUACCUUGACCUAGCCCCCUGCAGAAGAGAACUGACAAAGUAAACUGGGCGCUGCACCAUUCUUUUCUGCAUCUUCUCACGCGCCUGCGCAGAUCCAUCUUUGUCGGGACCAGAGCUUGCCGGUGAAGUCCCCUGCUUGCCGCUGGAUGCAUCUGCCGUGGUUGCCGGCUCAUCAUCUGCCUCCGUCUCUGCUACUAACGCAGCACUAACCACUUGAUUGGUUGCCGCUAUAUACAUCAGCAACUUCUCUUGUGGCUUAGGUGCGACAAGUGUUGGAGUGGAGGACAGGUAUCUCUUCAAGUCCUGCAGUGCAGCCUCCGCUUCCGGAGUCCAUUUCAUUGGACCUGCCUUUUUCAAUAUUUUGAAAAAUGGUAGGGCACGCUCAGCAGACCUAGAGAUAAACCUGUUGAGAGCAGCCAUGCAGCCGGCAAGUCUUCGUACAUCCUUGACGCGCUUUGGUGCUUCAAUCUGCUCAAUGGCCUUGAUCUUGUCGGGAUUGGCUUUAAUUCCCCGGUGAGACACGAAGAACCCGAGAAGCUUGCCGGAGGGGACUCCAAACACACACUUCUCGGGGUUAAGCUUGAGGUUGAUCUUGCGCAGAUUUGCAAAGGUUUCGUCUAAAUCUUGAAUCAGAGUCGCCUUGUCGUUGCUCUUGACCACUAUAUCAUCCAUGUAGGCUUCCACAUUUCUGUGUAUUUGCGGCUCAAAAGCGUCAUGGACUACCCUUGCAAAUGCUGAACCAGCAUUCUUUAAACCGAAAGGCAUCCGCACGAAAUAGUAUGUGCCACAUGGGGUGAUGAAUGCGGUCUUCUCCUCAUCCUCUUCUGCCAUGAAGAUCUGAUGGUAUCCUGAGUAUGCAUCAAGGAAUGAAAGCAAGUCACAUCCGGCCGUGGAGUCAACAAUCUGGUCGAUGCGCGGCAAGGGAAAUGGGUCUUUGGGACAAGCUUUAUUGACAUCGGUAAAGUCGAUACAAAGCCUCCAUUUCCCGUUUGCCUUGCGCACGACUACAGGAUUGGCCAACCACGUAGGAUGGAGCACUCCUCUGACAAGGCAUGCUGCUUCCAAUUUCUUGAUUUCUUCUGUGAUGAAUUCUUGGCGCUCCACUGCCUGUUUCCUAACUUUUUGCUUGACGGGCCGCGCAUGAGGACAGACAGCAAGAUGGUGCUCGAUUACUUUCCUGGGAACACCGGGGAUGUCAGACGGUUGCCAUGCAAACACAUCGACGUUCACCCGCAGGAAAGCAACGAGUGCGCUUUCCUAUUUAGGGUCGAGAGUGGCACUGAUGGUGAAGGUACCACCAGUGCCGUCCUCCUUGGCGGACACCCUCUUGGUCUCUGGUGGAGCUGCCAUUGUCUUCUUACACUUGCCGGUGGAGCUCGAUGGUGCGUCCUCAAUGGUAGCGCAGCACUCCAAACAGGUGCGCUUGCCGGAGUGGGCAUCAGAACUCUUGCCGGACUUGGUCUUCUUCUUCGUCCCGGGAGCUUUAACGGCAAGUGACUUGCGAUCUGUUGCGGCUACUGCUUCCCGGUAGAUCUUGUUGGCGCAGAUAAGAGCAUCCUUCUUGUCGCCAGGGAUAGAGAUGACACUUAUCGGGCCUGUCAUCUUCAGCAUGUUGUAUGCAUAGUGAGAGGCUGCCAUGAAUUUGGCGAGUGCUGGACGGCCGAGUAUCCCAUUGUAAGGCAAUGGAAAGUCAGCAACGUCAAAAGUGACCCUCUCAGUCCUAAAGUUCAACUCGCUGCCAAAUGUCACCGGCAACGUGAUCUUUCCCUUCGGCUCGCUCCUUCCCGGAUUGAUUCCUUGGAAUGUGCCGAUCUCUUCGAGCUCGCCAUCAGGGAUCUGGAGUUUCUGGAGUACCGCGGAGGAGAUCAGGUUCAAGCCGGCCCCGCCGUCAACUAGCAUCUUAGUGACCUUGAGGUUGCGGAUAGUUGGUGAAACCAACAUCGGCAAGCACCCGACCGCAGUUAUGCGAUCAUGGUGGUCCUCAAUAUCAAAGAUGAUAGGCGUGCUGGACCAUUUCAGAGGCCUGCGUGACUCGACGGGUGGUUCUGCCGCAUUGACUUCCCACAUCCACUGCUUGAGCUGGCGGUGUGAAGUAUGCAGAGAAGCACCGCCGUCAACGCACAGGACCUCUGUGGCUUUCUGGAACUCCUGCUCAUCGGUCUCGUCAUCGUCCAUAUCUUCAUCGUCGUCGUCAUCUUCAUCCUUGUCGCGGCCGCGGGGAGGUCUGUCUCCUUGCCGCUGCUUGGCCUUGCCGUGGCGUCCUCCUCGGCCGGGGCGUUUCUUGCCGGCUCCUCCAGCACCUUCCUGGGCCUUCUCCUUGUCGCGUCGCUCGUAUUCAGCCUUUUGCUACUCGACAAGCUGCUCGACCUUCUUGCAGCUCUGGAGGUCAUGGCCCUUGGUGCGGUGGAUCUUGCAGUACUGCUUGUUGGUGCCGUCCUGCUUGUCGGCGACCGCCACAGCCUGGUAGUUGGUGCCUGCGGCAAUCUACUCACCGGAGCUACCAGCUUUGGCUUUCUUGGCGCCACUUCUGUUGCCGGACUGCUCAAUGACUAGCACAUCUUUGCCUUUCUUCUUCCUGUUGUUCCGCCACCGGUUUUUCUUUGCCCGGGCAGCAUCCUCACUAUCAGAUCCUCCUGCUCCUGUAUUCUCUCCGGGGAGUUUUCUCCCUUCCUCAGCACGUGCACACUUGUCGGCCAGGGCAUAUAGCUCACUGACGUCUCUAAUCUUGCACAUCGCCAUCUCCUCCCGCAUCCUUCGGUUUCACACGUUCUGAUGGAACGCGCCGAUUACCACGGCAGGGUGGACAUCUAGGAUGUUGUGCUGUACACGGCUGAAUCUCUGAAUGUACUUGCGCAGGGGCUCUUCUUCCUUCUGGGCGAGCAGAUGAAGGUCGCUCUCUUGGCCAUGAGGCUUGUGGCCGCUUGUAAAGGCGCCGACAAACUGAUGACAUAGGUCUGCCUAGGAGGAUAUGGAGUUGUCCGGCAAGUGCAUGAGCCAGGAUCUGACAUUGGGCUAGAGCACCAGCGGGAAGUAGUUGGCCAGGAUCUUGUCGUCCCGCCCCCCGGCAGCUUGCAUCGCAAUGGUGUAGAUGCUGAGGAACUCCGACGGAUGCGACUUGCCGUCGUACUUCUCUGGUACGUCUGGCUUGAAAUUCUUCGUGCUGGGCCACUGGACUCGCCGCAGCUCACGAGUGAACACAGGGCAACCUAUCGCGUACAGCAAGUCGCCUGGUUCCCCUGGUGCAUGCAUGUCGACAGAGGGCCCAGCGCGCUGGUCCGAUUGACGCCGCGCUUCUCUUUGGCGCUCGAUUCGAGUACGAGCGUCUUCUUGCUGUCGUUCGUGAAGAACUUGGCGCUGAUUGCGGCGAGCUCGUGGAUCUGAUGAUGCGGUGGAGUCGCUGUCAAGGUGGAUCCGGCGAGUCGGCGAUCUUGGCCUUCGGGGUGGAGAGUGCAUGGUGGUUGCACCCCCACCGGUUUCGUCGCCAUCGGCUCAUGCCUGGCGGUCCUGCCGUGGCAGCGAUGUAUUCGACUGUCGCGGAGUGUCGCCGUUGGCGAAGCCGAUGAGACUCUGAAUGGUGGCCCUCCAUUCGUCGAUCUUGUCUGCUGUUGGAGGGUAAUCUAGGAGCAGUUGAGCUCGCACCAAAGCUUCUGCUGGAGUGGUGGGUGGCAGUGGCGAACGGUGUGAGGAGCGGGAUAUGCUCGAACUUCUAACUAUGUUAGAAGGAGCAGUAUCCCUUCCAGGCGACCGUGUCUCGCUCGUGCCAGCAUGUUGGCGUGCAUGCUGGUCUUGAGCACCCCGAGAUCCACCAGCUCGAUCUUGGUCCAACAAACGUAUGGCACUGCGAAUACCAUGACGCUGUCGGUCCUGCGCCUCCUGAGAUGGGCGCGGUGCAUGUACGGACGCCGAUGUCUGCGCAACCUUGUCCUUGGACCUGGCAGCACCGUGAGUUUCCUCAUCGACGCCCGUUCUUCUGCCGGCGUCUACCCCACCACCCGUUUGCUCCGAUGGUGGUGGGAUCGAUGUGGACGGAACAGUUGCCGCCGAAGCCUUCUUCUUCGGUGGCAUGUUGAUGAAGAAAAUGAAGAUCUAGCUCGUGGGAGCGCCGGAUCAGGUUCACUCAACCUCGACGCCCCCUACCUGGCGCGCCAAAGAUGUCAGAGAAACUGAUCCAUGAACACCUAUGGGACCGGCGGACCGAGCCCCUUUCGGUUCGGCGGGGGGCGGAGAUCGCACGAAGAGCGGAUCGAGGCGAAGCACACGAGCAGUUUACCCAGCUCCGGAGCUCUCCGGAGAGAUAGCACUCCUACUGCUGCAUGUCUGAGUGUAUUGAGUUCUUGCUCGGGAGCGCUGAGUGCUACAGUACACACUAGCUGCUAACGAGACCGAGCGUGAGUGUUUUUCUGCCCUUCCACCCCCCCUCUAUGUUGCGCAUGGGCCUCCUUUUAUAUGCUAAAGGGGUCACCGACAGGUGGCAAUGUAGACAAGGGUAAAAAUGGAAAAGUAAUUGCGGUAGGUACAACUACCUGUACAGUGUAUCAUACCUAACCCUGACGGCAGGGGACAAAGGCAUUAAAUGCCCAUCUACGUCGCCCAAAUAGUGCAAAAAGGGACCGUCAGGGACACCACCGCUUGCCACGAUGGCAACCUUGUCAGCGUCGCUUGCCACCGCGCACCGCUGGCUGCACAGCCUCUUGCCACGCACGCCUGGAAAGGUCCCAGGGCGACACGUUGGUGGAUGUGCUGGAGCACGGGUGCAGAGUAGUAGCUUGCCGCGGCAAGCGCCUUGCCGCGGUCGUUGUCUUGUCGCAUCCAGCUUGUCGCUCACCGGGCCUCGCUGGGACGCGUGGCACGUCGCGGCAAGUUUCUUGAGGUGCCUUGGUUGGCCUUCCCGGCAAGCUCCUCUUGCCGGGGCCUUGUCUCCUUGGCUUGAAUACUUUGUUCUUGAAUGGCUCCAAAGGAACCACGGAGGACCUUGGCGGUCACCCGGCAAGCCUUACCACGGGGUGCUGCGACUGCCCGUGCACAAGUUAGGGAUACUAGGGUACCCCUACUCUAGUACACCGACAGUGUGGGUGAGUAGAAGGAUGGCCUGGCCAGCGGUGGGAGUAGUAGGGGGCGGUGAGGCCUCUGCGGCAUCACAGCUGGCCACGGGAGGCAGGAGCACGCGGCACGACCGACGCUGGUUUGGGCGGCUGGAGGAAGAAGACCAGAGGUUGAAGAAGCACUACGACCGUUGGAUGAACAUCAUACGGUAACAGGAGCUAGAAUCGUUCAUAUUGACUAAGUUGACAAAGCCCUCCGUCCCCGUCAACUUGGUAGGCCCACAAGUCAGCCUCCCAGUAUGCUGGGUUCCAGCUGGCAGGGGGAGUAUUCAUUUUUUUGUGCGUAAUAAGGAGGCACUUCUUUGCGUGCGAAGAUAGCUGGUGGGUCCGACAUGUCAGCGGGGGGCACAUUUUUUUUGCGAAAUACUGAGGCCCUUCCAGUGGGUUCCAGAUGUCAGGUGGAGGAAUCAUUAUUUUGCGCGUAAUAAGGAGGCAUUUCCUUGUGUGUGGCCGUGGACCCAGCUAUCAGCCUCUCCACGCACAGUCUACUUCCGAUGUUGUCGUUCCUUGACCACGUUGACCACGCCGCGCCGAGCGCAUCCAAGGUGGUGGACGACGGCGAGGCCCCGGACAGCAACGAGCCGGAGAUGGGAAGACGCGGGAGUAGAGUCGCAGACGGAGAGGUGUACAAGGGUUAACUGGUUCUAGUGCGGUGUGGUUCGGCAGUCAGUGGAGAAGAAUAGGAGGUGUGGAGGGAUGGCCUGGCCAACGGUGGAGUAGCGCUCCAUAGUGAAGCGUGCUAAGCAGAGCUGCUAGCAGCAGGAGGCGGGAGGUGGUCCCGGCGGCGCUGGAGGAAGAAGAUGAGAGAUUGAAGAUGGAUGCCGGUCGUUGGACGUAAAUCCAACGGCUAACAUGUCAGAAUCAUUUGUUGACUAAAUUGACAACGACUUGCGUUGGCUUCAACCUAUUGGCCCACAUUUUAGCCUCCAAAAAUGUGGCACGUAUUCAACCCCUUUUUUUCAGAAUUUACAGUCUUUUUUUGCGCGGUAGAAUUUACAGUCAAUUUGAUCAUUUUUUUGAAUUACAGCCAUUAGCUGGGUUAGAUGAACAAAUAAUGUAGCGUCCAUGCGACCCAUUUAUUUUAUUUCCUAAAAAAUUACAGGCCAUUUGCACUUUCUCGAAAUACACGAUUUUGCUAAGCUGAUUCUAAUUAUAAUGUUGGGUUGGGCCAGCAAUGUUAUCAAAAAAUAAAAAGGGGCUGAGCAUUUUGUUAUAAAUAUAUUUAAAUAAUAAGUGAUAUUAUUACAUUUGUCCUUAAAUCUUACCAAGCUUUUGUACACAAUCACUAGGAUUUUUCUGCCAAACAAUCCAGAAUUUUAUUUGUUAAGAAAUUAUUUUUAUAAGUUAAUAAGAUGUGGGAUAUUGUUUUCUUACAUAUGUAAGUAUCUGUUAAAUAUAUGAUGACAAUAAAAAUAAUAUAUAAUAAAAUAUAAAAUAAUUUAAAUAUAUAUAAUAUAGUUAGAAGGGAAAAAUAAGUUGGACCUGGCGUUGCUAUCUUAUAUAGAAAAAUAGAACAGACCUCUACGUUUUCUUCAAGAAAAUACAUAAAUUGGGCUGCCAAAAAUAAAACCUCGGAUGGGAGGUCCAUAGGCCGGUCGAUACAUGACGGCCCUAAGAAAAUACAAACAGGCCCUCCCAUCCGAGGCCUUGGGCUGCGCAUGAAUGAAAGCCUAGACGGGGCAGCCCAAAACCACGUCCAACACUUGCCAAAACUUCGUCCCUCGUUUUCUCUGUGUUUCGCACACUCGAUAUUGUGUGGGCAUUUUGACUGUGCAUCAUAUGAAGAUGUGCUAUGCAUGAAUGUUGAUCAGCAUGAUGUUAACUGACUGGUAGUUCCAUUUUCGACCAUGAAUAAAACUUCCAACAUGAUGUUAACCCUGUUUGAAAAGGCCGUGUUAAUAUAAAUGCUCUGCCUCUGAAAGUUGCAGUUUCUUAUCUGAAACUGAACUUGCAGUUUCUUAUCUGAAACUGAAACUUGCAGUUUCUUCUCGUCUGCACUUUUAUACUCCUAUGAAACUACAUUUUUUAAGUGCUAAAAAUAGAUCUCUAGAAUUCAUAAAAUUCUUCAUAUGCUCAAUACUACAAAUCUGAAAUUCAAAAGACAUUCAUAUCUGAAAGUACUCUCAAAAUACACAACACAAAACACAAUUCACAACCUGCAAAUACUGACAACCCUAAGCUCCUCCUGACAAUUCACAACCUGCCCGACUAUUGGGCUGGGGGGGGGGCAGCCCCCUCCUAUUCCUCGGUGGCAGACAGCCGCCCCGUGAGAUAAUGUGAACGACGAGGGAGAUGAUGACGGGGAAGCGUCGUCGGGCCAAUUGGUUUUCUCCUCUUGCAGUUGGGUUCGGUCGACGAAGACUCCACCGGCUUGCUCUGGCAGGACACCCUCACAAACGGCACCUUGUAGAUGCUCGAUCCUUCAAUCUCUGGUGGAUGCUCCAUCUGGGAUCGAUACUCCCACCACCGCUCCCUCAUGAUCGGAUUCAGUGAAUCUAUUUGCUCCAUAGCCCAGAGGAGCAGCUCUAUCUACUCCGGCGCGACUCCCUCUGGGAGUAUCGCCGCCUUUUCGCUCUGUUGCAGAUAUUUGGCCAUGGAUGUCGCCGUCGCCACUAGUUGGUCCUUGUUAUCAAACCAAGACUGUAUCUCCAACAUCCUAGCUAGCUUCACAGGGUCGCCGUCUGCGAUCCUCACGUAUCGGUUGUACUCCUCCAUUGAUCUACUUCUCCACAGCACCUUCACUUGCCGGCGGUGGUUUUUGAAUGGAAGAGGAGAGGAGCAGCGCUGGUUUUGGAUUAGAACGGGAGAGGAGCGACGCUGGUUUUGGACUGGAACAGGAGAGGAGGGGCGAUGGUUUUGAAAUGGAAGAGGAGAGGAGCGGCGCUGGAUUUAGAUUGGAACAGGAGAGGAGCGGCGGUGGUUUAAGAGGAGAAGAGCGGAAGAGAGGCCCUGGUCUUGGAAGUAUUUUUUUGUUGUUUUGCGUAUUUUGGGUCAAAGUUUGACCAUGUACUGUAUUUGACAAGCAAAAUGUGAAUGCAUGUCACCAAAAAUUGCAUCGUUUGGUUCAUAUCUGGAUGUACUUUCAAAUUAUAUUAUUUUUGCAACGUAUAACAUAUAUUUUAUGUGCGAAAAUCAUGGUCAAUUAUGACCCAGAAUAAAAGGGAGACUAGUUAAUGUGGGGUCGCUUUCUUAAUUGAAGGGUAAAUAGAUUUUGAUUUUGAUCCAGUCACAGCACGCCGGCCCUCUCGCCCAAUCCUAAAUCGCUGUCGCACGCUCCUCUCCCUCUUCUCCAUUGCAAAACCACCUCCUCUCCUCUCCAUCAUCUCCAUUCCAAAACCACUGUCUCGACUCUCCCUCUUCUGAUCUUCUCCAUUGCAAAACCACCUCCUCUCCUCUCCAUCAUCUCCAUUCCAAAACCACCGUCUCGCCUCUCCCUCUUCUGAUCUUCUCCAUUGCAAAACCUCCUCCUCUCCUCUCCAUCAUCUCCAUUCCAAAACCACCAUCUCGCCUCUCCCUCUUCUCUAUUGCAAGACCACCGUCUCUCCUUCCAUCUUCCAAAGCUAGCACCGGACCACUCAGAAGGACAUCUAUGGAGAGGAUGCAGCAGCGAAUCAGGCAGAUCGCUGGCGGCGACUAGGCAAAGUUAGCCAGGUUGAAGGAGAUCCUUAGUUGGUUUGACAAUGAGUGGGAGAUUUAGAGGACGGUGCAGGCCAUGUGGCAAUGUAUGCGAAAGAGCGAGACGGCGGCGAUGAGGGCGGCGAUGUACAUGUACUCCUCGGAGGUAGUCACCCCGCAGUCCUCCGAGUUCAUCGAGUAUCUCCUAUGGGCGAUGGAGCAGACAGAUUCGCCCGAGGAGACAGUCAGGCGGAGGUGGUGCGCGUACAUGUCGAAGGUCGAGCACCCAGAGGAUAACGAAUCGAUCAAGUAUGGUGUGCCGUUCGUGAGGGUGCAGAGCCAGCCGGAGCCACAGGAGUAUUCGUUCUCCCACCGCAAGAGGAGGCCGGAUGGCGUGACGUCGCUUCCCCGCCGUUCUCCACGGUUCCCUUGACGCUUGCCUCAUUUCAACGGCAGCGGUAGGGUUUAAGGUAAUCUUCACACUAACCUAAUCUUCAACCUGCUCAUGCUUACAAUCAGUGUGACAGCUAAUGAAAAUCAUGCUUACAAUCAGUCUCCGAGUACUACGCCAAUCACCCUAAAAUAGCUCUGGACCUUUGGGUCAAAGUUGUGACAGAGUGUACAAAUAAAGAAAAAUAGAUUGGUGCUUCUUUCAGAAAAGAGUACUCCCUAGAAAACUGCCAAUAUAAGCUACUAGUAUUUGGUUAGAGGAUUUGCUGCCGAGGAAGAUCCAUCCAUAGAGAGCGCCACACAUCCCACUAGUGGUGGUGGAUGCCAAUGCAUGCAUGCAGCAUGGUUGGUGUCGGAAAUUUUUACUUGGCACACCUCACACUCUGCAUAUAUGUCGGUUCCAUACGUACAUUUGUGCAGUUCCACCAAAAUGCAGCUGAACAACCCUGCUUGCACAGAUAAUGAAAAAGCGUGAUUACAUUAUAGUGGCACUGGUUGAUGAAACACACAAAAUAAAUAGAAGAGAAUAUUGCGAUAGUAUCAUAGUAUGCCAUGCUGCGAGGGCGAGAUGGGCCCUGCGACGGCUCAUACGGUACGCCUCAUACUGGACAUCGUCCCAAGUCUCCCAGAUACACCUUCUGCCAGUGAUGAACAUCAGUGUACAGCGGUAGUAGAAGGAGGCGCCUUGAGACAUUCAAACCUCUAUUUUUGUACAUAUCAACUAAAAUUAAGCACCCCAGUUUGCAGAAACACUUAAACAUUAACAAUGGGACUAGUUGAUGAAACAUACUUUAACAAAGAGAAGCACUUUCUUUAUCUACAUUGGAAAUGAAAUGAUAGAGAUGACACUCGCUCUAUUUUAACUAUAUUAUUACUUCAUUUUAUCAGUGACACUAGGGUCGAGCAGGUGGCAAACGAGGUGUACCAUGCGUCGCAAGGAUGGAGGCCGGGGGUGCUUAGACUGGGAUGCUGAAGCUGGAUCUUUCAGUCACCAACAUGGAUGAUUCAAUUCAUGGGCCUUUUGGUACAGUUCACCUAAAAUGAAGCAAUGUCCCAUGAGCUAGCAGCUUCUUCUUCAAUUUUUUUAAGAAAAGGGCUCCAGCCCCGGUUCCAUUUCCAUCAGAAAACGAAACCCACAGAGCUUCUUCUUCAUUAGUUGCAAUAAAAUUGAGCAACAUCAAGGUUGGUUGUGAAGCUCCUAGAAUGCUCAACUAUAAUUUGGAUAUCAUUUGUGCAGUUCAACUAAGAUCGAGCGUGAAAUGUAUAUCUUUGUUUGCACAAAAAAGGUGGAAAGGGGGGUGAGUAACAAGUGAUGAAACAUGCAUCAAAUGAAAAGAAGCAUGUUCCUUAUCUGAAUGGCAAUCCUACAAGGACAGUAGCAAUUUCUAAAGCAGUGUUAUAGCUAGAUAUUAGUGUGGGAAUUAGGAUUAACUAUGAAAAUCGUUAAAUACGACAUUACUUUGGGCACAGGAGAGUAGGCGGACCAGGACAGUUGCAUUUCUAACGAAAAGAACCAACUUAUCUUAAUGGGAAAUUUUAGCAGGACAUGUAAAGAAGUGCCAUUGAUUCAUAUUACUGGAGGCAUUACAGUGAAAACAACAUUGGUUUAACGUGUCCUUAGUUUUAACAGUGCGACUGCUACAUUUUACGAGUGGCAUUACAUAAGAGUGGCCCGGGGCAACAAACAUCAGAACAUGAUAUCUAGGUUGGUCCCAUUUUUGUUCGGUAUGGCCACCUUAUAUUGUGUGAGGCUAGCAAAUCUAGUAUCGGACUUACUCUGUUGACUUGUCCCCCAGUCCCCACUUUCUUUCCUUUUUCAACCAAUAGAUCGGGUUUAUAUUGAGUUUGUACUGUGUUUCCCUUUAUUUCCCUAUUAGACCUAGAGACCAGUUGGAUAGCCAGUUGAUAACCCACAAGUAUAGGGGAUCGCAACAGCUUUCGAGGGUAGAGUAUUCAACCCAAAUUUAUUGAUUCGACACAAGGGAGCCAAAGAAUAUUCUAAAGUAUUAGCAGUUGAGUUGUCAAUUCAACCACACCUGGAUAACUUAGUAUGUGCAGCAAAGUGUUUAGUAGCAAAAGUGGUAUGAUAAUAAAGGUAACGGUAGCAAAAGUAAAGAUAAAUGUUUUUGAGUUUUUGUAGUAGUUGUAACAGUAGCAACGGAAAAGUAAAUAAGCAAAGAACAAUAUGUGAAAAGCUCUUAGGCAAUGGAUCAGUGAUGGAUAAUUAUGCCGGAUGCGAUUCCACAUAUAAUAGCUAUAACAUAGGGUGACAUAGAACUAGCUCCAGUUCAUCAAUGUAAUGUAGGCAUGUAUUCCGUAAAUAGUCAUACAUCCUUAUGGAAAAGAACUUGCAUGACAUCUUUUGUCCUACCCUCCCAUGGAAGCGGGGUCCUAGUGGAAACGAAGGGAAAUUAAGGCCUCCUUUUAAUAGAGAACCGGAACAAAGCAUUACCACAUAAUGAAUACAUGAACUCCUCAAACUACGGUCAUCACCGAGAAGUAUCCCGAUUAUUGUCACUUUGGGGUUGUCGGAUCAUAACACAUAAUAGGUGACUAUACACUUGCAAGAUAGGAUCAAUAACACAUAUAUAUUCAUGAAAACAUAAUAGGUUCAGAUCUGAAAUCAUGGCACUCGAGCCCUAUUGACAAGCAUUAAGCAUAGCAAAGUCAUAGCAACAUCAAUCUCAGAACAUAGUGGAUACUAGGGAUCGAACCCUAACAAAACCAACUUGAUUACAUGGUAAAUCACAUCCAACCCAUCACCGUCUAGCAAGCCUACGAUGGAAUUACUCACGCACGGCGGUGAGCAUCAUGAAAUUGGUGAUGGAGGAUGGUUGAUGAUGACGACGGCGACGAAUCCCCCUCUCCGGAGCCUCGAACGGACUCCAGAUCAGCCCUCCCGAGAGAGAUUAGGGCUUGGCGGCAGCUCCAUGUCGUAAAACGCGAUGAAACUUUCUCCUCGAUUUUUUUCUCCCCAAACGUGAAUAUAUGGAGUUGGAGUUGACGUCGCUGGAGGUCCAGGGGGGCCACGAGAUAGGAGGCCGCGCCCCCCUGUCUCGUGGAUAGGCUGUGGGCCCCUGGCAUUAAUUCUUUCACCAAAAAUUCUUAUUAAUUCCAAAAAGUGCCUCCGUGGAUUUCCAGGACAUUCCGAGAACUUUUCUUUUCUACACAUAAAACAACAUCAUGGUAGUUCUGCUGAAAACAACGUCAGUCCGGGUUAGUUUCAUUCAAAUCAUGCAAGUUAGAGUCCAAAACAAGGGCAAAAGUGUUUGGAAAAGUAGAUACGUUGGAGACGUAUCAACUCCCCCAAGCUUAAACCUUUGCUUGUCCUCAAGCAAUUCAGUUGAUAAACUGAAAGUGAUAAGGAAAAACUUUUACAAACUCUGUUUGCUCUUGUUGUUGUAAACAUGAAAAGCUAGCAUUCAAGUUUCAGCAAAUAUUAUGAACUAACCAUACUCACAAUAACACAUAGGUCUCACAAUUACUCAUAUCAAUAGCAUAGCCAGCUAGUGAGCCAUAAUAAUAGAACUCAGAUGACAACACUUUCUCAAAAUAAUCAUAACAUGAUAUAACAAAAUGGUAUCUCGCUAGCCCUUUCUGAGACCGCAAAACAUAAAUGCAGAGCACCUUUAAAGAUCAAGGACUGAAUAAACAUUGUAAUUCAUGGUAAAAGAGAUCCAAUCAAGUCAUACCCAAUAUAAACCAAUAAUAAUGAAUGCAAAUGACAGUGUGCUCUCCAGCGGGUGCUUUUAAUAAGAAGGGUAAUGACUCAACAUAAAAGUAAAUAGAUAGUCCCUUCGUAGAGGGAAGCAGGGAUUUGUAGGGGUGCUAGAGCUCGAUUUUAAAAUAGAGAUUGAAUAACAUUUUGAGCGGCAUACUUUCGCUGUCAACGCAACAACUAUGAGAUGGAUGUAUCUUCCAUACUACAUGCAUUAUAGGCAGUUCCCAAAUAGAAUGGUAAAGGUUUAUACUCCCCCAACCACCAACAAGCAUCAAUACAUGGCUUGCUCGAAACAACGAGUGCCUCCAACAUAAAACAGCCCUGGGGGAGUUUUGUUUAAUUAUUUUGAUUUGCUUUGAUCUUUUUGGAUCAUGGGAUUGGGCAUCUCGGUUACCAGCCCUUUCUCGUGAAUGAGGAGCAGAGUCUACUCUCGUGAGAAUAACCCACCUAGCAUGGAAGAUAUAGGCCGCCCUAGUUGUAACAUGAGCUACUCGAGCAUACAAAACAGAAUUUCAUUUGAAGGUUUGGAGUUUGGCACAUACAAAUUUACUUGGAACGGUAGGUAAAUACCGCAUAUAGGAAGGUAUAGUGGACUCAUAGGGAACAACUUUGGGGUUUAAGGAGUUUGGAUGCACAAGCAGUAUUCCCGCUUAGUACAGGUGAAGGCUAGCAAAAGACUGGGAAGCGACCAACUGAGAGAGCGACAACAGUCGUAAACAUGCAUCAAAAUUAAUUCACACCGAGUACAAGCAUGAGUAGGAUAUAAUCCACCAUGAACAUAAAUAUCGUGAAGGCUAUGUUGAUUUGAUUCAACUACAUGCAUGAACAUGUGCCAAGUCGAGUCACUUAAUACAUUCAAAGGAGGAUACCAUCCCAUCAUAUCACAUCAUAAUCAUUCUAAUAGCAUGUUGGCACGCAAGGUAAACCAUUAUAACUCAUAGCUAAUCAAGCAUGACACAAGUAACUAUAAUCUCUAAAUGUCAUUGCAAAUAUGUUUACUUCAUAAUAGCUGACUCAGGAACGAUGAACUCAUCAUAUUUACAAAAACAAGAGAGGUCGAGUUCAUACCAACUUUUCUCAUCCCAAUAAGUCCAUCAUAUAUCGUCAUUAUUGCCUUUCACUUGCACGACCGAAUGAUGUGCAUAAUAAUAAGAGUGCAUGUGCAUUGGACUAAGCUAGAAUCUGCAAGCAUUCAACUCAAGAGAGAAGACAUGUAAUAUAGGCUCUAAGUUAAAUAAACAAUCAUGCAUAUAAGAGCCACUAAGCAUUUUCAAUAUGGUCUUCUUGACCCCCAAAGGAAAGAAAAGAAAAUAAAACUAUUUACACGGGAAAGCUCCCAACAAGUAAAAGAAGAACAAGAAAUCUUUUUGGGUUUUCAUUUUAAUUUCUACUACAAGCAAGGAAAUUAAACUAACUAUUUUUUUUGGUUUUUCUUAAGAUUUAUCAAACACACAAGAAGAAAACUAGAAAAAGAAAUUUAAACUAGCAUGGAUAAUACAAUGAAAGAGAAUGAGAACCGAAGACUAGUGUGUGAACAUGAAUGUAAAGUUGGUGAGAAAUACGUACUCCCCCAAGCUUAGGCUUUUGGCCUAAGUUGGUCUAGCACCAAGGACCACCGCUACUCUCCCCGGUGUAGUGGGAGGUGUAAUCAGGAUACCACUGGCUGGUCACCUCCGGAUCCCACUGGACAGAUGAUGCACGAUAAGGGUCCAGCUUAGGUUCCGGCUCAGGUUCAGGUUCUGGAGUAAAAGCUUGAGCUCGAUGAUUGUUCACCGCUUCCGGCGUGACAAGACGAUUUUCUGCAAGCAAAUCAAACAACAGAGGCGCAGACAAAAUAAUAAACUCAAAGUGUUUCUUAUUGAAUCUAAGUCUAUACAAGAGCAUCUUCUCUUCCUUGUCAACAAUAAACUUGUGUGCUACCAUUCUCUUGUAAUCUAAAAUGUGAGGAGGUAAUUUUGUCUCCUCCUCCUCAUAGUGCCUAAUGGGUAUCUGAAAAUGUUCAGCAAGACGUGCAGCAUAGAUACCUCCAAAUAUGGGGCCUUUCGUACGCUUCAGGGCUAUCCGUUUAGCAAUGACGGCACCCAUACAAAAAGUGUUGUCUCCUAGCAAAGCAUGUUGAAGAAUAAUAAUAUCUGGAACGCUCAAAUUUCCACUAUUUCCACAACCAAUCAAGCAUCUACUAGCAAAUAUGGCAAAGUAGCGUAAAACAGGAAAGUGUAUGCUAGAGACUUUUGCCUCAGAGCCCUUCUUUGGCUCCUCUACGGCAAUAGUAUUAACAAAGCCGCCCACAUCUUCACGAUGGGGUUCAUCUAGUUCUCCCUCAUAAGGUAUCCUACAUACCGCGCAAAAAUGACGUAAAGACAUUUCUUUGAAUUCAUCAUAUAAAUGAAAUGAUACUGCAGGCGGUGAUUUCUUAGGAUAAUAAUAAAAAGUUUUACACAAAAGUAUUGGUAAGUAAGAGAUAUUGAUCGAUUCGGUCGUUGAUGAAACCGGUGAGGCCCGCAGUCUAGAUUAAAGCAUAAAAGUCUUCAUGAAUUCCAGCUUCUUUCAAGAAAUCCUCACACGGCCAUUCACACGACCGUACUUCCGCUAAGCGAGGAAGAUUAUACUUGGGUUUUUCCUUCUCUUUGUCUUGUUUUUCCUUAGAGCUUUGGAUAGAAGAGCCUUUAAAGAGCCUCCUUAACAUUUUCUGAAAUUUUCUGAAAUUUUAGUACCUUCAAAAUAAAAGUGGAUAAAACUAAACAAGAUUGAUAGCAACUACUCCUACAAGUGCCUAGAGCCUAUAUCAUGCAAUGGAAUUGCUUGGGACCUCAAAAAUUCAACAUGCAAGCUCAAGAACAUGGUCACCUAUGCAGCAAGAAUUUGCAAUGAAUAGAGCACUAGAACAAAAACUAAUUUUACCAAUGGAGGAGUCACAUACCAAGCAACAAUGUCCCAAAGCAGUUUUGUGAAUGGAGCUUUUAGCUAAGAGAUCGAAAAUCGCAGCAAAACGAGCUAGAACUCGUGCUUGAGCUGGAUGGGGAUUUUUUGGGUAGAAGAUGAAGUGUGUGGGUGCUGGCAUAAGUGGAGGGGAGCCACCAGGGGCCCACAAGACAGGGGGCGCGCCCUACAGGGGGGGGCGCCCUCCUCUCUCGUGGCCUGGUGCUUGCCCCUCCUGCAGUGUUUUCAGUGCCUAAAAUCCUCAAAUAUUCCAGAAAAAAUCAUACUAAAUUUGAAGGGCAUUUGGAGCACUUUUAUUCUCGGACUAUUUUUUAAUGCACGGAUAAUUCAGAAAAUAGACAGAUAAUACUAUUUUUUCUUUAUUUAUUCUAAAUAUCAGAAAGUAAAAAGAGGGUACAGAAGGUUAUGCCUUCUAGUUUCAUCCAUCUCGUGAUCAUCAAAAUGAACCCACUAACAAGGUUGAUCAAGUCUUGUUAACAAACUCAUUCCGAAUAACAAGGAACCGGAGAAAUUUUGAAUAACACUAAGUUACCUCAACGGGGAUAUGAAAGUCCCCAACAAUAAGAAUAUCAUACUUUUUCUUGACAGUAGGGAGAGGAAAUUCAAAACCUCCAAAAAUGAUAGUUGGAGCUUUUUCAAUAGAAUUUAUGCUAUGAACUUGAGAUUGUUUCCUCGGAAAGUGUACCGUAUGCUCAUUACCAUUAACAUGAAAAGUGACAUUGCCUUUGUUGCAAUCAAUAACAGCCCCUGCAGUAUUAAGAAAAGGUCUACCAAGGAUAAUAGACAUACUAUCGUCCUCAGGAAUAUCAAGAAUAACAAAGUCCGUUAAGAUAGUGACAUUUGCAACCACAACAGGCACAUCCUCACAAAUACCGACAGGUAUAGCAGUUGAUUUAUCAGCCAUUUGCAAAGAUAUUUCAGUAGGUGUCAACUUAUUCAAUUCAAGUCUACGAUAUAAAGAGAGAGGCAUAACACUAACACCGGCUCCAAGAUCACAUAAAGUAGUUUUAACAUAGUUUCUUUUAAUAGAGCAUGGUAUAGUUGGUACACCCGGAUCUCCAAGUUUCUUUGGUAUUCCACCCUUAAAAGUGUAAUUAGCAAGCAUGGUGGAAAUUUCAGCUUCCAGUAUCUUUCUUUUAUUUGUGAUGAUAUCCUUCAUAUACUUAGCAUAAGGAUUUACUUUGAGCAUAUUAGUUAAGCGCAUACGUAAGAAAAUAGGUCUAAUCAUUUCAGCAAAGCGCUCAAAAUCCGCAUCAUCCUUUGACUUGGAUGGUUUAGGAGGAAAGGGCAUGGGUUUCUGAACCCAUGGUUCUCUUUCUUUACCGUGCUUCCUAGCAACAAAAUCUCUCUUAUCAUAACGUUGAUUCUCUGAUUGUGGGUUAUCAAGAUAAACAACGGGUUCAAUUUCUACAUCAUUGUUUUUGCUAGGUUGAGCAUGAACAUGAACAUUAUCAUUAACAUUAUCACUAGGUUCAUGUUCAUCACCUGAUUGUGUUUCAGCAUCAUAAAUAGAAAUAACAUUGGGAUUCUCAGGUGUGUCUACAGUAGGUUCAUUAGAAGCAUGCAAAGUCCUAUCGUUUUUCUUUUUCUUCUUUUUAGAAGAACUAAGUGCCUCUAAAUUAUUUCUCUGAGAAUCUUGCUCGAUUCUCUUAGGGUGGCCUUCAGGAUACAAAGGUGCCUGAGUCAUUCUACCAGCUCUAGUAGCCACUCUAACAGCAAAGUCUUUUUAAUUAUUUAAUUCAUCAAGCAAAUCAUUUUGAGCUUUAAGUACUUGCUCAGCUUGAGUAGCAACCAUAGAAGCAUAUUUGCUAACACGGUGAAGUUCAUCUUUAACUCUAGCUAGAUUAUCACCUACGCGUCCUAUCUCGAAAGCAUUAUUCUUUAACUCUCUACCAACAUAAGCAUUAAAACUUUCUUGUCUAGCCAUAAAGUCAUCAAAUUCAUCUAAGCAUGGGCUAUGAAAUUUAGUAGAGGGUAUUUCAACUUUAUCAUAUCUAUAGAGAGAAUUUACCUUUACUACCUGUGUCGGGUUAUCAAGACAAUAUGGUUCUUCAGGCGGUAAAUUAAGACCAUGUAUUUCUUCAAUAGGAGGUAAAUUAUUAACAUCUUCAGCUUUAAUACCUUUUUCUUUCAUUGAUUUCUUUGCCUCUUGCAUAUCUCCAGGACUGAGAAAUAAAACACCUCUCUUCUUCGGAGUGGGUUUAGGAGUAGGCUCAGGAGUUGGCUCAAUUGGUUCAGGAAUUACUUCAGGAAUUGGCUCAGGAAGAGUCCAAUUAUUUUCAUUAGUCAACAUAUUAUUCAAUAGUAUUUCAGCUUCGUCGACUGUUCUUUCCCUGAAAACACAACCAGCACAACUAUCCAAGUAGUCCUUGGAAGCAUCGAUUAGUCCAUUAUAAAAGAUAUCAAGUAUUUCAUUUUUCUUAAGAGGAUGAUCAGGCAAAGCAUUAAGUAACCGGAGAAGCCUCCCCCAAGCUUGUGGGAGACUCUCUUCUUUGAUUUGCACAAAAUUAUAUAUUUCCCGCAAGGCAGCUUGUUUCUUAUGAGCACGGAAAUAUUUAGCAGAGAAGUAAUAAAUCAUAUCCUGGGAACUACGCACACAACCAGGAGCAAGAGAAUUAUACCAAGUCUUAGAAUCACCCUUUAAUGAGAACGGAAAUAUCUUAAGGAUAUAUAAAUAGCGAGACUUCUCAUCAUUAGUAAACAGGGUGGCUAUAUCAUUCAACUUGGUAAGAUGUGCCACAACAUUUUCAGAUUCAAGGCCAUAAAAAAUGAUCAGAUUUAACUAAAGUAAUAAUAUCAGGAUCAACAGAGAAUUCAUAAUCCUUAUCAGUAACACAGAUAGGUGAAGUAGCAAAAGCAGGACCGGGUUUCAUUCUAGCAUUAAGAGACUGCUGCUUCCAUUUAGCUAAUAAUUUCUUAAGAUCAUUUCUAUCGUUGCAAGCAAGAAUUUCCAUAGCAGCUGCUUCAUUCAUAACAUAACCCUUAGGAACAACAGGUAAUACAUAAUCAUUGGGGGAACCUUCAUCAUCACUAUCAUCAAUAAUAGGUUGUUCAAUAUUUUCAUUCCCCCUAACUCUAGCAAGUUGUUCAUCAAGAAAUUCACAUAAUGGCAAAGUAGUAUCACGUACAGAAGUAGUUUCAUCAUGCAUAGCAGAAGUGGCAUCAUCAAGAACAUGCGACAUAUCAGAAUUCAUAGCAGUAGUAGGUUUAGGUGUCGCAAGCCUACUAAUAACGGAAGAAGAAUCUAGUGCAGAGCUAGAUGGCAGUUCCUUACCUCCCCUCGUAGUUGAGGGCAAAAUCUUGGUCUUAGCGUCUUUCAAGUUCUUCGUAGUGAUCAGCAGAUAUAAAUCCCAAGUGACUUAGAGAAUAGAGCUAUGCUCCCCGACAACGGCGCCAGAAAUUAGUCUUGAUAACCCACAAGUAUAGGGGAUUGCGACAUCUUUCGAGGGUAGAGUAUUCAACCCAAAUUUAUUGAUUCGACACAAGGGGAGCCAAAGAAUAUUCUUGAGUAUUAAUAGUUGAGUUGUCAAUUCAACCACACCUGGAUAACUUAGUAUCUGCAGCAAAGUGUUUAGUAGCAAAAGUGGUAUGAUAAUAAAGGUAACAGUAGCAAAAGUAAAGAUACAUGUUUUUGAGUUUUUGUAGCAGUUGUAACAGUAGCAACGGAAAAGUAAAUAAGCGAAGAACAAUAUGUGAAAAGCUCGUAGGCAAUGGAUCAGUGAUGGAUAAUUAUGUCGGAUGCGAUUCCUAAUAGCUAUAACAUAGGGUGACAUAGAACUAGCUCCAGUUCAUCAAUGUAAUGUAGGCAUGUAUUCCGUAAAUAGUCAUACAUGCUUAUGGAAAAGAACUUGCAUGCCAUCUUCUGUCCUACCCUCCCGUGGAAGUGGGGUCCUAGUGGAAACUAAGGGAAAUUAAGGCCUCCUUUUAAUAGAGAACCGGAACAAAGCAUUAGCACAUAUUGAAUACAUGAACUCCUCAAACUACGGUCAUCACCGAGAAGUAUCCCGAUUAUUGUCACUUCGGGGUUGUCAGAUCAUAACACAUAAUAGGUGACUAUAGACUUGCAAGAUAGGAUCAAGAACACGCAUAUAUUCAUGAAAACAUAAUAGGUUCAGAUCUGAAAUCAUGGCACUCGGGCCCUAGUGACAAGCAUUAAGCAUAGCAAAUUCAUAGCAACAUCAAUCUCAGAACAUAGUGGAUACUAGGGAUCAAACCCUAACAAAACUAACUUGAUUACAUGGUAAAUCUCAUCCAACCCAUCACUGUCCAGCAAGCCUACGAUGGAAUUACUCACGCACGGCGGUGAGCAUCAUGAAAUUGGUGAUGGAGGUUGGUUGAUGCUGACGACGGCGACGAAUCCCCCUCUCCGGAGCCCCGAUCAGACUCCAGAUCAGCCCUCCCGAGAGAGAUUAGGGCUUGGCGGCGGCUCCAUGUCGUAAAACGUGAUGAAACUUUCUCCUUGAUUUUUUUCUCCCCGAACGUGAAUAUAUGGAGUUGGAGUUGACGUCGGUGGAGGUCCAGGGGGCCCACGAGAUAGGAGGCCGCGCCCUAGGGGGGGCGUGCCCCCUGUCUCGUGGACAGGUUGUGGGCCCCCUGGCAUUAAUUCUUUCGCCAAAAAUUCUUAUUAAUUCCAAAAAGUGCCUCCGUGGAUUUCCAGGACAUUCUGAGAACUUUUCUUUUCUACACAUAUAACAACAUCAUGGUAGUUCUGCUUAAAACAGCGUCAGUCCGGGUUAGUUUCAUUUAAAUCAUGCAAGUUAGAGUCCAAAACAAGGGCAAACGUGUUUGGAAAAGUAGAUACGUUGGAGACGUAUCACCAGUCUCUGCUACUUUUUGCCCCCAUUAUUUCCUCUUUCGACCAAGUCCUAGAUUCAGGUAACAAAUCCUCCCCCACCCCCACACCCUUUCUUCCUUGUUUGAACCAAGUAGUACUAGAUUCGAGUGCAUGAACUAGUUUUACCUCUUAAACGUAAAAAAAUUAGGUGGUUUUCGAACAGCCGAUCGAUCCUAUCUAUGAGGGGGCCUAAGAAAUAGUAAAAGAUACAAAUACAACGAUGUCAGGAGCUCGGGAAGUAGAGCAAGGCCGGUUUCAAAGGAAGUUAUAUCUGAUGGUUGCCGGGAUGUCGCUAGGUGGGCGGCGGGAGGCCGGAUAUGCCCAUACUAUGAUAGUGAGGAAGAAGGGGUGGGAGGCACUCCCUCGCCAGCGGUGCUUGGGAGAGAACAGCAAGGCAUGCUGAUCGGGAUGCGCCCAGCAGUGGGUAAGAGCCGUCGCCGAGGACGACCGCAUGAAUGUUGCACCUUCUCACCUUCCCCGGCGGAGAGGAUCCAGCUGGAUCUGUGACCAGCGGUGAGCAGAGAGAGAGAGAGUGUGUGGCCACCGCUGUCGUGUUUAGAUCUGGAGAGGCCAAGACAGUGUGAAGAGAGCAACACUAGCAAGCAAGCGCCGAGGCUCCUGCUUAUAUAGUGGAGUAGUACUUAGUUUUCUUUUGUCUACCGGAGCCGGCUUGACCUCGUCAAUGAUUAUCGAGAAGUCUUCAUGCACGUGGCCCGGAGGCGUAGUUGCCGUCAUUUUGAUCUGAAGCGCCGGAUUAUAACAUAUAACACGAAAAAAUGCCACAUGACAAGAAAUCAUAACCUCACUGCCCAAAGGAGACAACAUGAAUCCCGACAGACAAACUAGAUGAGGAACAAAGCUCAAAUUAAAGAUAAACUCGUAGAAAAGGGGUCCGUCGAUAGAUGUCCUAAUUAACAUAGCCGGCUUGACCUAGAUGGCAGCCAAGUAGUCACCGUUUGUGCAUGUGCCUCCAAUGACUAGCCCAACUCAGUGGUCGCUGUUUAACCCUCGCAGUGAUCCGAAGCACAUGACACCUAAUUUUGCGAGAUGACAAGAAACCUUUUUUUAGAUUUCUCACCACAACUACAGCCAUGUACAACACAACCUGCACGAUAUGUAGACGAUAGCAAAUCCAGGCGUGUCUGCUGGAGUCUGGUCACAUGCAUGGACGAACUGAUCUAACGUGUCUUGCAAGGAUUGUCCAGGCACCAACGUAGUACAACACUUCUCUAGUACUAUCUCUCGUCUCCCUCUUCUAUUAAGUCACCCGACUUGCGGGGCCAGGGAGUGUGCCUAUGGUCGGUUCUCAAUUCCCGUCCCACAUGUGUGUGCGAACGCAAUAUGACGUGUGUUCCAUUCGGAGAGCAGCGUGCCAGACCGACCGACCAUCUGGGGUGCAACGCGAAUGCGACGGGCGUGCUGUAUACUCCGUACAUGUGUACCGCCGUUUUCUAGACGCUUUGCUCCAUGGCGCGGGUGCAAUCCAUGGAUACAAAAUUAGUAUAUUGUAUAUAUUUAAAAGUCGUGGGCGGGGCUUUUCCUGCGCGGUCACUCCUUGGCAAAUGCAAUAAAUACUAGUACUCCCUGUGUCCCAUAAUAUAAGAACGUUUUUGACAGUACACUAGUGUCAAAAAUGUUCUUAUAUUAUGGGACGGAGGGAGUACGAAGAAAGAGAUAGAGAGGAGUAAAAAAAUACACUUAUAGCCAACCUUGUUGUAGUAUGAGUGACUAAGUGAUGAGUAUGUAUGACAUGCCAACAUCAGAUAGCCUAACGCACCAUGUUAAUUCUCCAAGGGCGCGACCGCGCGUGUGAUGCGACGGUCGUGGUAGGUGCGACCGUGAUACGGGUGCUGGCAGCCCUUGAUCUGAGAUCAAACGGUCGCAUGCUAUGUUGCUGAAAAUUUGCAGAAUAACCCUCCCGCGGCAACCGACAAAUUUCCUCCCGCGGGCCGGAGUAGGUUUCUCGGUUUGCAUGCGGGUUUAAUGGAGGCGAGGAGGCGUGUUCAUCCGGGCGUGCAGUGGACGGUGCAGUACUAUUCGAUUUGACAACUACAACUAGUAUAUUAUAGAAAACAAAGAAGAGUAGUAGAGAUAGAGAUAAGAAUAGAGACUAGGGAGGAGCACCGUCUACUGCUUCGUGGGCUACUCCUACGCUCCAUUCAGCGGCCGCAACGUCCCUACAGCCACUCCCUCCUGCGCUCCAUUCGGCGGGCGCUGUUGACAUUUGGGGAGCGCACUCUCGCGAUUGCUAGCAGCCACGACUUCACCGACGACGACUUUUUCCCCGACCUCGGCAACCUGUUCCUCAACGACAUGGGCGACAACCUCAACACCAAUGGUGCUGCUCCCGUUGCACCGUAUCUGUUUCUGUCCUUCCUGUUCGAAAUCGUGGUAGAAUUCAUGUUUCUAGUCUGUGUCCUAGACUCGAUCUGUGCAUCUACUAUGCUAGUCCGCAUGAUUAGUUUAAUCUCUGUUAUAGCCGUCAUGAUUUAUUUUGUAGUAAAUCUCGUAGUAACUUGCUCAUAUAUUCAACUGGCGGAACGUCCCCUACAGCCACUCCCGUUUCAUGGACGGCCUGGUUGAUGCCUCCAAGGAGCCCUUCGUCUACUGCUAUGAGUGCCCGGUGCCGUUUUGGGGCUCGUCGGCGGACAUCGUGCAUCACCUGACGCAGGCGUGCGGAGAUCACUACUGGCCCUUGGCGAAGAACAUCAAGUACGAGAUGUGCUAGCCAUUCACCGUGCCGGAGUCGCUGGAGGAUCAGCGCCGCCUGCUAGUCUCGGAGGAGGACACCAGCGUCUUCCUCUUGAUCGUGGCCAUCGGCGAGGCCCGCGCAGGCCGCCGCCACAUCUCUGUAGAGUGCGUCAAGGGCGACGCUGCUGACACUGACACUGACACGAGGCCGAUGUAUGGGUGCGUGCUCACUAUUACUACCCCUCGGAGGUCCGUGGGCGGCGACACUGGCUACGUCAAGCUGACUUGGACUCUGUCGAGCUGGGACCUUCCCAGCGAUGUGGACAUGGAAGACGCAUGGUAUUAUUUGACCCCCAACAAUGUGCAUGGGGACUCCAAGGAAGUUCACCUGGACAUAUGCAUUACUAAGUUAAAUGUUGAUAAUUAGUCUUCGCUCAAUGUAAUCCGUUGUCUAAGCAUGUGGAGACUUCCAUGCAUGAUCUUGCUCUAUUGGAGUAUCGCGCAUGAAUAAAAAUGUAUCCAUUUAUGGUUUAGUCUAGAGUCUUCCAUGUAUGAAUUUUUACUCCAAGGGCGCGACCGCACGAGCGACACGACGGUCGUGGUAGGCGCGACCAUGAUACGGGCUGCUGGCAUCCCUUGGAUCUGAGAUCAAACGGUCGCAUGCUAAGUUGCUGAAAAUUUGCAGAAUAACCCUCCAGGAUAGGAUAUUCACCCAUAGGUCUAGAAUCACGCCAUGCAACCGUUCGAUCUCAAAUCCAAGGGCUCUCGGAAGCCUGUAUCAUGGGAGAAUGGAAAGCCACUACCCUGUCAUUUGCAUGCUGGCAGUUCGCUCCUACUCGUCCCCGCACGUCCUUUAAUACUACGGCGGUUCACUCCUAGUCGUCCCGUCCAUUCACAUUACGGCAGUUCCACUAAUCCUAACCCUCCUCCCAAAUCCAUGGCAUCCCAAAUCUCCCCGAUCGGCGGUGAGUACAAGGUUAGAACCAUCACCGAUGAUGAGUUCGAUGUCAUCUACACCCGUUCUUCCGCGACGGUGAAAGGAUGCCUUUCUCGCUUUAGACGCAUGUUCGAAGACUCAGAUGAUGAGUGGGUCACUGGGCUAGAUGUUGAGUACACCACAGUCGUGGGACGAGAGAAGGAUCUAAAGGACGAAGAGAGGAAGAAGCCCGCCAUGAUCCAGGUUUGCGUGCAUGACUUAUGCUUGGUCUACCACAUAUGCCAUGCCGACAUUGAGUGCCAGGAUUUUAAGGACUUCCUCGAGAGCAACCUAGUCAAAUUCGUUACUGUAGACUUUGGUAACGACAAAGAAGUCCUACGUCGGAUAGGCCUCGUUGUAGGCAACACCUUCGACCUCCAAAAGAAUCGGCUGGUGUCCUCUCGUCAGCCUUCAAUGCUGACUCUAGUAGGAGCCAUGGUUCAUCCUUCGUACGGUAAACUGGAGAAACCUCCAUACACGUUUCAUCGUCAUGCAUGGCAGCGGAAUGUACUAGAUAUAGACCACAUCCACUAUGAUGCAAUGGAUGGCUACCUUUGUUUCAAUAUCUACAAGGGUUGGAUGAAGAGCAACAGCCAAGUUGGCGGUUCAAGCAAAGAAGUAUCGGCCAAGAGGAAGAGGGACAAGGACGAAGUCGAGGACGUGGACGAGGACUCCGAGUAAGGUGGCAGUGUCGUUGCUCAUGGUGGUUCUAAUGCAGUGUCUACCAGAAUAGUUGCAAAGUUUAAUUUCAGGUGUGCUUAAUUUAAUUUGAGGGGUGUGUUGUGUUGAGCCCCCAGCAGAACUAUGUUAUGUUUCUUCUUGCUACUUUAACUCUUCAGUACGUACAUACUAGUAUUUCUUACAUUUCAUCUUUUAGUUGGUAUAGUACUACCACUCGCUUCUUCACAUUAUAUACGUACAAUAUAUAUGGCCAACAUCAUAUAGCCAGCAGUUUAGUUGUCAAAGAAUUUUAGGGUGCUUAGUUUUGUCAAACAACUCCAGGGUGCUUAGUUUUAUUUGAGGGGUGGGUUGUGUUGGACACCAUUAUUGUGACUAGCCUUUUUAAUAGUACUAUAUGCAUAAUUUGGCGACGAGCGCUCUCUAUAUGUACCACCUUUUUUUUAAUUUCAAGUUUUGCUCCAUGGCGCAAUCCAUCGAUACUACUGAUGUACAAAAGUAUACAUUUUUUAAAAGGCUAGAGGGCGGGGCAGUCUAGCUUGGUCGGUUUCACGAGAGGCGAGGGCCUUUGUGAUUUGACGGCUCAUUACUGCUGGAAGGCGGGGCCUUGGGAUUUGACUGCUCGUAUAAAUGCGCCGACGACCUGAUCGAGGAGGAGCAAAGAACCGUGCAGUAUACUCAAGUUUUCCACUGGAGUAGUACUGCGACGGAGGAGCACGAAACACGGCAGCCCAGUGCCAUAUGGCGAUAAAAAAUGAUCUAAUUUGCUAGUCAUCUCAUUGUUAGCAUUGUUCUAUUCAUUCCCUCAAAAAAACAUUGUUUUAUUCAUGACUCACAGAGAACAUGACACGUGCGGCGAAACACCCGAAGCAAAAGAUGAAACACAGUAGCAAAAGAAGAAGGAAGAUUAUCACCCCAAAUGAUCUAAUUUGCCGCAGAGUCGUAACUACUUCUUCAUCGCCUCCACGACCUCCAUCUCCUUGCGCGCCUCCUCUGCCAUCCUCUUCAUUCUGUCCAUGACGCGGGAUUUCUCGACGCGAGCCUUCAUCAUCUGUUCCACGGCCGCAUUACGUACCUUGACAACAGCUGGGUGCUCGAUGCGGAGCUUCGCCAACUCCUCCUUCUGUUCCAUGAUGAGUGCCUGCAGCAUCCUCAUCGAGGAACUACUAUUCUCAUGCAGCUUCUUCCAGCAGGCGUUCUUCUCCUUCAACAGGUCGAUCUCGUGGCAGAGCUUCGCCUUGUCCUCCUGAAGUUGCGGGAUUUCGCCGGUUGCCUUCUUCUCUGAGGCAAUGCUCUUCAUCAGCAACAUCACCAAGCCGGCGGUCAACCCCCCUGCUGAUUGAGCUCAGCGGGCAUGUCAUCGAGGCUCUCCUUCAGCAACUCCAUCAAGCCUUGGAUGAACUCCUUCUGCUUAUUGAGGUGCUUAUUGAGCUGAUCGGGCAUGCCGUCGAGGGAUAACGACUUCAGCUCCGCCAGCUCGGCAUGUUCGCCUUCGCGGCUAGGGUGCUCCAGGGAGCCAUCGCCUGCCCGUGAGAGAUCUUUCGAGGUCUCUGCUUGGCGGCGAGCCCUCUCUUUUUUCCACUACCUUGGUUGCCGCUCCCUUGUUACGAGUAGUUCUCGACCUAGAGCUCUGCUCACCGGCCAUGGCAACGACGGGCGAAGAAGAAGCACUUAUGAGGAGGAAAGGUAGAGUAAUUUUUGGUUAGGUAGUUCCCCCUUUUAUAACCUAAGUACUAGCACUAGUACUAAUACCUGCAUAGUGGGAACACGUUCAGGUUUGGUACGUACUAGUAGGUGUGAGCAGGCUUUCGAAUGUGAUGGGAACAAGGUAAAAAUUAAUUGAUGGUUUUGGUUUCGAGGCCCGAAACGGCUCCCGAUGAGUUUAGCGAAACAUAAAUUUCAAGUACUACACUGCUCAAAUGCGUAAAUAUUAUGUUACUGUCAAAAUUUGGCACAAAAUACGAAGGAGACCAAUGGAAGUACUACUAGCAACCCACAAUUUAACUACUCGCAUGCGCGCAGUGGAGUAAUAAUGUCUUUCUUCCGCCCUCACGUCCACUCAAUUUGCAUGCGCUGUAUUAAUUGACCAUCAAUGAAGUGAACGACUUUACACGCGUCAAAUUAUCACAUGGGGUGGAUCUUGGUACAAAAUUGCAUCCUCCCGUGUACCCGCGUGUGCGUGCGAGGGAAUGAGUGCGUGCGUGGCGUGUGUGCACAUCUUUGCUUCGUGCAUGUACCGCCAGUAUGGCUCAAGGAGGCCGAGUACAUUCUUCUGGAACCAGCAGCACGUCACUGUGAUCAAUCCACGCAAGGAGGUCGCGACAACGCCUCCACAUGUGCCACGUGGCUUCAUGAACUAUAAGAGAGACACAGUGUAGCGUGUCAUUGGUUUUCUAAUUUACGUGUUUUGCACAUACUCGAAGUACUACUAAGGUACACGCGCAUUGCAUGCAUCAGAUUUUGCAACCAAAUUAUGAAUAAAUACCACACUAUAGCAUGUAAGCUCUGAGUCAUAUAUGUCUGAUGUAGCCCUUCGUUUAAUUCUUAUAGUUCAUCUCAUUCAAAAUCAAUUAGAGGGUGCUUGGAUACGUUUUAGUCCCAUGACUAAAAGUAGUGAGACUAAAACAUGCUAACCUCAUCCAUGCUUGGAUCCAAAUACUAAGGAGACUAAAAUCAAGUUAAUGAGCAUUUAUUAUCCUCCAAACCCUCCAAUCCAGAACUCGCCCGUGUUAAAGGAGAGGAGUUAAAUGAGGAGAGAGAGGACUAAUCCACAUUUUAGUAGGGGUACCCCUGACUAAAUUUUUUUAGUCUAAAGACUAGUUUUAGCCCCUCUUUAAUCAGGGGUGCUUGGAACUUUAGUCUCUUAAAGAGACUAUUUUUAGCCAGACAAAAAUAAGUCCCUUGGAUCCAAGCACCCUCUUAGUUUUUAUAAAAAAGCUAAGAACGCGGGAAUAGGAAAAACAUGGGAUUAUAGUGGAAUGUCGUCUUGAAUCCUGCAGGAUUGUAAGAGUGUUUGAUUGUGCAUGGAAAAAACACGGAAUUCUUUCAAAGAGGUUUGAGUGGAUGGGAUGUUUCCUAUGAAAUCUAGUGCAAAUGAAUCAUAUGGAAAAAUUCCUAUGGUUUACAAUCCUACGAAUCAAACAACCAAGAUAGGAAAAAUUCCUAAUGAUUAGAAUCCUCCAAAAUUCCUUUGAGAAUCCUUUGAAAAAGAAGCCCUUAAUCUAUUUUAUGAUUCAUGGAAUUGUGUGUAGUAAAGCAUAAAUUAAAAACAAAUAAUGGCAAUUCAACUAGAAAAAAAGUUUGGGCAGUUAUGAUACGGAAGAUUCUAGAACAAAAGAGAACCACUAUUGUUUUGAGGUUUGUGCAUUAUGCUUAAGUUCAAACAUGGAGUCUGCUAGAUUGUACAUGUGGCAAAAUCCAGUGGGGGGCUAGAAGAUGGUGCGAGGGGCCGAGUGGAGGGAGACUAUGAAGGAAUGCACAAGUGUGAGAUUGAUAUUUAGAGAGAGGGGGCGAACACGUGCGCUGUUGCACGCAGUGGCGGAGCCAUGAAAAAUAAAUGAGCUAGGGGGCGAAGCAUUGCUAAUCCUUUACGAGGAGGGUCAAUUCAUGAAAUUAAACCUUUUUUAGCAGCAAUUGUCUAAUGAUCACAUUCAUAUUAGCCUCGAUAUAUAGUGAUGUUAGGGGGGGCAAGGCCCUUACUGCCCCCUGUCUUCGCCAUUGUGCACGCGUCUGAGAGAUGAAGCGGAAGGCAUGGAUGAUGAGAGGGGUACGUUGGAUAUAUAAUUAAUGUGGGUGUAUUAGCUAUAUAUGUUAAUCCUAUAUAGAGAGGUAUAGAUUGAUCGAUGUGGACGUGGGAAAGAGGGUGAGACCUCACUGGAUAUAUCGAUUGAUCGGUUUGUGUGGAAAACUAUGAAAGACCUAGCUAUAUACACACAUACAUAGAGGAACAUCGAUCGUUGCGCAUGCACGCGUGAGAGAUAAAGAAUGCCCGAUAUGAUGGAGAGGGGGAUGUGUGUGGGUGUGUGCCUUCAUGGGAGACCGACCCGAAGAAAAAGAUUGCAUGCAUGCGAUGGAUAAUGCCGACUGGUAGUGUGUGUGCAUGCAUGCACGAGAGAAAGUUAGUGGUACAAUUAUAAAGAGAAGACUACUGUGUGGGUGUAAAAGAAUAGGUGAGGUCAUAAUCAAUGUAAAGUUGAAUUCAAAUAUUUGAAUAAGAGAUCCUGAUGUUUGAAACCCAUGCAUGCAUGAAUAUAACAGAGAUCUGCGCGGUGUGGUUUGGAAACGAGCAUGUUGUAAUGUAUACACAUUGAACAAGGUCAGCUGAUUUGAAUUUGAGAUACCGAUGGCAGACAUCAUUUGGCCAUGUCGCAUCCGUGCAUGGACACACUAUUCUAAUUGGAGAUGAUGGGCGGCUUUCGCAUCACAUAUCUAUAUCUAUACCCCUAUAUAUAUAUAUUAUUUUUAUAUUGUGUGCGGGUAACUUUAACUUUGAAAGAUGGUCAUUGGAUGAGGCAAAUUCGAUGGUCCAAAGAUGGCAAAUUUGAGCACUAUUGGCCGUUGGAUAUCAUCUAGAUUCCACCAGAUUUCGCCACAUGUAUAAUCUAGAAGACUCCAUGGUUGAACUUAAGCAUAAUGCACAAACAUCAAAAUACAAGCAUUUCUUAUUUGUUAUAGAAUCUUCCAUAUCAGAAUUGCCCAAAUAUUUUUCUACAUGAUUUGCCAUUAUUUGUUUUACUUUAUGUCUUACAACGCACAAUUCCAUGAAUCUUAAAAUAGAUUAGCUUUCUUAAAAAAACUAGAUGAUUUUGACUGAAAUGAACUAUAAGAAUUAAACGAACAUCUACAUCAUGCAUAUAUGGCUCAAAGCUUGCAUGCUAUAAUGUGGUAUUUAUUCAUAAUUUGGUUGCCAAAUCUCAUGCGUGCAAUGCACGUGUACCUUACUCUAGUCUAAAUGGUGUUUGUGUGUGUGUUGUGCGUGUUGAGGUGCAAAUUGUCUUUUUUUGGGGUACACGUUAAGCUUGUUCUUCCGAAAUUUCAAGCCGCGCCUUGUUAUGCCGAAAAUUGAAGCUAGCGUCUCUGUCUAUCGUGCUGCAAAACUCCCGCCUCUUCAACCCGCGCCUUGUUAGCCCAAAAUAUUUAAGAUAUAUCUUUGUCUCGUUGUGCUCCGACAACUCCCUUCAUCUCAACCCGCACCUUGCUAUUCCGAAAUUACAACGCGCGCGAAAACUCCCAACUCCUGUGAAAUCCCGACACUCGAAAUGCCCGUGGUACCCCUAAACCGAAAGAACCGCCUCAAAUCGGUGGGGGGUACUUUCGUAACUUACCCCACAUUUUGGACAAACGCGUCUCUAAGCCAUGGUUCCCCACUGCCAUCUCAUCCGCCCACCCAUUCGUACACCGAGGCCGCAAAAACCCGCGACGAAACCCCACACCCUGCUCCGUCCGCCACCCAGCCAGAGCCUCUUCCCCGAUGAUGUCGUCCACAGCAAUACCUCGACGUCCCUCAUCCACCGUACCGGAUGAGGAUCCGUUGUCGAUCUCAUCGUCCCGCCGGUUCAGCCACCCCGUCCUCCACCUCCAAGGAGCUGCCCCGAUGUCCCCCUUGUCUUCGCGCCACCUCCAUUCCCACACCGCCGUCUUCACCUGCACCACCGGAAGAGCAUCAUCAUCACCGUUUCCUCGGAUGAAGUUGCGGCCUAAUCGGUGCCACCAAAGAGGUUGUACACUAAUCGCCGCAUUUUCUUCUUGAUUCAAUCUCGCGGUGCUGCCGGUGCUCGGUCCCGAGCCGACACGGCGCGGCUCCAUCCACGGCGGUGUCGCCGGCCACUUCCUCCACGGCGUCGCUCCCACGACAGCGACGUUCACAUCAGUAGGAGCUGCUGCUGCUUUAGCUCUCGCUCGCACUGCUGCUCUGCUCUUGCUCUCGGUCCCCUGCCUGGUCUGCUCUUGCUAUUGCUCUUGCUCGCGCUGCUGCUCUCGCUCUUGCUCUUGCUUGCGAUGCUGCUCUAAUUUAGCUACACUUCAGUCGACUGAAUCGACUUUUGGGUUAGUCGAUUUUCAAGGGGCGGGCUCACCGGGGUGAAGGAAGAACCAGCCGCAGCAGGGAGGGGGGCUCGCUGGAGAGGUACCCCACUAUCUAUCUUAUGGUUCAGGAUGGGGGCGGUGGUCGCCGGCGGUGGCGGGGCGUUGGCGUGGGGAUCGCCGGAGAAAAAGCUCNNNNNNNNNNNNNNNNNNNNNNNNNNNNNNNNNNNNNNNNNNNNNNNNNNNNNNNNNNNNNNNNNNNNNNNNNNNNNNNNNNNNNNNNNNNNNNNNNNNNNNNNNNNNNNNNNNNNNNNNNNNNNNNNNNNNNNNNNNNNNNNNNNNNNNNNNNNNNNNNNNNNNNNNNNNNNNNNNNNNNNNNNNNNNNNNNNNNNNNNNNNNNNNNNNNNNNNNNNNNNNNNNNNNNNNNNNNNNNNNNNNNNNNNNNNNNNNNNNNNNNNNNNNNNNNNNNNNNNNNNNNNNNNNNNNNNNNNNNNNNNNNNNNNNNNNNNNNNNNNNNNNNNNNNNNNNNNNNNNNNNNNNNNNNNNNNNNNNNNNNNNNNNNNNGGGGCGGCGGCGGACCGGCGGUGGGAAGUGUUUUCGGGGCGGGCGGGGCGGUGCACCGCCGGCCGCAGGCGGCGGGGGGUUGCUGUUUGGCCAGUGGUGGCUAGCGGCUCAGGGGGGUGGAGGUUGAAGAUGAAGCGCAAGCCCUUGAUUUCGUAUCCAACGGCUGCAAAAUCGACUGACAAGAGAUGAAAAAGUCAAUCGACCGACAUGUAGCCUCACCUUGCUAGUGCGUUCAGUUUCGACAGCAAAAUUCAGUUUCGACAGCAAAAUUCAGCUUCGACAGUUAAGUUCAGUUUCGACAGUUAAGUUCAGAGAUGAGCGGCUGAUGUAUUUUACAUCUAGCACUUUGUGGUUAUGUAUUUUACGUCAUGUAUUGGAGAUGCUAUUAGAAUUCCACUCAGGUCAACGUUGUUCGUUGUCUCUCUUGUCCUACUUUAGCCUCGGCGUCGUCCAACUCACCGGAGCUGCUCCAACGAUGAAACCCUCCAUCACAGCGGAGCAGUACCUUGGGCUCCAUCUCUAGACGCCUAAGAUCUUCUUCCCCUCCUCCGACAGCAAAGUCAGCCGGAGCAUUCUCAUCGGCCAACCCAAUCACGCUGAGAUCGACAUGGAUUCACCAAAGAGGUUGUACACUUGUUGCAUCUCUUUUUUACUCUACAUGUUAUAUAUAUUGUCCACUGAGCACUCGUAGUAACGGGAAACACGAUUGUUUUAUCCUACUAUAUGACAAGCAGUGAGGUACCAGGCAACUUAGCUAUCCGUGAUGGACUCUCUUGAACGCCAUCAUUAUUUAUCUCUGCGUGUUUGAGCUGUGCAUUUGUCAAUGGGCCUGGGAGUUAAGCUAGUAUGGCAGUGGCCUGGGUCCAAAGUAAUAGAAGUAGCACAAAAACAUUUUUUUAGUGUAGGAUUUUCCUUUCUCAAGCCUGCCUACUAGAAUCGCCAGUGCUUGAAAGGAAAAGUGAAUAAAAAACAUAGGAAUUGGAAAGUUUCCUAUGGUACUACUUUUCAUGAAUUUGGUGCAAAGGAAUGGAGCAAAGGAAAACUGUAGGAUUUGUUCCUUUAGUGUCUCCUUGAAAGAAAAACCAUAGGAAUUCUAAUUUCCACUUCUCCUCCUUUUCAUAUUCCUAUUCAUCAAGCACAAGACUAAGAGAUAGUAGCAUAAUAGCAUUAUAACCAUACAUUUUCUUGUGGUUUGACUUAAUCUCACCAUGCUUUUUUGCAUCCUAUGAUCUUCCAAUUGUUGUGAAUCAAACACCCAGAUUGGCAGAAAUCUUGUGUUUUUCAAUUCUCUGUUUUGCACGUGCAUUCCUAUCUUAUUCCUGUCUAUUUCCUAUCCCUGCAUUGUUAGAAUCCUCAAAUUCAAACAAGCCCUUACUCAAUUACUUCUGUUACAGAUAUGUGUCAAAGAAAACCUUGUGUGGUUUGUCCUGCUCCUGCGGCGCUGUGUUCCACCCCAGCUCAGCUGCUCCAAUGACGGAAGGGUUCACCGAAGUAGGGAUCCGCUCUCCAGACUGUCUUUCACCGCCUCGGAUCUUCUUCCCCGCCGCCAGCAGCCACGACAACUGCAUUACCAUCAUCAACUGAGCAGAUGACCUUGAGGACUACACGGAUCCGCAAGAGAGGUCGCACUCUUCCGUGUCUGCUUACGUUAUGCGUCGCUUAAUAUGAUGACAUGCUACAUUAUCGUUGUGUUCACCUAUUAGACUCCGAGUCAGGUCCAAACUAAUGCUGAAACUUGAUUUUUUAUAUGGUUGUGGGGUACAUAUUGGGGCAACAAUCAGUACUAUCUGUCUACUUUCUGGUUAAUCUCUGGUGUCUACUAUGAGUUUCAUGUUGGGUGCAAACAAACAUUAAAGGAGCCAUCAUCUGUAUUUUUUAACUAAAGCUAUUAUCUGCCUGCUAUCAUUGGUUUUGGGUCUAUCCACAGUUUGCUACCAUCACUCUGGAUUUGUGCAUGCACUUCUUACAUAAUCUCACUAUGUUUUAUUCCUAUGCAUGCCAAUUAUUGUACACAAUGGAACUGAUCAUGUAGAGCAAAAGAGACGAGCCUUGCGUGGCACUAAAAUUUCAUGCAGACAUCGUUCCAUGGUGGGCGCAAAGGCAGUCCCCCCUCCACCCAUUUCGGAUCGUAAUCAAGAGGAAGAUAAUUGUUCUGAGGGGGAUUCAGAAGGAGAAGACCACUCCUAUUUACCCCAUGAGGUCUUCGCUCUAACUUGGCAUGCUGAUGUUGGUAAUAUCAUGCAUAUGGUGCCUUUCAUUGCUUACUGUAUACAUUAAAGAUGUCAUCUGCUUAGUUUAGACAUGCUUUGUGUCAAUGUCAUCUAUUUAGUUUCGUUAUCGUAUAUGUGAAUCAUGCAAUGCCAUCUUGUCUAGCCAGGCAUCAUAUAUGUGAAUUUUGCAAUGCCACCCUGGUUAGCCAGUCAUCUUAUAUGUGAAUUAUAUCAUGCCAUCAUUUUUUUAUCACGUGUUAAAUUUGUCAACAAUUUAGUACAUUCAAUUACUCUUCCUGUGCAUCAGCCAUUCGGCACGAUCAUGGAAAAAUCUGGAGUGGAAACAAGGUCUUCAGAGCAGACAAUGCUAUCUGACAAAGCGCAUGUCUUGCUGGUUACCGAUAGCUCCUCAGAGGAGGAUUCAGAGACAGAUGACCAGUCAUAUUCCCCCCCCCAAGGUGCAUGCCCUAACUUGGCAGGGUUAUGUUGCUCAUAUCGUGCGUAUGGUAUCUUGCAUUGCUAUGUCAUUUGCUUAGUUUAGACAUGCUUUGUGUUAAUGCCACCUGUUUAGUGUCGAAUUACCAUACAUGUGAAUUAUGCAAUGCCAUCUUGUUGCAAGACAUUAUAAAUGUGAAUUAUGCAAUGUUAUCUUGUUGCAAGACAUUAUGUAUGUGAAUUAUGCAAUGCCAUGCUGUUUAGGCAAGCGUCAUAUAUGUGAAUUAUAUCAUGCCGUCCUUUUUUUGUAUUUCUCAUUGCUUUUGUCGACAAUGUUUGUAUAUUCAACUGCUCUUCCUGUGCAUCAGCCAUUUGAAUUGGUGAUGGAGAAAUCUGGAGUGAAAACAAGGUCUUCAGAGCAGACAAUGCUACCUACUGAAGCAUAUAUCUUGCUGGUUACAGAUAGCUCUUCAGAGGAGGAUUCAGAGGCAGAUGACCAGUCCUAUUAUCCCCCUGAGGUGUAUGCUCAAACUUGGCAGGGUUAUAUUACUCAUAUAAUACAUAUGUUGUAUUGCAAUGCUUAGUUUUUACAUCAUAUACACAAUAUUGAAUGCCAUCUCCUUAGUUGACACAUCAUAUAUGCGAUUGCCCUCUGCUCACUUCCUUAGUAUAUAAAUUAUAUAUUUGAAUUAUGUCAUGCCAUGAUGUUUACAUAGACAACAUGUAUCUAAAUUAUGGUAUGCCAACCCAUUUUCUAAAGACAUAAUAUAGUUAUAUCAUCUCAUCCUGUUUACAUAGUCAUCAUAUUUUAAAUUAUGUCAAUCUAUCCGUGAAUUAUAUCAUGCCAUCAUGUUUCCAUCGACGACAUGUUUGUGAUUUAUGGCAUGCCAACCACUUUAAUAGACACAUCGUAUAGUUAUAUCAUGUCAUCCUGUUUACAUAGUCAUCAUAUUUUGAAGUAUGUCAUUCUAUCAUGUUAGUUAGCCAUCAUACAUGUGAAAUUGUGUCAUGCUAUCCUGUUUAAUUAGCCAUCAUAUAUGUGAAAUUAUGUCCUGCUAUUUUGUUUGCUUAGACAACAUAAAUGUAAAUUAUUUCAUGCCCUGUUUUCUUCCCUACUAUCCAUUGCACCUGUCUAUCUUACAAUGUCUGUACAUUCAAUUACUUUUCUUGUUUAUCAGCCAUUUCAAUUGGAGGGAGUGAUGGCAGUAUCUGUGGGAGUAAAAACAUGGUCUUCAGAAAAGAUCGUGCUACUUGUCGAUGCAGAUAGAACCAUGGUUGUACUUGACCAAGAACCAGCCCCACCACACAUAACCCACACUCAUGCAGACUGUACCCCUACCCAGUUGGACAGAGAACCAGCUACACCCCUUCUAACCCCAACCCCAGCAGAUAGACACCCAGUUCCUAUUGACACAGCACCGUCUCCACCACAGAGCACCCAAACACGAGUAGUUAGUAAGGCAACUGCAGUGCCCAAAUCACGAGGACCACCACUCCGAACCCGAAGUCAACGCUUAAAGCAGAAGAAGAAUUUCUCAGGUCAGGUUCCGUAGCUAUGGUUCAUACUACUUUGCUCUUGCAUCACUGUAUUUACUGAUACCAACCAAUUUCAAAUUUGAUGGAUGCAAUUGAAACUCCAAUGGGGCAAAAGGUAUGUUUUAAACCUGUUUCUUCAACGUGUUUGGUUGUUUGCUGUUGUAACUUGCUCUAUGUUGAUUUCAGUUUCAAUUGAAUAAACAGUUAUGUUCUCAUGCCAUGCACAUUACAAGUGUUGUUAUUGCAGUGUAGUUUCCCACACUUAUAUUCUGUCUAUGCUGCUUUGUCUUAAAUAGAUAUGAUUCGAACUGUAUCUGUCUUGAUUUGGCAACAUAGACUAGAAUGAUAUAGACCAUACAGUGACCAUACUACAUAGAUAUAUGUUUGUUUCAUGUUGUUAUCCUGUCCACCUUACUACUGAACUGGUUUACCAAAAUGAGUUUCAUAUACUACAUUGUAAACCUGAGAUGUGUUUGUUUGUUUCUCUUUUAGAACGCGGAUAAAAUAUUGGAGAAGAGUACCCUGUUAUGCAAUGCUAAAGGAAGUAAUGCAGAUAAGGUUCAAGAUAGUGAGACAUCCCUGUUGGUCUCCAAGAAAGCUGAUAAAAACUAUAUUGAAGACACUGAGACAACCCCAAAGUCCUGUCUUGAUGUCGUGUUCGAGUUACUGGCUACCACUGCUGGCACCAGCUCUUCGAACUCGUUGCCUCAAUCAGUUCGGCUUCUUGAGUAUCAACUUCAAGUUGAAAGACAUCGAUUACAUGUUAUGUGACAGGAAGCCGAAGGACUGAGGAAGUCCCUGCAGAAUUCAGAUGCAUACUUUCUGGUGCAACAACAAGCGCUGGAGGACUUAAGCGCCAAACAAGAGAAAGUUAAUAAGCUUGCUAAGCAUCUUGCCAGCAUUAUGGGUACCCAGGAUAUUGUUUCUUGAGCUCUUCUGAAGUGGUUUCAGUUCUGGACUUGUUUUGCUACGGCGUUUAUAUGCUGCUGUGUUCCCUAUAUUUGCACUGGUGGCGAACUUUGAUGCCCAGAGGAUGUAAUAUGUGUAAUAGCCGUGAUAGCCUAGUGUAAGUUGCUUACUUAUUUAUUUCCUUGUUGUCUUGUUUAUUUGUUUGCUUGUAGUCAGUGUAGUUCUUUUUCUGCGGUUUGCUAGUGGCUGCAAUAACCUAUUUUCUAAAACUAGGCCACAAUAACCAUGGGCUAAUAUUUACUGUAGUGACACUGGACCUACGGGCCAUAGAAACAGUGGGCCUUCUGCGGGCCGUAUAAACAGUGGGCCUUCUAUGGGCCAUAUAAACAAUGGGCCUUCUACAGGCCGUAGAAACAGUGGGCCUUCUACGGGCCGUAGAAACAAUGGGCCUUCUACGGGCCGUAGAAACAAUGGGCCUUCUACGGGCCGUAUCAUCAAUGGGCCUUAUACGGGUCAUAUGACCGAUUGACCAAACAUGGGCCAAACAGACCGCAUUCUGGCCGUAAACGGGCUAGAGUUGGAAUCGUCCAUUCAUGGGCCGACCAUAACGGGCCAUUGUUAAUAGGCCAUAUUUGAUGACGCUACGAAAACGGCCCAACGUAUUAAUGGACCACAAACGGGCCGACUGUAACCACGGGCUGAAUUUGGCCCACAAGCAGAAAAUGACAGUAACGGGCCGUAAGUAAAUGAAUGCUGGAAAUGAGCCCAAGAAUAAAUGGGCUCUGAGAAGGCCGAAAGAUAAUAUGGGCUGGAAACGGCCCAACGGAAUAACGGGCCGUUAAUGGGUAUAAAGUGAUACACUGUUCUAUACGGGCCAGUUUCACCACGGGUCGUUAAAGGGUGCAAAGUGAUACACUGUUCAUUACGGGCCAGUUUCACUACGGGCCGUUAAUAGGCCAAGAGUUACAUAGGGCCUCAUAUGGGCCGAAAGAUGUCAUGGGCCAUACAUGGGCCAGAAGUGAAAAUGGGCUCGAACCAUAUUGGAUGGCCCAGAUGAUGCUAUUGGGCCUAAUUCGAAUAGGGCAUAAUGGGCCUUGGGUUAGCGGGCUGUAAAUGGGCUAUAUGCGAACAGGCCGUUAACAGGCUUUCCAUGGGCCGGCCCACCACCUUUUGACCAAGUCAAACAGGCCGGCCUUUCCACAGUAAUGGGCCUCUGUUGGGCCGUGCCACGUGUCGACGUAUCAUAGGCGCCUUCUGUCCAAUGAGUGGAUGACAUCUGUCCCAGUGAUGAGCCAACACGUGUUUCCUCCAGCCAAUGAUGAUUUUACACGUGGAAAAUCCCCAUUGGUCGGGGCUGUUAACGGGUUAUCGGAUCCAAAACCCGACCCGAUAGCUUAACGGCGUUCCGUUACGGUGGAUGCCACGUGUCGGUCACCCUUGACGAAAGCACUUCUGUGACGCGUGAUUUAUCGUCAUGGAAGUGGACACUUCCGUGAUGAUAAUUUUGGUAAUGUCAUGGAACACUUCUACGACAGCACGGGUAUGACUAUCUUGAUUCUGUCAUAAAUUUGCCAUGGAUGUACAUGCAUGACAAAAAACGCGACCUACUAUGACAAACACGUAUCAUCACGGAAGUGUAUUUUUUUGUAGUGCCAGGGCCGAUUUAAACAUAAUCAUGUAUAAACAAUAUCAUACCUGUGAUAUUGAAUCGUACUGCCGGUUUAUUAUACCUAUGCAGUAAGGGUGAUAACCCAAAACUUAAAAGCCAAACCUUCCAAGUAUUAAUAUUGUCAUAUGCUGGCAACUUAUCGUCCAAAGUCGAGCCGGGUUAAAUAUAAGCCACAUAUAUAUAUAUGCCUCAGAUAUGAACAAAAAAAGUCUCAAGACAAACCCAAAGAUUGUUUUCAAAAAACUUAAGCCAAACAGGGAGAAAAAUGAAGCUUCUGAUUUGAAUAAGAUCAGUAAGCCGGACCAAAAGGGGUUAAGCUAGGAUUCAAAUAUGAUCAGGAAGCCCCCUAGUGGUUUUGGCAUUGCGCCGAUCAACAGGGUACCGACAACUAUGUUCUCUUUGAUUCGAAUACGACCUAUGUUUGAACAGGAAGCCCCCAAAUGACCUUGAGACUUUUUUAACGACUCUGAUUUGAAUACGAUCAAAGUCAGACCCAAAAGGGGUUAAGCUAUUAUUCGGAUACGAUCAAGAAGCCCCCUAGUGGGUUUGGCAUUGCGCCGAUCAAGAGGGUACUGACAUCUAUGUUCUCUUUGGUUCGAAUAUGACCUAUGUUUGAACAGGAAGCCUCCAAAUGACCUUGAGAUUUUUUAACGACUCUGAUUCAAAUACGAUCAAAGUCGGACCCAAAAGGGGUUAAGCUAUGAUUCGAAUACGAUCAGCCCCCAAUGGUCUUGGAAGCAGGGUACCUAUGUUUGAGUUGUGCUUUGCAACAAACUCUCUUUGGUCCCUUUAAGUUUUCCUAAGAACUCGAACUUUGCGAGGGAUAAAUUCUUCUUGAGACGGAAUUUUUAACUGGAUAUUGAGAGCUUCAGAGCUUUGUGAGAGACAGAUUUCUCUUGAACCGGAUUUUAAACCGGAUAUUCUUCAUUUUGAGCCGGAAAUUUUUCUGACGGCCUUUAAACUAGCAACAUUUACUGAGCCAUGUCCAUGGAGCCCCCGAGUCUUAAGAUGACUCAAGAAGUUGUCUUGAGAUUCUCCAUAUUUGACUGUGAUAUAAACCGUUAUGAGUCAUUGAACAGCUUAGUAAUAUAAUAGUCCCUUUUGCAAUAGACCACUUACCCUACAUUAGAGAACUUGCAAGCCAGAGUAGUUGCUCUCUAAAGAAAGCAAUAUGUAAUAUAAAAAUAUAUUGGAUGGAUUUCACCUGAUACGUCAGGCCAGUAGUUAUCAACCGCAGAGUUGAUGAUCACCACGGUGAAGCUGAAGUCAACCAGGGGUAAGUCGGCCGUGGGAGCAGACAGAUGAGCCGGCCGCAGUGUUAUAAGCCGGUGCGGAUGAGUGAGGCAAUCGCAGGCGCGGUAAGCCGCGCGGACGGGCAAAUCAACCAUGUCAUAUUGAUGUAAAUUGGGCCGUAAAAACGGCGGUUUGCACAUAUAUUCAUCGAGCAUCAUGGCACAUAAGAUAGUAGCACAUGAUAAUAAUGGCGCGAGCUAUACAUCCAUGACACAACCAUCACUCUCGCAAUGAACAAUUGUCCUACAUAAACAAUAUUGCAGACAAAGGCAAAAAUAAAUUGUUUUUUUGAUAAAAAAACAAUAUGUGUUAAUAAAAUAAACUUGGAUGGGUAUUACCUGAUGUUUUGUUAGGCGAAUGCGGACACUGGAAAGUGAAUAGUAUAUGCAUGUGAUUAGCACUCUGGCCGCAUAAUCCAUGCACAUAGAAGGUUUUCUCCUCCUUCUCUCUGAGCAGUAUAUGAGUGACCAGAAGAUCUAUAAGCAGAUUUGUCAGUAAUAUCCCAUCCAUCAUCAGGGGCAGCCUCAAACACCCCAUAUGACUUGUGCUUGUUGCAGUUUAAAGAGAAAAAGGAGCAUCCCUUGUUUGACAUUGUCAACAAAAAAGGCAAGUCUAAAAAUUGUCUAAUCCAAAGAAACUGCUCCUUUGCGCUGGUGUUGCACAUGAAGAUCCCACCUGUCAUGUUAGUGUCUUUCCUGAAAGAGAGACACAUCACGCAAAUGAUCAGGCGCCUCGUAGCGACGACGGGCGAGGGCGCAACGUAGUAGGUGGAAAGCCGCCCGAGGACAGGUCCGACUUGAAGCCGUGAGGCGGCUGGACACCGUUGCGGGGGCGACCCCGGCUAGCAGGCAGGAGGCGGCAUCUCAAGGCCACAACGGCGGGCGAUGCGGGAGUGGUAGGUUGGGCGGGCCGAGGUAGGAGCUUGACGGCUCGAAGGCAGUCGGCGGCUUGAAGACGAGCCAGCGACUGCAGAAGGCCCGUGGUUGUGGAGGCAAGGCGAGGCUGAGCUUGGAGGCGCGAGGACAAUGGUGGCUCUGCGGCAAAGGCCAGGGGCUCUCUGGCGGCGGCUCAACACUUUCCAGCGGCUCACGAUGAUGGCGACUUGAAUCCGCGAGGCUGGUCGAUGUAAGGCCGAGCAGGGACGGCAGGUGACUCUCCCACGAGGCGCGAUGGUGAUUGGAUAAGAUGGCGAGGGGGAAACAAGCCGUAGAAGCAAUUUGAACAUCCACCAUACUUCUGGUACCCCCAACAAUUCUACCAAAAUUAGCAAAAAUAAACAAGUUGUAAAGCAAGACAGUACAAAAGGAAUCAGAACCAUUUGACGUUCCAGUUAAAAAUGUAAAAUCGCGUACUACAGCCAAAGUUUCUCUCCAGCACCGUACAAACCAACAAGCAUUGUAAACAUCCUAAAGGCAAACCUUGGCACAUUAUUUUUAUAAUACAAUGGAAAUAUACAAGGGGAUAAUUAUUUUUAUUGAAAAGUUUCUGUAAUUAAGAUUCACAAAGUCCCCAUGGGCCUAAACAAGUUUAAGGACGUCCCCCACUUUCACAAUGCUUGUCUCUCUCACUUUCACUUCUCUUUUUGAAAAGUUUUGGGUUCCCCUCUUUAUUUUUGUUGUUUUUAAACUAUAUGAAAAGCACUCAAUAGAAAUAAAUGACUCUCUAAAACUUCCGGAUUGUCUCCCUGGCAGCGCUUUCUUUAAAGCCAUUAAGCUAGGCAUUUAGUGCUCAAGUAAUGAAUCCACCCGGAUCCCAAGGUAUAUUAAAGCCAAUUUUAAUUAACAAUGAUUUGUAAUUUAGUAGUGAGCGCAAAGUAACAUAAAUCAUGUAAUAACAAAGUCUAACUCUCUUCCUAUGCAUCGGCAUGUCAUAAAAGAACAAUUCAUGCACACAUAGUAAAGGCCAAUGCAUAGUAUAAACAGUUUCUUGCAAUUUUAUCGUGUGGGAAACAUAGAGAGGUGGAGACAUAGUUCCUCUCUCAUAAUAAUUGCAAGUAGGAGCAGCAAGCACAUGCAUAUUAUAUUCAUCAAAAUCAUCAUCUGCAAUGGUAAAAGGCAACCCAUCAAUAUAAUCCUUAAUAAGUGCAAGCUUCUCCGAUAUAGUGUAGUCGGGAGAAUUCAAAAAGAUAAUAGGACUAUCAUGCGUGGGUGCAAUAGCAAUAAUUUCAUUCAUAACAUAAGGAACUAUAGCAAGUUCAUCUCCAUAAGCAUAAUUCAUAUUGGCAUCUUGGCCACAAGCAUAGCAAGCAUCAUCAAAAAGGGAUAUUUCAAGAGAAUCAAUGGGAUCAUAGCAAUCAUCCUUCGGUAAGCACGAAGGGGAAUUAAACAAUGUAUGAGUUGAAGAGUUACUCUCAUUGGAAGGUGGGCACGGGUUAUCAAUCCUCUCUUCCUCCUUUUGUUCUUCGCUCUCCUCAUCAUCUUUUUCAUCCAAUGAGCUCACAAUUUCAUCAAUUUCUUCUUCCAUAGCUUCCUGCAAAAUAUUACUCUCUUCUUGGACAACGGAGACCUCCUUAAUAAAUUGUUUAACAUAGGCAUUAGAAGCAUAAUUCUCAUAGCAAUAUUCAAGUAUGGCAAAAUUUUCAGAUUUGUAAAGAGUAGCAUCAUACUUUUCAAUCAAAAUAGCAAUUUCAAAAGCACCCUUAAAAGCAACAAAUUCCUCAAUUUGUUGAACAUCAUAGCAACUAUAAACACCCUUAGCAUACGAAGAUAAGAUCCCAUUAUCAAUAAACUCACAUUGGUAGGGAAGGUGUUUUUUUAGGGUUUUCAGAACAACAAGUAAAAUCAUAUUCCCAACAGAAAUUCCAAGCAUAGCAUUGUAAAUGUUGAAUUUGACCCAUAAUAGUUUCCCUUUUUCAGAUAUACGGUGUCGCACAUAACAAGCAUGCUCAUCUAAAGAUUUUCCCUCAACUAAACUAGUUGGGGUUUCAACACGAGCACAUAGGGAUCGAAUAUGAUCCAAGUAAUAAGCUUCAGCAGUGUGCUAGAUUUUGAGUGGUUCUUCAACCAUUGGUUCAGCAGGUACAACUAAUUUUUUUGGUAUUUUGCGUUUCCUGCCCAUGACUAAAGAUACAAAACAACUAAGAACAAAAAAUAAAAAUUACUUAGUGAUAAUGCAAACAAUCACACACGAGAAUAUUCACCCCAUGCUAUGACUCCCCGGCAACGGCGCCAGAAAAAGGUCUUGAUAACCCACAAGUAUAGGGGAUAGUUGUAGCCUCUUUCGAUAAGUAAGAGUGUCGAACCCAACGAGGAGCUAAAGGUAGAACAAAUACUCUCUCAAGUCCUAUCGGCCACUGAUACGACUCUACGCACGCUUGACGUUCGCUUUACCUAGAACAAGUAUGAAACUAGAAGUACUUUGUAGGUGUUUUUGGGUAGGUUUGCAAGAAAGUAAAGAAUGCGUAAAUAUAAACUAGGGGCUGUUUAGAUAAAGAAGCAAAUAAAGUAAAUAUAGCGAGUGUGCAAAAGUGGUGGUAGGAGUUGUGGAAUUGUCCCUAAGCAAUUGACUAUGUUACUAGACCGGUAAUCGCUAUUGCAAUUCUAUUUGAGGGAGAGGCAUAAGCUAACAUACUUUCUCUACUUAGAUCAUAUGCACUUAUGAUUGGAACUCUAGCAAGCAUCCGCAACUACUAAAGAUUCAUUAAGGUAAAACCAAACCAUAGCAUUAAAGCAUCAAGUCCCCUUUUAUCCCAUACGCAAACAACCUACUUACUCGGGUCUGUGCUUCUGUCACUCACGCCACCCACCAUAAGCAAAUCAUAAACAUAUUGCAAACCCUACAGCGGGAAUCCCUCACGCUUGCGCGACAUGGAGGGCACAAUAGGACAGCACCAAUAAUAAAACAUACAACUCAAACCAAUCAUAGCAAUCCAUCAAUCACCGAUAGGACAAUAGAAAUCUACUCAGACAUCAUAGGAUGGCAACACAUCAUUGGAUAAUAAUAUGAAGCAUAAAGCACCAUGUUCAAGUAGAGGGUACAGCGGGAUGCGGGAGAGUGGACCGCUGGAUAUAGAUGGGGGAAGGUGAUGGAGAUGUUGGUGAAGGUGACGGCGGUGUUGGUGAAGAUCGCGGUGAUGAUGAUGGCCCCCGGCGGCGUUCUGGCGCCACCGGAAGCAAGGGGGAGAGAGCCCCCCUUCUUCUUCUUCAUCCUUGACCUUCUCCCUAGAAUGGAGAAGGGUUUCCCCUCUGUUCCUUGGCUCCCAUGGCUUGGGAGGGGCGAGAGCCCCUCCGAGAUUGGAUCUAUCUCUCUGUUUCUGCGUUCUCAGAUUCUACCCCUUCACCGUUUCCUUUAUAUCUGGAGAUCCGUAACUCCGAUUGGGGUGAAUCUUUCGCCCAGAUCUUUCUCAUAAAAUUAUCUUUCUUGCACCAAAAGAAGAGCAUCAACGGCCUUACGGGUGGACCACGAGGGUCAGGGGCGCGCCUGGGGGGGGGGGGGGUAGGGCAUGCCCCCCUACCUCGUGACCACCUCGGACACCGUCUCGCAUUGAUUUUACUUCCCAAAAAUCAUAAAUAUUCCAAAAAAAACUCUGUCCGUUUUUAUCCCAUUGGGACUCCGUUUGAUAUUGGGUUUCUGCGAAACAAAAAACAUGCAACAGACAGGAACUGGCACUGGGCACUGGAUCAAUAUGUUAGUCCCAAAAAAUAGUAUAAAAAGUUGCCAAAAGUAUAUAAAUCUUGAAUAAUAUUGGCAUGGAACAAUCAAAAAUUAUAGAUACGAUGAAGACGUAUCAGCAUCCCCAAGCUUAAUUCCUGCUCGUCCUCGAGUAGGUAAAUGAUAAAAAGAAAUAAUUUUUGAUGUGGAAUGCUACCUAGCAUAAUCUUGAUCAUAUGUCUAAUCAUGGCAUGAAUAUUAAGACACGAGUGAUUCAAAGCAAUUGUCUAUCAUUUGACAUAAAAACAAUAGUACUUUGAGUGUACCAAUAAAGCAAUCAUGUCUUUUCAAAACAACAAGGCAAAAGCAAGCUUAUCCCUACAAAAUCAUAUAGUUUGGCCAUGCUUCAUUUUCGUCACACAAAAUGCCCCCAUCAUGCACAACCCCGAUGACAAGCCGAGCAAUUGGUUCAUACUUUUUAACGCGCUUCAGCUUUUUCAACCCUCACGCAAUACAUGAGCGCAAGCCAUGGAUAUAGCACUAUAGGUGGAAUAGAGUAUAAUGAUUGAGGUUAUGUGGAGAAGACAAAAAGGGAGAAAGUCUCACAUCGACGCGGCUAAUCAACGGGCUAUGGAGAUGCCCAUCAAUUGAUGUCAAUGCGAGGAGUAGGGAUUGCCAUGCAACAGAUGCACUAAGAGCUAUAAGUGUAUGAAAGCUCAACAAAAGAAACUAAGUGGGUGUGCAUCCAACUUGCUUGCUCAUGAAGACCUAGGGCAUUUGAGGAAGCCCAUCGUUGGAAUAUACAUGCCAAGUUCUAUAAUGAAAUUCCCACUAGUAUAUGAAAGUGACAACAUAGGAGACAAUCUAUAUGAAGAAUAUGGUGCUACUUUGAAGCACAAGAUAUGAGACUCACUACAUGAAGAACAUGGUGCUACUUUGAAGCACAAGUGUGGAAAAAGAGAUAGUAACAUUGCCCCUUUUUAUUUAUUUUCUUUUUUUUCUUUUUUUUAUUUUUUUAUUUUUUUCUUUGGCCUUUCUUUUUUUGGCCUUUUUUUCUUUUUGGGGACAAUGCUCUAAUAAUGAUGAUCAUCACACUUUUAUUUACUUACAACUCGAUAUUACAACUCGAUACUGGAACAAAGAUAUGACUCCAUAUGAAUGCUUCCGGCGGUGUACCGGGAUGUGCAAUGAUCUAGCGUAGCAAUGACAUCAAAAAAUAGACAAGCCAUGAAAACAUCAUGCUAGCUAUAUUACGAUCAUGCAAAGCAAUAUGACAAUGAAUGCUCAAGUCGUGUAUAUGAUGAUGAUGAAAGUUGCAUGGCAAUAUAUCUCGGAAUGCCUAUGGAAAUGCCAUGAUAGGUAGGUAUGGUGGCUGUUUUGAGGAAGAUAUAAUGAGGCUUAUGUGUGACAGAGUGUAUUGUAUCACGGGGUUUGGAUGCACCGGCGAAGUUUGCACCAACUCUCAAGGUGAGAAAGGGCAAUGCACGGUACCGAAGAGGCUAGUAAUGAUGGAAAGGUAAAAGUGCGUAUAAUCCAUGGACUCACAUUAGUCAUAAAGAACUCAUAUACUUAUUGCAAAAGUUUAUUAGCCCUCAAAGCAAAGUACUACAAUGCAUGCCCCUAGGGGGAUAGAUUGGUAGGAAAAGACCAUCGCUCGUCCCCGACCGCCACUCAUAAGGAAGACAAUCAAAGAAACACCCCAUGCUUCAAAUUUGUCACACAAUGGUUACCAUACGUGCAUGCUACGGGACUUGCAAACCUCAACACAAGUGUCUCUACAAUCCACAACCACCCACUAGCAUAACUCUAAUAUCACCAUCUUUAUAUUGCAAAACUAUUGCAAGGAAUCAAACAUAUCAUAUUCAGCGAUCUACAAGUUUAUGUAGGAUUUUAUGACUAACCAUGUGAAUGACCAAUUCCUGUCAUCUCUCUAAAUAGAUAUAAGUGAAGCACAUGAAGCAUUCUAUAAAGCCACACCCAAAAGAUUUAAGUUAAGUGCAAUGAGCAUUCUAUAAAUCAACCAAGGACUAUCUCAUACCAGCAUGGUGCAUAAAAGAAAAGUGAAAACUAAAUGCAAAAGACGCUCCAAGACUUGCACAUAAUGCACGAACAAAACGAAUUCGAAAACAUACCGAUACUUAUUGAAGAAAGAGGGGAUGCCUCCCCAGCAUCCCCAAGCUUAGACGCUUGAGUCUCCUUGAAUAUUUACUUGGGGUGCCUCAGGCAUCCCCAAGCUUGGGCUCUUGCCUCUCUUCCUUCUUCUCACAUCGAAAGAUCCUCGAUUAGACACUACAUCCACACAAAACUUCAAUAGAAAACUCGGUAAGAUCCGUUAGUAUAAUAAAGCAAAUCACCACUCUAAGUACUGUUGCCAACCAAUUCAUAUUUUGUUUUUGCAUUUUUUCUACUGUAAUAUAGCUUUUCCAUGGCUCAAUCCACUAAUAUAAAUUGAUAGAUUCAUCAAAACAAGCAAACUAUGCAUCAAAAACAGAAUCUGUCAAAAACAGAACAGUCUGUAGCAAUCUGAACAUCCACCAUACUUCUGGUACCCCAAAUAUUCUACCAAAAUUAGGAAAAAUAAACAAGUUGUAAGUCAAGACAGUGAAAAAAGAAUCAGAACCAUUUGACGUUCCAGUUAAAAAUGUAAAAUCGCGCACUACAGCCAAAGUGUCUGUCCAGCACCGUACAAACUAACAAGCAUUGUAAACAUCCUAAAGGCAAACCUUGGCACAUUAUUUUUAUAAUACAAUGGAACUAUACCAGGGGAUAAUUAUUUUUAUUGAAAAGUUUCCGUAAUUAAGGUUCACAAAGUUCCCAUGGGCCUGAACAAGUUUAAGGACGUCCCCCACUUUCACAAUGCUCGUCUCUCUCACUUUCACUUCUCUUUUUGAAAAGUUUUGGGCUCCCCUCUUUAUUUUUGUUGUUUAUAAACUAUAUGAAAAGCACUCAACAGAAAUAAAUGACUCUCUAAAACUUCCGGGUUGUCUCCCUGGCAGCGCUUUCUUUAAAGCCAUUAAGCUAGGCAUUUAGUGCUCAAGUAAUGAAUCCACCCGGAUCCCAAGGUAUAUUAAAGGCAAUUUUAAUUAACAAUGAUUUGUAAUUUAGUAGUGAGCACAAAGUAACAUAAAUCAUGGAACAACGAAGUCUAACUCUCUUCCUAUGCAUCGGCAUGUCAUAAAAGAACAAUUCAUGCACACAUAGUAAAGGCCAAUGCAUAGUAUAGACAGUUUCUUGCAAACACAGAGAGGUGGAGACAUAGUUCCUCUCACAUAAUAAUUGCAAGUAGGAGCAGCAAGCACAUGCAUAUUAUAUUCAUCAAAAUCAUCAUGUGCAAUGGUAAAAGGCAACCCAUCAAUAUAAUCCUUAAUAAGUGCAAGCUUCUCCGAUAUAGUGUAGUCGAGAGAAUUCAAAAAGAUAAUAGGACUAUCAUGUGUGGGUGCAAUAGCAACAAUUUCAUUCAUAACAUAAGGAACUAUAGCAAGUUCAUCUCCAUAAGCAUAAUUCAUAUUGGCAUAUUGACCACAAGCAUAGCAAGCAUCAUCAAAAAGGGAUAUUUCAAGAGAAUCAACAGGAUCAUAGCAAUCAUCAUAGCAAUCAUCCUUCGGUAAGCACGAAGGGCAAUUAUACAAUGUAUGAGUUGAAGAGUUACUCUCAUUGGAAGGUGGGCACGGGUGAUCAAUCCGCUCUUCCUCCUUUUGUUCUUCGCUCUCCUCAUCGUUUUUUCAUCCAAUUAGCUCACAAUUUCAUCAAUUUCUUCUUCCAUAGCUUCCUGCAAAAUAUUAGUCUCUUCUUGGACAGCGGAGACUUCCUUAAUAAAUUUUUUAACAUAGGCAUUAGAAGCAUAAUUCUCAUAGCAAUAUUCAAGCAUGGCAAAAUUUUCAGAUUUGUAAAGAGUAGCAUCAUACUUUUCAAUCAAAAUAGCAAUUUCAAAAGCACCCUUAAAAGCAACAAAUUCUUCAAUUUGUUGAACAUCAUAGUAACUAUAAACACCCUUAGCAUACGAAGAUAAGAUCCCAUUAUCAAUAAAGUCACAUUGGCAGGGAAGGUGUUUUUUAGGGUUUUCAGAACAACAAGUAAAAUCAUAUUCCCAACAUAAAUUCCAAGCAUAGCAUUGUAAACGUUGAAUUUGACCCCAUAAUAGUUUCCCUUUUUCAGAUAUACGGUGUCGCACAUAACAAGCAUGAUCAUCUAAAGAUUUGCCCUCAACUAAACUAGUUGGGGUUUCAGCACGAGCACAUAGGGAUCGAAGAUGAUCCAAGUAAUAAGCUUCAGCAGUGUGAUAGAUUUUGAGUGGUUCUUCAACCAUUGGUUCAGCGGGUACAACUAUUUUUUUUUGGUAUUUUGUGUUUCCAACCCAUGACUAAAGAUACAAAACAACUAAGAAUAGCAAAUAAAAAUUACUUAGUGAUAAAGCAAACAAGCACACACGAGAAUAUUCACCCCACGCUAUGACUCCCCGGCAAUGGCGCCAGAAAAAAGUCUUGAUAACCCACAAGUAUAGGGGAUAGUUGUAGCCUCUUUCGAUAAGUAAGAGUGUCGAACCCAACGAGGAGCUAAAGGUAGAACAAAUACUCUCUCAAGUCCUAUCGGCCACUGAUACGACUCUACGCAUGCUUGACGUUUGCUUUACCUAGAACAAGUAUGAAACUAGAAGUACUUUGUAGGUGUUUUUGGGUAGGUUUGCAAGAAAGUAAAGAACACGUAAAUAUAAACUAGGGGCUGUUUAGAUAAAGAAGCAAAUAAAGUAAAUAUAGCGAGUGUGGAAAAGUGGUGGUAGGAGUUGUGGAAUUGUCCCUAAGCAAUUGACUAUGUUACUAGACCGAUAAUCGCUAUUGCAAUUCUAUUUGAGGGAGAGGCAUAAGCUAACAUACUUUCUCUACUUGGAUCAUAUGCACUUAUGAUUGGAACUCUAGCAAGAAUCUGCAACUACUAAAGAUUCAUUAAGGUAAAACCCAACCAUAGCAUUAAAGCAUCAAGUCCCCUUUUAUCCCAUACGCAAACAACCUACUUACUCGGGUCUGUGCUUCUGUCACUCACGCCACCCACCAUAAGCAAAUCAUAAACAUAUUGCAAACCCUACAGCAGGAAUCCAUCACGCUUGCGCGACACAGAGGGCACUAUAGGACAGCACCAAUAAUAAAAUGUGCAACUCAAACCAAUCAUAGCAAUCCAUCAAUCACCGAUAGGACAAUAGAAAUCUACUCAGACAUCAUAGGAUGGCAACACAUCAUUGGAUAAUAAUAUGAAGCAUAAAGCACCAUGUUCAAGUAGAGGGUACAGCAGGAUGCGGGAGAGUGGACCGCUGGAUAUAGAUGGGGGAAGGUGAUGGAGAUGUUGGUGAAGAUGACGGCGGUGUUGGUGAAGACCGCGGUGAUGAUGAUGGCCCCCGAUGGCGUUCCGGCGCCACCGGAAGCAAGGGGGAGAGAGCCCCCCUUCUUCUUCUUCUUCCUUGACCUUCUCCCUAGAUGGGAGAAGGGUUUCCCCUCUGGUCCUUGGCUCCCAUGGCUUGGGAGGGGCGAGAGCCCCUCUGAGAUUGGAUCUAUCUCUCUGUUUCUGCGUUCUCAGAUUCUACCCCUUCACCGUUUCCUUUAUAUCUGGAGAUCCGUAACUCCGAUUGGGGUGAAUCUUUCGCCCAGAUCUUUCUCAUAAAAUUAUCUUUCUUGUCCCAAAAGAAGAGCAUCAACUGCCUUAUGGAUGGACCACGAGGGUCAGGUGCGCGCCUGGGGGGGUAGGGCGCGCCCCCCUACAUCGUGACCACCUCGUACACCGUCUCGCGUUGAUUUUACUUCCCAAAAAUCAUAAAUAUUCCAAAAAAAAUCUCCAUCCGUUUUUAUCCCGUUUGGACUCUGUUUGAUAUUGGGUUUCUGCAAAACAAAAAACAUGCAGCAGACAGGAACUGGCACUGGGCACUGGAUCAAUAUGUUAGUCCCAAAAAAUAGUAUAAAAAGUUGCCAAAAGUAUAUAAAUGUUGAAUAAUAUUGGCAUGGAACAAUCAAAAAUUAUAGAUACGACGAAGACGUAUCACUCCUCUAGUUGUGUCUAGCCUUAGCGAUUAUUUUCUUGCCUGUCCCUCUUGGGGUGCCCUGCCCCUCCUUACAUAAGUUGAAGGGGCGGGUUACAUGUGGAGUCCUAUUAGGAUUAGGACUAGUCUAUUACAAGUGACGUCCUAUUCUUGCUUCCUUUGUAAGGGAAUAUUCCUUACGCUUUCCUCUUAAGCUGGCCCAUCAUAAUACAAGCUGGCCUUCUGGGCCUUGGGCCUAGUCUUCUAUCUGACCCGCCGUCGGAACCAUUAGUGUGUCGCUAGGCUCGUGAGUCAUCAGACCAGUGAGCUGCCAGACUCGUGAGUCGCCAAUCCUCCGGCGGGUUACCAAUGAAACGCCAAGUCCAGUCGGGUCAUACUUCUGGCCGGGUCAUACCGCGGGGUAUAUCCUCGACAGGUUGCGUAUGGCCAUUUCACUAGGCGUCCCGCGCUUGAUGGUCUAUGGCAACUCAGACUUAGUGGUUAACCAAGUAAUGAAAGAAUGGGACGUCAGGAGUCCCGCAAUGACAGGUUAUUGCGAUGAAGUGAGAAAGCUAGAGAAGAAGUUUGAGGGGUUAGAGCUCCACCACAUACCACGAAUCAAGAAUCAAGCUGCUGAUGAUUUGGCGAAGAUAGGUUCCACUCAGAAGCCUAUCGCCAGCAAUGUGUUCUUGGAGCAUCUCCAUACCCUGUCGGUACAAGAAGAUCCCUUCAAGGAAGAGCCCACGCAACCGAUAAGUUCAACGAACCUAACUGAGAUCGAGGUUCCAGCCGUGGUCGACUUGAUCAUGGAAGUCUUGGUGGUCAUGCCCGAUUGGACAGUACUGUACAUCGCAUACAUUCUCCGAAAGGAGCUCCCAGAGGAUGAAGAUGAGGCUCGCCAGAUAGUCCAUCGAUCGAAAGCUUUCACCUGAUGAAAGGGCAGCUUUACAGAGAAAGUGUCACAGGAGUGGUUCAACGUUGCAUCACCUCGGAAGAAGGCCGAAUGAUCUUAAACGAUAUCCACUCCGGGACCUAUGGUCACCAUGCGUCCUCUCGGACCAUCAUGGACAAAGCAUAUCGAGCGGGAUUCUAUUGGCCUCGAGCAAAUGAGAUGGCGAAAGAUAUAGUUGACCAGUGCGCAGGUUGCCAAUUCUACUCCAACAUGUCCCACAAGCCUGCAUUUGCCCUGAAGACUAUUCCACUCGUCUAGCCGUUUGUAGUCUGGGGAUUGGAUAUGGUUGGGCCCUUCAAGACCGGCGCGAGUGGUUUCACCCAUUUACUCGUAGCAGUCGACAAGUUCACCAAGUGGAUCGAAGCCAAGCCCAUCAAAAACCUUGGAGCAGGCACUACCAUCAGUUUCAUCAAGGAGUUGAUAUUCAGAUAUGGAGUUCCUCACAGCAUUAUCACAGAUAACGGCUCCAACUUUGAUUCUGAUGAGUUCAAGGCGUUCUGCGCGUCCCAAGGCACUAGGGUCAACUAUGCGUCCGUCACACACCCGCAGUCGAAUGGACAGGCAGAAAGGGCGAAUGGUUUGAUCCUUCAAGGGUUAGAGCCUCGACUGAUGCGCGACCUUAAGCUUGCUGCUGGAGUUUGGGUGACCGAAUUGCCGUCGGUCCUAUGGGGGCUGAGAACAACGCCCAACCGGUUGACUGGUCGAACCCCUUUCUUCCUGGUGUUCGGUGCUGAGGCCGUGCUUCUGAGUGACUUGUUGCACAAUGCUCCCCGAGUGGAACUGUUCUCAGAAGCUGAAGCAGAUCAAGCACGCGAAGACGCAGUUGAUCUCCUGGAGGAAGAGUGCGAGAUGGCUUUGGUUUGGUCGACCAUUUAUCAGCAAGAUCUGCGUUGAUUCCACGCUCGCAACGUCAUAGGUCGAGCAUUUCAGGAAGGAGACCUUGUACUCCGAGUGGUUCAGAAACGACCUCACAAGCUCGCUCCGGCCUGGGAAGGUCCCUUCAUCAUCACCAAGGUGCUUCACAAUGGAGCGUAUCACAUUUACAACAUAGCCAAGAAAAUGGAUGAGCCGCACGCAUGGAACGCAGAGCUACUUCAUCCUUUUUAUACCUAAAAUCACUCAACCUGAUGAGUUGUAAUAAAAGCACUUCAGUUUGUUUUUCAAAGACAAGAUUUUUACAGUAUCUUAAUGACUGGUUCCUCAUAAUCACUUGUGACCAAAUCCCCUAGUGGGUGGCUUAGCCACGAACCUGAUUCGCCUAAGUUAAAAACAUUCCGAGUGGAGAGCAAUCCUCCCACUCGGGGGCUUAGCUGUGACCCCGUAAUCGCCUAAGUUAAAAACAUUCCGAGUGGAGAGCAAUCCUCCCACUCAGAGGCUUAGCUGCGACCCCGAAAUUGCCUAAGUUAAAAACAUUCCGAGUGGAGAGCAAUCCUCCCACUCGAAAGCUUAGUUGCGGCCCCAAAAUCGCCUAAGUUAAAAACAUUCCGAGUGGAGAGCAAUCCUCCCACUCGGGGGCUUAGCUGCGACCCCGUACUCACCUAAGUUAAAAAACAUUUCGAGUGGAGAGAAAUCCUCCCACUCAGAGGCUUAGCUGUGACCCCGAAAUCGCCUAAGUUAAAAACAUUCCGAGUGGAGAGCAACCCUCCCACUCGGAAGCUUAGCUGCGACCCCGAAAUCGCCUAAGUUAAAAACAUUUCGAGUGGAGAGCAAUCCUCCCACUCGGAAGCAUAGCUGCGACCCCGUACUCGCCUAAGUUAAAAAACAUUCUGAGUGGAGAGCAAUCCUCCCACUCAGGGGGCUUAGCUGCGACCCCGUACUCGCCUAGGUCACAAAUAUCUUUUGAGCUAUGCCACAAAUACAACUUGCGCUCUAUCCGCAGGGACGCCGAGGUGUCGAUUGAACACCAUGUCUGAGCUACGCCACAAAUACAACGUGCGCUCCAUCCAGAUCCGCAAGGACGACAAGGUGUCGAUUAAACACCGUGUUUGAGCUGCGUCACAAGUACAAUGUACCAUCCCAAUCCACCAGGACGACGUGGUGUCGAUUGAACACCGCGUCUGAGCUGCGUCACAAGUACAAUGUAGCAUCCCGAUCCGCAAGGACGACGAGGUGUCAAUUGAACACCGUGUCUGAGCUGUGUCACAAAUACAAUGUACCAUCCCGAUCCGCAAGGAUGACGAGGUGUCGAUUAAACACUGCGUCUGAGCUACGUCAUAAGUACAAUGUACACUUCACUCGACAAAAGGUGAAAAGAUCAAGUUCACUCGGAAUCGAAAGACAGUCAGAAACAGUUCAAAACCAGAACAAAAUCCAUAAUAUUCAAGGAAAUUCAAGUUUAGAUAAAUCCCGCAAAAGUUCAGGACCGGGGCAAGCAGAAGUACUCAGACAUCAAGCGUGAAAGAGUUUAACGGUUACAUAAUCACUCGGUAUUCCGAGGAAAAUAAAGGUGGGGCGUAAUGUUUUGUUCACUCGUCAGGAGAAGGACUUGCUGGAUCGCAGAAACUGUCAAGGUCAAUGUUGUUUACAAUGCGAGUGGCGGUGUCAAGGAAAGUGUCCAUGAAGGACUGGAAACUGUGCUUUUUGCUGUUUGUAACCUUGAGUUCCGCCAGCUUGUCUUCUCUGACAUCCUUGAAGUGCACUCGGACCAAUGACAGGGCGACGUCAGCGCCACAGCGAGCAGAUGAUUUCUUCCAUUCUUGCACCCGGUCAGGUAUUUGAUUCAGUCGAGCCAUCAGAGACUCGAGAUGCUGUGAGAGUUCUUCCUGAGGCCAGAGUUCAGCAUCAACCCGAGUCAUUGCCACCUUCAGUCGGGCAAGAUAAUCAACAACGCUGUCCAUGCGUGACUCCAACCGCAACACAUUCAUUGCAACGUCAUCUUUGACAGAACAAUUUAUGGGGUCGAGACCCGUCUCAACCCGCCCGGUUUCUGCUUCAAAGUCUUGACAAAGUUCUGCACAGUCGGAAAAAUAGUGAGUCGACAGUUUAACAAGCCAUGUCAGUCGACGUCAACAAAUCAGUCGAACAAGAAUACCUUCAAGCUUCAAGACCAACUUCGCAGCAAGCUGCCCCAGAUAAGACUCUAAUUCGCCCUUCUUGGCCUUGAGGCUUCCAACUUCGUCGGUCAAGUUGUCCUUGUCUUUCUUCAGUUGCUCGACCUCCCGAUUGGCUUCAGAGACCGCGAUCUUCAACUUGGAGUUCUCCUCUUCCAACUUGCUGAUUGAUGCCAGCUUCUUGUCCGCAAGCGCUGUUUUCUCUUGCGCCUCCUUCUGGGCCGCAGCAAGAUCCUGAUCCUUCUUCUCGAGAGCCUGCUUCAUUUUCUCUAAAGAAAUGACAUUCUUCAGACGAGCUUGAAGUUGACAGUUUUCACUACGCACAUCUAUUCGAGUGAAAUCACUCGGUUCAAAGAGACUAAAAAAUGGGAAAGAGCGAGUCACAAGGUGGACAGUCGACAAUUGGUUACCUCCCAUGAUAGUUGCUUCGUCCGGAGCAUUCUUGAGGUUCUUCUUGGCCAGUUCCAAAUCAAGGUUGAGGUUGAUUUGCUUCUUAUGCAGUUCAGAAAGUUGAGCCCCAAGAUUACAAGACCUCCAGAGUCAGCAAAUAAGAUAUGCCAGUCAACAGAAACAAAAGUCAAUCACAGUGAAAGUUGUUCUAAGACUACCGCUGAAUCAAACAUUCAACAGUAGUCUCGGGGACUACACCAAGUGGGUGCACUUAGCGUGCCCCCACUGGUUCGGUUUUACACUCGGCAUGGUCUGUCCAGCAUGAGUAAAAAAAGAGAGAGAGAAAGACCCUAGCCGACUACUAACAGUCGAUUGCGGUCUCGGGGACUACAUCCAAUGGGUGCACUCUGCGUGCCCCCAUUGGUUCGAAAAAACACUGGACUCAGCCUAGUCGACUCAAGUGGAAGAACUGUACAGCUCUAAGACAGAAACACCCCGGUGGGUGAUUGAAUGUGAAACACAGACCCAUGAUAGAUGCACAUAAUAGGUUCCAAAACGCUCAUCCAAGAGCACCAUAUGGACAGCGAAGCAACAAUAGCAUCUAUCAUUUUUCAAAGAGACCAGUCGGGAAUCAACUAACCUUGACGUUGGUUUGCAGAGCGGUGCUGGCAUCAUAAGCUACCUGACUGGCCUCAUGCACCACCUUCAUCUACUCCAUCACGCAUUUACCUGGAGGAGGGCCUCCCUGGCGGCACUCGGUGAGUCGUCUGAAGUCUGGUAUGCAGUGAAGAGUGAUGAGGGCAAUGCAGUCGGAGCAGCCACAGGGUCAGAUGUAUGGAGUUGUACUGGAGCGGCAGAGGUCUGAGCAGUCGACCCUGAUGGACGGUCAGUCGACAGUGGAUUGGCAAAGGUAACAUUGGUCCGAGCCAGAUCUCCGGAUUGCUGGACCACUGUCUCAAGCACUGGUGCCGACUGAAGAACUUGACCCUCGGGCGCUUUUCCGCUUGAGGCCCUGCCUCUCCUCCUCCUCUCUCUCAGAGGCACUUCUUCAUCAUCAUCCAGAAGCUCAAUGACGUCUCGUGGAGCUGCAACAAAAAGUAACCUCAAAAAUUCAAUUGGCCAACAAUUCAAUCGGCAGAAUCAAUUCAAGUCGAAUGGAACAUACUAGCUUUGGAGGUGGCCACGUCAUUGGUUUCCUCGUCACCUGGGGCCUUGUCAACGUCCAUGUCAGUCACGGCGGAGGCUGGUCUAGAAAAGUUUACAAUCCAAUCGGUCAGAACAGAAGUAUCAGUCGGUGGAAGAAAACACAGAAAGAAAGAACACUCAACAAGAGGCAACAGGAACAUCCAUCAUGAUCUUGGGCAAACUCUUCCGAGCCUUUGACGGGAUGACCUUGGGCUGCUUCGCGACCUUCUCCGUCGGCUCUGGAGUCGAAAUCCGAGUGCGCUUCUGUGCUUGAGUGCUUGGAGCCACGGUCUUGCCACGUCCGUCCCCUGGAUCAUGGAGUAGCUUGGAUCGAUGUUUCGUAUGAGGUGGUGAGUCGACUAUCUCGUCGUUGUCCGACUCAUCAUUUUCCUCCUCGUCCUCGUCUUCUGGAGAUUGCCAAUCACCGUGUUCCCCUCACUGUCCUCUCCCUCCUGGUCUUGCUCCAGAGAUUGUUCACCAUUGGGCAUUGAGUACAUCUCAGUGUAAACCUACAAGACAAGAAGUCAAGUAAAUAUCAGUCAGAUUCGAAGACAGUCGCAAAACAUAUCAAAAUACACUCGGUAGCAGAGACCAAACCUUAUCUGGCUGGUUGUUGUUGCUAAAUGGGUCGACUCUCCUGGCUCCCCUAGGGUUGUCCUUGUUUCAUGUGAUACCCUUCAGCCAUAGGGCCACUCUCUUGGCCGAAACCUCCUCUGGAUGAACCCGAGUGGUGUCGUUGGCUCCAGAGUACAUCCACAUCGACUGAUCACGAGCCUGGAGUGGCUGGAUGCAUGGACAGAGAAACACCUCCAACAAGUCCACGCGGGUGACACCCUGAUUGAUCAACUGGACCACUCUCUCGACCAACAUGUUUGUUUCCACCCUCUCCGAUGUGGUCACUUUCAGUGAAGAAGGUUGCUGGGCGCGAUUUAAAGAAAAAGGGGGAAGUCUAGUCGACUGACUUGGAGUCGCAAUGUCCUAGCAGUAGAAUCAGGUCGUCUAUUAGCCCCUGACCGACUCAGGAAGUGUCAUGGAAGGGAAAGAACUCCUUUUCCUCUUCUGGAUACCCAAACCCCCACACAUUUGGAUAACGUGUGUUCUAUCGUCACUCGUAUUCGCUUUCUUCACCGACUGGGAGCGGAUUGUGAAGAUGUGCUUGAAAAGACCCCAGUGCGGUCGACAACCCAGAAAGUUUUCUCACAUGGACACAAACGCGGCAAGGUACAUGAUGGCGUUGGAAGAGAAGUGAUGGAGUUGGGCUCCGAAAAAGUUCAAGAAACCCCGGAAAAAGGGUGCGGGGGAAGGGAGAAACCGCGGUCGACAUGGGUGGCGAGCAGAACGCACUCGCCCGGUCACGGCUGGGGUCCCGUCUCCCCCUCUGGCAGCCUCGCAGCCCCGUUGGCGAUCAGUCCGGACUCAGCCAGCUCCUCCAAAUCUUUCGGCCGGAGCGAAGAUCGGAUCCAAUCGCCCUGGAUCCAACCCGGCGGCAGCGCUGACCGUGACAACAAUCCCCGAUUCGUCUUCUUGCCUUUCGACGCCCCCGUAGCCUUCGGCGCGCGUUCCAGCGCCGCCGUCUAGUCCUUCACCAUGGUGGCAGGGUGGCAGCAUCGAGAGCAUAGGAGCAAGGUGCGGUGGAGAAGCAGAGGAAAAAUAAGGAGAAUGGACGCGCAUAGUGCAGACGCCUCGGCCCCGUCGCCUUUUAAGGACCCACUUCCGAGUGACUAACGCAUGGGCCCGGGCAAUCCUGUCAAAUACCGCAACAGUCGCGCUGGGUACGUGGCGAAAAAGGUGGCGUGGAGAUCGAGGUGCUCAUGUCUAUCCAUCCCGCUUACUACGGCACGCUCCGCCUCACGUGCUUCCCUGAAAUUUUGAACCCCGUGAAAUCCGGGAUACGCUGUAACCAAUCGCGCCAAAGAUUUCGCGUCAAAAACAACACUCGACGAGUGAUGAUAUAAAUCCACUCAGCAACUUCUGAAUUGAUCAAGGCGACUGAAACGAAUCCGAAGUUCCAACAUGGGCCUCCCGUUCAACAUGAGUACUUGUGAAGCACAAGAGUCGAGGCAAGAUCAACUUCAACCUUCUUUUCACUCGGACCUCAAUCCAUUCGGGGGCUAAUGAUGAUGAUAUAGACCUGGGGUAGGGUCAUAGGCCUGACCUAUACGCCCUACCCAAGGUCACUACCCUAGAAGCAAAGAAGCCCAAGAGACAACAAGGAGUACCCAGUGAAGGAGUCGAGUGCAAUCCACUCGACCAAUCAUAUCACUCGGGUACCCCCUCCUUCCUGAUGUCACUCGACCAUACAAGAAACCACUCGACCUACGGAAGAUCAUGAGCCACUCAGAACAACAACGGUCAGGAGUUCACUCCAUAGUCUUUAAGAUCAUUAAUAGCACUUAUGGCUGAAGUUAUCAGUAACGCCCCGUCUUUAUGUACAUUGAACUCCUUUUAACGGAGGAUGGCUGGGGUCCCGACGCACUCUAUAUAAGCCACCCCCUCCUCUAGCACAAGGGUUUGCACCCCCUGUAACUCACACUCUCAUAAUCCAGUCGACCGCCUCAGGGCACCGAGACGUAGGGCUUUUACCUCCUCCGAGAGGGGCCUGAACUCGUAAACACAUGCGUACAAUCUCACCGUAGCUAGGACCUUGCCUACUCAUUCGUACCCCCUAUACUUACUGCCAGACUUAGAACCACAACAGUGGAGGUGGCGAGGUCACUAUUUUUCUCUAGCCGUCGAGGUGGCGGCAAGAAGAGAUGUGCCGGAUCCAAGCACUCUUUCCCUUGUUGUUGUUCUGUUGCAUCGGAUAUGUGCGACUGACAUCGGCUUGGUUGGUCCCUGUGCUGCAGGAAGAGGUUUCCCAACUUGGCUUGUUUUUGCAGGAAGAUCCAGAUGCAAGGUGGUGAAGAUGUUGUUGGGGACAUAGUGGAUCUUCGGCGAUGUACUGUUUUGGAUUAUCCUAUGCAUCCACUGUGGCGGUCGAUGUUUGAUCUCUUCAACACGUGGCCGAUUUAAUUGGCCCAAGGGCGGCCAAUUUUCUUCCUCUCGACCACGGUGACACAAGGGAAGUAGUACAUCCUUCAAAUAGAGUUCAUAUGGUGUGUUGUUGUGAAGACUUCAUCGAACCAACUGGCUACAUACCUGACACUGACUAAGUUUUUUCCUGUGAGGAGGGUAUUGUGGACCUAAUUUCAUUAUGUAUCUGUGUUUCGGGGUCCUUCUCGUAAAGUACGUGGACUUGGUCGUCAUUUCUUUCUAGUUCGGGUCAUGCCAUAAGAUGCUAUGUACCUUCGCUUUGAUCAAUAUAACAUCUGGGUCCUUUGAGGCCUUUUUUUGUUAAAAAAAUCAUUCAUUGCAAUUUAAACUAUGAAAAAAACUACAAAAAAGGAAAAGUAAAAUAAACAACUUAACAUGAAAAUUUUAACAUGAUACACUUAAAUAUAAUGAGAUUUGCAGCCAACUUAGAAUGCACUGAUGGAUGAUGUCUGCACAAUUUUAAAACUUGACCAGCAGUCCAACCGAAAAAACCUGCAACUGACGUCUUCUCUAUUUUUUAAAGAUGCUUUGGUCUUUUCGCAAAAAACCGAAAAAUAGUCAGAAAAUGGUAUUUAAGACAAAAAUAGACCUUUGAGCUCAAGCAACCAUAUAAUGAAGACCGAUUACACACUAGGCUAGCUUUAUUUUGUGAUUUAUUGAGGUAAUACAUCUUAUGUCUAUUUAUUUGAUCACAGAGCAAUAUUCGUAAAAAAAUGGCUUAAAUAUUUAGGUUUUUCGUCUCCACUGAACCAGCUAUACCAAUGAUCCAAUUGAUGAACAUUUGAACUGACAACCUCAACGAUUCAGUUGUCGGUCCUGUUUUUUAAACUAUGGCUGCAUGGUAGACAUGCUCUCAUGUUCACAUCAUAAGAAUGUUAUGGACCAAGCUAGUAAAUUUAUUAGUUACAAUAAUUUUGAUAACAUGGAAGCAUGCACAUGCAGCCAAAUAGCUAGUUAGUGACUUGUAUCAUGGUUUAUCUAUGUAGGAUAUAUGGACUAUAGUUAACACACAUGGAUGUCUAGUUAUCAGUUGCAAAACAUUCCUUAAGUUUGGGUCAUACUGUAGUAGAUGCACAAGAAUGUUAGCUUGGGCAGCAAGAUGGAGCUACCGGGCAAGCUCGGGCGGCUGUGAUCGCGAUCAAGGCAAAAGUACAGAGGGAUGGGGAAUUGUUUUGGGCGUUAGCAGCUAUAAUAUGAGGAUUUUUUUUGUUUUUUUUUUUGAGGAGAAGCUAAAAUAUGAGUAAUGCUAUGUCCAUGGAUGGGUCAAGGGGGAUUUACGGGCAUGCAGGGUGGGUCAUCACUUAAAUUUUGGGUUUAAUUAGGAGAGGUUAGUUAUUUAUUUAGGUCAAUUUCCUAAAAUGUUAUUUAGGCCAAUAAAAUCAGGACAGGUCAGUUUUUUUCCUAUUAUAAGCUAAAUCUUCCGAUAAACUUUGUAGGUUGAGCAUUAUAGAUAAAAUGUAUAGAGGAACUCUAUCCAUUCAGGAAUACAGAGAAUGAAAGCGGAGAAUAUCAGGUGAUACCACCCUUCACAUGCUACCAUGCUCCAACUUUUGAAAUUUCACCGUUUGGAGCGAUAGACCACGUCGCUGUCCAACACAGCGCGUGUGUAUGCCUGGGCCUGGGCCUGGUCCCCCGAUGACAUCCCGACGGCAAACGGCUACUUGAUGUCUACUACACAACCUUCUUCUUGUAGACGUUGUUGGGCCUGCAAGUGCACAGGUUUGUAGGACAGUAGCAAAUUUCCCUCAAGUGGAUGACCUAAGGUUUAUCAAUCCGUGGGAGGCGUAGGAUGAAGAUGGUCUCUCUCAAACAACACUGCAACCAAAUAACAAAGAGUCUCUUGUGUCCCCAACACACCCAAUACAAUGGUAAAUUGUAUAGGUGCACUGGUUCGGCGAAGAGAUAGUGAUACAAGUGCAAAAUAGGUAGUAGAAAUAGGUUUUUGUAAUCUGAAAUAAUAAAAAUAGCAAGGUAACUAAUGAUAAAAGUGAACAUAAACGGUAUUGCAAUGGUAGGAAACAAGGCCUAAGGUUCAUACUUUCACUAGUGCAAGUUCUCUCAACAAUAAGAACAUAGAUAGAUCAUAUAACAAUCCCUCAACAUGCAACAAAGAGUCACUCCAAAGCCACUAAUAGCGAAGAACAAACGAAGAGAUUAUGGUAGGGUACGAAACCACCUCAAAGUUAUUCUUUUGGAUCAAUCUAUUCAAGAGUUCGUAGUAAAAUAACAUAGAGCUAUUCUUUCCGCUCGAUCCAUCAUAGAGUUCAUACUAGAAUAACACCUUAAGACACAAAUCAACCAAAACCCUAAUGUCACCUAGAUACUCCAUUGUCACCUCAAGUAUCCGUGGGCAUGAUUAUACGAUAUGCGUCACACAAUCUCAAAUUCAUCCAACCAACACAAAGUACUACAAAGAGUUCCCCAGAGUUUCUACCGGAGAGUCAAGAAAACGUGUGCCAACCCCUAUGCAUAGGUUCAUGGGUGGAACCCGCAAGUUGGUCACCAAAACAUACAUCAAGUGGCACGUGAUAUCCCAUUGUCACCACAGAUAAACACGGCAAGACAUACAUCAAGUGUUCACAAAUAAAGACUCAACCCGAUAAGAUAACUUCAAGAGGGAAACUCAAUUCAUCACAAGAGAGUAGAGGGGAGAAACAUCAUAAGAUCCAACUAUAAUAACAAAGCUCGCGAUACAUCAAGAUCAUGCCAUAGAGAGUACACGAGAGAGAGAGAGAGAGAGAGAGAGAUCAAACACAUAGCUACUGGUACAUACCCUCAGCCCCGAGGGUGAACUACUCCCUCCUCGUCAUGGAUAGCGCCGGGAUGAUGAAGAUGGCCACUGGUGAUGGGUUCCCCCUCCGGCAGGGUGCCAGAACGGGCUCCCGAGAGGUUUUUGGUGGCUACAGAGGCUUGCAGCGGUGGAACUCCCGGUCUAUCUUCUCUGUGGAUGUUUUUAGGGUACGUGGGACUAUAUAGGCGAAAGAAGUCGGUCGGGGGGUGCUCGAGGGGCCCACGAGAUAGCGGGGCGUGCCCAGUAGGGGGGCACCCUCCUAUCUCCUGGUCUCCUCGAGCAUCUUCUGACGUGUACUCCAAGUCUCCAGGAUCAUAUUCUUCCAAAAGAUCACGCUGCCGAAGGUUUCAUUCCGUUUGGACUCCGUUUGAUAUUCCUUUUCUUCGAAAUACUGAAACAGGCAAUAAAACAGCAAUAUGGGCUGGGCCUCCGUUUAAUAGGUUAGUCCCAAAAGUAAUAUAAAAGUGUAUAAUAAAGCCCGUAAUCAUUCAAAAUAGAUAAUAAAAUAGCAUGAAUGCUUCAUAAAUUAUAGAUAUGUUGGAGACGUAUCAGCAUCCCCAAGCUUAAUUCUUACUCGUCCUCGAGUAGGUAAAUGAUAAAAGAAAGAAUUUAUGAAGUGUGAAUGCUAGAAGGUGCACAAUUUUGAUCAAUGAUAAUUUCAAUCACCUUUUCUAGCAUGAUAAUAUGUCAUAACAGUAGUUCAUCUCAUAAAGCUUCUCACGAUAAAGUAACAAGCAAUUCACAUGUCAAAGCAUAGACCAUAAACUUUCUUGAAAACUAGCAAACUUCAUUCUCAGUCAUCAAACAAUUGCAAUUCAUCUUAUUUUCCAGGAAUAGCAAACUCCACAUACUCAACUAUCAUAUAGUCUUCUACAAUUGCUAACACUCACGCAAUACUAAUGGUUAUGGAGUUUCAAUCGGACAUUGAGAAAGAUAGGGGCUUAUAGUGUUUCCUCCCAACGUAUUCACCUUUAGGUAAUGUCAACAAUAAUAGUUCAUGCUAACUUACAUCCAAUUGGAUAUAUAUACAUAUAUAUAUAUAUAUAUAUAUAUAUAUAUCAGGAUCUUCCCAACACGAGGUGCUUGCCAAAGGAUAAAAUGAAAAAGGGAAAGGUGAAGAUCACCUUGACUCUUGCAUAAAGUAAAAGACAUAAAGUAAAAUCUAGGCCCUUCGCAGAGGGAAGCAGAGGUUGUCAUGCGCUUUUAGGGUUGGAUACACAAAAUCUUAAUGCGAAAGAACGUCAGUUUAUAUUGCCCCUUGUAUAUGGACCUUUAUUAUGCAGUCCGUCGCUUUUAUUGCUUCCAUAACAAGAUUGUACAAAGUUUAUUUUCUUCGCACUAAUAAGUCAUGCAUAUUUAGAGAGAAAUUUUUAUUGCUUGCACCGAUGACAACUUACUUGAAGGAUCUUACUUAAUCCAUAGGUAGGUAUGGUGGACUCUCAUGGCAAAAACUGGGUUUAAGGAUGUUUGGAAGCACAAGUAGUAUCUCUACUUGGUGCAAGGAAUUUUGGCUAGCAUUAGGGGGAAAGGCAAGCUCAACAUGUUUGAAUGAUCCAUGACAAUAUACUUUAACUGAGAUGUGCGAAAACAUAACCCAUUACGUUGUCUUCCUUUUCCAACAUCAACUCUUUAGAGUGUCAUACUUAAUGAGUGCUCCCAAUUAUAAAAGAUGUCUAGGAUAGUGUAUUUACAUGUGAAAUCUCUCUUCCUUCAAUAUUCUUUCAUGAAUUGUUCAAAUGACCAAUACAAUGCUUGCUAACCUUCAAUAAAUUUACAACCUCUACUUCUUAGAUGUGAAGUCAUUACUCCCCAUGAGAUAAGCAAAUGAGACAUAUAUAAUUUCAGAUUUAUGACAAUCAACUCAUUCAACAAUUUACUCAUAGGAUAUAAGUGAAGCACACGAGUAAAUGACAAACUACUCCAACAAGAUAUAAGUGAAGAACAAUGAGUAGCUAAAUAAUUAUGUAACUAUGCGAAGACUCUCUCUCAUCAAAGAAUUUCAGAUCUUGGUAUCUUAUUCAAAUAGCAAGCAAAACGAAAUAAAAUGACAAUGCAAGGAUAGCACAACUCAUGUGAAGAAGCAAAAACUUAGGCUCAACCGAUACUAACCGAUAGUUGUUGAAGAAGAAAGGUGGGAUGCCUACCGGGGCAUCCCCAAGCUUAGAUGCUUGAGACUUCUUGGAAUAUUAUCUUGGGGUGCCUUGGGCAUCCCCAAGCUUGAACUUUUGUGUCUCCUUAAUUCCUCUCAUACCAUGGUUUCUUUAUUUCUCAAAAGCUUCACCCACAACAAACUCAACAAGAACUCGUGAGAUAGGUUAGUAUAAACCAAUGCAAAACCUUAUCAUUUUCUACUGUAACAAAUCACUAACAUUAUUAUUAAAUAUUUAAUACUAAAUGCCUCUGGAUAUUUAAUACUCCUAUCCUCAAAUAGAAUCAUUAAACAAGCGAACAUAUGCAAACAAUGCAAACAUAACAACAAUCUGUCAAAACAGUACAGUCUGUAAAGAAUGCAAGAUUCAUCAUACUUACCUAACUCCAAAAAUUAUUAAAUAAAAUUCCCACUGUAGUAAAUUUAUCAGAGCUCAUUAUGAAAAAAGUUUCAACAUUAUAUCAUUCUCUGACUUUUCUAGGGAACUUUUGCAACAGCGGUAAACUUUCUGUUUUCAAACAGCAACAUGCAUACUAGCAAAAUAAGCAUGGUAAAGGCUAUCCUUGACAUUUUUAUUGAAAAUAAAUAUGCAAAACAUUAUUCUAAAUAUAGAAAGCAAAUACUAACAAAAUAAAAUGACGCUCCAAGCAAAACACAUAUCAUGUGGUGAAUAAAAAUAUAGCCCCAAGUAAAGUUACCGAUGAACGAAGACGAAAGAGGGGAUGCCAUCCGGGGCAUCCCCAAGCUUAGGCUCUUGGUUUUCCUUGAAUAUUACCUUGGGGUUCCUUGGGCAUCCCCAAGCUUAGGCUAUUGCCACUCCUUAUUCCAUAGUCCAUCGAAUCUUUACCCAAAACUUGAAAACUCCACAACACAAAACUCAACAGAAAACUCGUAAGCUCCGUUAGUAUAAGAAAAAUAAAACAACCACUUAGGUACUGUAAUGAACUCAUUCUAAAUUCAUAUUGGUGUAAUAUAUACUGUAUUACAACUUAUCUAUGGUUCAUACCCUCUGAUACUACUCAUAGAUUCAUCAAAAUAAGCAAACAACACAUAGAAAACAGAAUCUGUCAAAGACAGAACAGUCUGUAGUAAUCUGUAACAAACGUAUACUUUUGGAACUCCAAAAAUCAUACCAAAUUAGGAAGUCCUAAGCAAUUCGUGUGCCAAUCCAGAGCAAAAAGAAGCAGAUCAGAAGCACGUUUCUAUGAAUUAACAAAACUAAUUUACUAGGUGCAAAAGUUUCUGAUUUCCAGCAGGAUCAACACAACUAUCACCAAUUACUACAGUAGCAUAAUCAUGUGAACACACAAAAACAGUAAGGAUAAAUAUUGGGUUGUCUCCCAACAAGCGCUUUUCUUUAAUGUCUUUCUAGCUAGGCAUGAUGAUGACAAUGAUGCUCACAUAAAAGAUAAGAAUUGAAACAUAUCGGGAGCAUCAUGAAGCAUAUGACUAGCACAUUUAAGUCUAACCCACUUCCUAUGCAUAGGGAUUUUGUGAGCAAAAAACUUAUGGGAACAAGAAUCAACUAGCAUAGGAAGGUAAAACAAGCAUAUCUUCAAGAUUUUCAACACAUAGAGAGGAAACUUGGCAUUAUUGCAAUUCCUACAAGCAUAUAUUCCUCCCUCAUAAUAAUUUUCAGUAGCAUCAUGAAUGAAUUCAAUAAUAUAGCAAGCACCUAAAGCAUUCUUUUCAUGAUCUACUUGCAUAGAAAAUUUACUGCUCUCGACAUAAACAAAUUUCUUCUCAUGAAUAGUAGUGGGAGCAAACUCAACAAAAUAAUUAUCAUGUGAGGCAUAAUCCAAUUGAAAACUAAAAUCAUGAUGACAAGUUUCAUGGUUAUAAUUAUUCCUAAUAGUAUACAAGUCAUCACAAUAAUCAUCAUAGAUAGCAACUUUGUUCUCAUAAUCAAUUGGAACCUCUUCCGAAAUAGUGGAGUCAUCACUAAAUAAAGUUGACACUCUUCCAAAUCCACUUUCAUGUUCAUCACAAUAAGAUUCAACAUCCUCCAAAAUAGUGGGAUCACUACUUCCUAAAGUUGACACUCUUCCAAACCCACUUUCAUCAAUAUAAUCAUCAUAAAUAGGAGGCAUGCUUUCACCAUAAUAAAUAUUCUCAUCAAAACUUGGGGGACAAAAAAUAUCAUCUUCAUCAAACAUAGCAUCCCCAAGCUUGUGGCUUUGCAUAUGAUUAGCAUCAUGGAUAUUCAAGGAAUUCAUACUAACAACAUUGCAAUCAUGCUCAUCAUACAAAGAUCUAGUACCAAACAUUUUAAUGCAUUCUUCUUCUAGCAAUUGAGCACAAUUAUCCUUUUCAUCAUACUUACGAAAGAUAUUAAAAAGAUGAAGCGUAUGAGACAAGCUUAACUCCAUAUUUUUGUAGUUUUUCUUUUAUAAGCUAAACUAGUGAUAAAAUAAGAAACAAAAAGAUUCUAUUGCAAGAUCUAAAGAUAUACCUUCAAGAACUCACCUCUCCGGCAACGGCGCCAGAAAAGAGCUUGAUGUCUACUACACAACCUUCUUCUUGUAGACGUUGUUGGGCCUGCAAGUGCACAGGUUUGUAGGACAGUACCAAAUUUGCCUCAAGUGGAUGACCAAAGGUUUAUCAAUCCGUAGGAGGCGUAGGAUGAAGAUGGUCUUUCUCAAACAACCCUGCAACCAAAUAAUAAAGAGUCUCUUGUGUCCCCAACACACCCAAUACAAUGGUAAAUUGUAUAGGUGCACUAGUUAGGCGAAGAGAUAGUGAUACAAGUGCAAAAUAGAUAGUAGAAAUAGGUUUUUGUAAUCUGAAAUAAUAAAAAUAGCAAGGUAACUAAUGAUAAAAGUGAGUGUAAACGGUAUUGCAAUGGUAGGAAACAAGGCCUAAGGUUCAUACUUUCACUAGUGUAAGUUCUCUCAACAAUAAUAACAUAGAUAGAUCAUAUAACAAUCCCUCAACAUGCAACAAAGAGUCACUCCAAAGCCACUAAUAGCGGAAAACAAACGAAGAGAUUAUGGUAGGGUACGAAACCACCUCAAAGUUAUUCUUUCGGAUCAAUCUAUUCAAGAGUUCGUAGUAAAAUAACAUAGAGCUAUUCUUUCCGCUCGAUCCAUCAUAGAGUUCAUACUAGAAUAACACCUUAAGACACAAAUCAACCAAAAUCCUAAUGUCACCUAGAUACUCCAUUGUCACCUCAAGUAUCCGUGAGCAUGAUUAUACGAUAUGCGUCACACAAUCUCAAAUUCACCCAACCAACACAAAGUACUUCAAAGAGUGCCCCAAAGUUUCUACCGGAGAGUCAAGAAAACGUGUGCCAACCCCUAUGCAUAGGUUCAUGGGCGGAACUCGCAAGUUGGUCACCAAAAUAUACAUCAAGUGGCACGUGAUAUCCCAUUGUCACCAUAGAUAAACACUGCAAGACAUACAUCAAGUGUUCUCAAAUAAAGACUCAAUCCGAUAAGAUAACUUCAAGAGGGAAACUCAAUUCAUCACAAGAGAGUAGAGGGGGAGAAACAUCAUAAGAUCCAACUAUAAUAACAAAGCUCGCGAUACAUCAAGAUCAUGCCAUAGAGAGUACACGAGAGAGAGAGAGAGAGAGAGAGAGAUCAAACACAUAGCUACUGGUACAUACCCUCAGCCCCGAGGGUGAACUACUCCCUCCUCGUCAUGGAUAGCGUCGGGAUGAUGAAGAUGGCCACCGAUGAUGGGUUCCCCCUCCGGUAGGGUGCCGGAACGGGCUCCCAAGAAGUUUUUGGUGGCUACAGAGGCUUGCAGCGGCGGAACUCCCGAUCUAUCUUCUCCGUGGAUGUUUUUAGGGUACGUGGGACUAUAUAGGCAAAAGAAGUCGGUCGGGGGGUGCUCGAGGGGCCCACGAGACAGGGGGGCACGCCCAGUAGGGGGGCGCCCUCCUAUCUCCUGGUCUCCUCGAGGAUCUUCUGACGUGUACUCCAAGUCUCCAGGAUCAUAUUCUUCCAAAAAACCACGCUGCCGAAGGUUCCAUUCCGUUUGGACUGCGUUUGAUAUUCCUUUUCUUCGAAAUACUGAAACAGGCAAUAAAACAACAAUAUGGGCUGGGCCUCCGGUUAAUAGGUUAGUCGCAAAAGUAAUAUAAAAGUGUAUAAUAAAGCCCGUAAUCAUUUAAAACAGAUAAUAAAAUAGCAUGGAUGCUUCAUAAAUUAUAGAUACGUUGGAGACGUAUCACUACUCCAUCCUCGACAGGCCACCGGAGGGCCGUGGCAGGCCGACUCCUCCAGAGGGCUGCCCGCGGGCGGAAGGGCUGCAUGGGCCCCAGUUCCUAGUCUUGAUCCACCUCGAUCAGACCAAGGACUUCGCGCCCCUCACGGAGCAGGAGCACGCGAACGGCAUGGAGUGGCCGCGCUCUGACCGUUUCCGCUGGGCGUUCGACAUCGAAGAUGGCAAGGGCAACACUGGGCGUCGUCGCUCGUCGGGGGCCCAUAUCCCUGCCCCGCACCCAAGGCCACGCGAAGACGAUGAAGAUGACUUUGAAGAUCGAAGGGGCAGGCGUCGCUGCGAUCAGCCUAGGGCUGCCUGGAGGGGCGGCCUUAUGGGUUGCCGCUCGGACGGCGAUGUCCGAGAGGGAUGGCGCCGUAGCACUGGUGGUGGGGGUGGCCGCUACGGUCGCCGCCGAGCCCUCUCACCGGGCUCUGCAUCGGACGGUAGCUCCAGCCCUAGUGAUGGGAGGCGUAAUCGCUCUCGUUCCCGCGAGCACUUCACGGCUAUCGAUGGCCAGGCGCCUGCCUCCCCUCGCGGUUGCCUGCCCUCUGAGGGCGGGUGCUCGCUGCCGCAGCUGCGCUUGGCGCCGGUGCUGCCUAGCCUGCGUGCUGACACUGCUGCCUCCCCAGUGGAUGCGCUGUCUGGCGUGCCUGUGCGCCUCCUGGAGCCUGACAUGGCGCCCUUCCAUCGGGAGGUGGAAGACUUGUGGGGUUCUUUGACCCGCGCGGAUCCUCAGCUUUUCAAGCUGGAGGCUGGGGGCGCAUGGCAGCCAGGCCCUGGAACGGUCCUCGGCCUGGAGGGCGACUCGGGCUGGCCCUUUAGCUUUGCGGACUCCCCCUGACUGCGGAGAACUGGGCUGCCGUGCCGGUCGAGGAGCCGGCUCUGCCGCUUGAAGUAGGCGACGCUGUUGUCCAUCAAGCUGUUGAGCACGGCCAUGGCUCUGAGGUGGUUGUCGCGGGCAGGCAGGUGGUGGAGGUGCCCAAGGAUGGCCUGGCCCUGGCGCAUGCCCUGGCCCUGAAGUCGUGGCCUUGUUUGGGGUACCUGGUGCCAGCCCCUGCCACGGGUGGUGAGCUGCAAGACGACGGGGGCUUGCAGUGGCCGCCGCUGGUGAUGGAUCCGAGAGGCGUGUCCCUAAUGGUGCCAGACCAGCUAGCUCUGAAGCUGCAAGGCCUGGAGAUCGACGCGGCCACAACAUUCCUGUCAAAGGUGUUCGGGAUGCUCCCCCCAUCCAUCAUGGGUGCUCCUCCUGCCCUGCAAGCUCCGUCGCAGGGCCCGGAGCCUACCCCCUGCACUGGCGGAGGCCCCGAAUGGGCAAGGUAUGGCGGCCGCCAUACCUUGAGUCUGGGCAAAAGCAAAUUUAUACAUACGCAUGUAUUGUCGAUUGUCUCGUUCCCUCGUUCGAGUGCAGUGAGAAAAAGGCCGCUGGCACACAGGCACGCCGCAAGCACGAGUUGGGCCGACACACAUAAGCACGCACGAGUUGGGCCUGUUGGCAAAAACAGGAAACGGUCGAGCUCGUUGAUUCCAUCGAGCGCCAACCCGCACGCACGCGCAAGCGACGAACCCUUGUGCAGCGACGGCGGAUGGUCAGGUUGCGAUCCAGGCGGUCGACUGGCGACGGGAUAGGUUACGGCGGCGAUGGGCUUGUCGCUUGAACGGCGGCGGCGGCAAGCUCCAGCGACGGCAGCAAGGUUGCAUUUGAUGAGCUAUGCCCUAAAAAUGCCAAAAUGACUUCCGGAACAAUUCAAAAAGACCUUGUCACGGCUGAUCAUUUUUUUCGUGUGGACACUUUCUAUGCUGCCAUAGAUUCCAUCACCACAAAGUUUGAUCAUCGUUUUAAUGAGGUAUCUUAGCAACGACAACAAUUGAAAGGGCCUUCUCAUCAAUGAAAAUCAUCAAGACUGAAUUGCGCAGCAAGAUGACAGAUGGUUGGCUUAAUGACUUGAUGGCUUGCUAUAUUGAGCGAGAGAUCUUCAAAAGUAUUGAUCUUGGUAAAAUUAAGGAAGAUUUUUGGAAUGGGGGUAGGGCAUUGCCAUUGCCUGGGUCUUCUAGACGCCAUUGAAAGCGUCAUUAUCGGUAUGUUUUAGGUUGUUUUCCUACUGAAACAUGCCUACAUUUUCAUUAUAUUUGGUUUUUAUUUGUAAUGUGUGUUGAAUCUUUUGAUUUGCAUCAAAAGAAUUCUUUCCUUAAGACUUUGCCACACCUUAAAAAAAUUUCGUCCUCCGCCUGCGACCCCCUGCAUGGUGCCCACCCCGGGGACGGCUCGGUGCUCUAGCGCUCGCAUCAAGCAAACUGCAUCCAACCUCACCCAGCAGCAGAAGGCCCAAGCCCGCCUUGCUAAGCAGCUCAGCUUAAUUGAUGACCCCAGUCAGCGCCCAUUGGAUCACUGCCCUGCAAAUUUCUCGGACUGCCACUCUCCCUCCGCAAGCUGAGAAAGGUGGAGCUGCAGCCGCUCCUUGACAAGCUGCUAGCGAGACUCGCCUCCUGGAAGCUCAAACUGCUCACUAUGGCUGGGCGGCUUGUCCUGCUCAAUGCAGUGCUCUCGGCGUUCACCGUCUACUGGAUGUCGGUCCAUGUGUUGCCAUCCUGGGCGCGUCGUGCCAUCGACCGUGCUCGCCGCGCUUGGCUCUGGAAGGGACAUGAGGAAUGCCAUGGAGGCCACUGUAAAGUAGUGUGGGGCAGGAUCUGCAGGCCGCGGGAUCUUGGGGGCCUGGGGAUACUGGACAUUGAUCGCUUUGGCACUGCACUUCAUCUCCGAUGGCUCUGGGUAGAAAGAACGGCAGUGCAACGGCCUUGGUUUGGGCUCCCGGUGCCGUGUUCGUUGGAGGACAGGGCCCUGUUCGCUGCGGCCACUGUUGCCGUGGUUCACGACGGUCGAACAGCUUCGUUCUGGUUCGAUAGUUGGGUCAAUGGGCCGCAGAUUUUCGGUUUCUCGCGCCGCAAAUGGAGGUCUGUUCGUGAUGCCCUUGAUGCCAGCAAAUGGGUGCAUGACCUUAGAGGCCGCAUCACUGCCGAGUUGCUCUCGGAGUUCGUGGGCCUCUAGGUCAAGAUUGAAGCGGCGGCGAUGCUGUCGGACGGGGACGAUGAAUUCUCGUGGACUCCCUCAGCAAGCGGCUGCUACUCCUCGGCCUCGGCCUACCGGUUGCAGUUCCUUGGAUCCUCCUCAUCCCCGAUCAUCGACUCAGUCUGGAGAGCUUGGGCCCCGGCUAAGUGCAAGCUCCAUGCAUGGCUCUUCUCCAUUGGCAGGUUGCUCACGGCUGACAGGCUCAUGAAGAGGCAGUGGCCAAACUGCUACUUCUGUCUACUCUGCAGGAGAAAUCUUGAAACGAAUGACCACCUCUUCAUCGACUACGCAUGGUCGCGUGAUCUGUGGCAAGCGGUCGCCAUUCGCUUUCGCUGUACUUCCCAGCCUGCUGUGUGGCCUUCGCAGCCUCCCCUGGCUGACUGGAUCCAGGGCCUGCCAACUGGGAGGGACUGCGCGUCUGUAAAACGUGGCAGAUCCAUCACUCUUCUGACCCUUUGGCACAUUUGGAAGGAGCGGAAUGACAGAAUCUUCCGCGAUGUGGAGAAAUCUACAGCCCAGGUGCUAGGAGCUAUCUCAGAUGAUCUUACCAAAUGGGUUUUAGCUGGGGGUGCCCAUCUGAUGCCGCGAGAGUAGCACUACAACAGACCGCUGUUCUUUUCCUCUUCUUCUUCUCUUUUUCUUCUCUGUUCUUCCGUUGGCCCUUUUGCCAACCUUUGUACAGUUGGCGAUCUUCCGCCGUUCCUCUAUAAAUGCAAUCGCAGUUCUCCUGCGCUUCGGCAAAAAAUAUAUUUAAAUGUUUCAAAAAAUUCUGAUUUUUUUUUCUGUGGAUGCGGACAAGGCAUGUGACUACUAACCCUAAAAUCCAGAUCAAAAUUUGAAACACACAUUGAGAAACAAAAAAGACAAAUCUGGAAUAAAUUGUUUCAAAAGAAGACAAACCAUGAAUAGUGUCAGAAAUAACACUAUUCACAUAUGGAUUUGCCUUUUUUGUUUCUCAAUGUGUAAAUUGAAUUUUGAUCUGAAUUUUUUAGGGGUUAUAGAGAGAUGUUUUGUGAACAUCCACAAAUCUUUUAAGAAUUCUUGAAAUAUGAUUUUUUUAAUGGAUCAUGGGAGCAUACCAAGGGUGGUAGCACCUGAUAUCUAUCCGAAAUAAAAGACACUAGAGGCCAACGCGCGCUUUGCCGCGCCGUUCUUCACUCGUGGGAUUGUUCUUUUAUAUCUAGUAGAGUGCCACGGUCGGUUGUUUUGUUUGGAUUUUAUCAAUGUUGUCUUGUGUUUUAAUUACAUUAUGAAGGUGUUAUUUCAUUUGUAUAUCGUGUCGGAUUUUUGUUGGAGAAAAUAUUUACUAGAGGAGAAUGGAGUUUUUUUGGUGUGUCGUUGGGGUGUCUUUAUACGUUUCGGUCUCGGUGCCAGUUGGUGGUGGUCGUUUGAGCCUCUUGAGAGGUCCUAUCCAUGCUAAAAUCAUGGAAUUGCUGUUAUAACACUCACAUUGAUCGGCCCACGAGCUCUCCCUCGCUUAGUUUGACUCCCUAUUCCUCUCAAGGUUAGCUUUUUUCCGCUCGCCCCACUGCUCGCUCAAAAAAUGGACUAUUUUUAGAAAAAUAAAUAGGUUAGUUAAAUUAAAAUAUGUUCAAGGAUUUUUGAAAAAUAUGUGAAUUUACAAAACCAUGGAUUGUAGAAAAUGUUUAUGAGUUUAAAAUAUAUUCAUGGAUUAAAAAAGAUUUGCAAAUUAAACAAGUUUCAAAUUUUAAAAUGUUCGCAAACUUUAAAAACACCCGUGAACUUCAAAAUACUCAUGAAUGUAAUAAAUAUUAAUGAAGCUAAAAAUAUAAAUUAUUUUUUCUUUUUAAUGUUCACAAAUUUUAAUAAACGCUUAUGAUUAAAACAUGUAAGAAAAUAAAGAGAGAAGGGGACAUAAAACUAAAUAAGAGACAACCUUGUAUGCGGGUCCCACAACAAACCCACAAACCCCGAAGCACCAGAGCGCUUCAAAUCGUGGGAGUUUAAUAUCUCUACUAUAGAUGUUUCAGUGUCUCUUUGUUUUUUUAGAAUGGAGAGCCAUAGUGAGGAUAACCCGAGCUCACAUGCUCUAUAAUGAACACUAAAAUCAAAAAAUAAUUAAAAAAAUCAAAAAAAUCCGACUUUUUCUGGUAACAUUGAUGGACGCUUCAACUGCGUGCGAAAUUCAAUCGCAUAGGACUAGGCAAAAAAUACAAAAUCAAUGCUUUAGAGCAUCUACAGCCGCGAUGUGCAAAUCCGGCCCGUCAAACGCAUGUGGAUGCGCCGGGACGCAAACCGAACACUGACCGGCCACGCCUCAAAUAAUACAAUCCACAUCCGGACACCUCAAUUAUCAUAUCUCAAAUUAUACAAACUCAUCAACUCCAUCGAUGCACAUACAUCAUCCGACUACUCCAUUACUACUAACUAAACAUGCCAUCGGACUACCAAAAGCUGGCAUGUUUGGCUAUGGUGAAGACCAUCCACGGCUGCUCUUGCCCUUCGCGGCACCCUUGCCGUCCUUCUCGCGCAAGUACCGGUCGAAGAUGCAAUAGGGAUCGAGCCGGAUCUGCUCGUCAUCGGAGUUGUCCUGGCUGUCGCUGUCCUCUGCGAGUAUGAUGCAUGCACGUAUAGAAAAAGGUGAACCUCUCAGAAAAAAAAUGUUAUUGUCAUCAAUCCAUACCAACGUUGCCCAUAGGAAAGUUAGAUUCCUCGGAAACAAAGAUUGGAGAAACACACAUCAUUGCAUCUUAGAUAACUCGGAAUGAAGAUUAAGUGAAGAAACACAGCAGUUCCUACCUGCGUGAGCCGACGAGCACCUGGCGUUCGACCUGGAAAUGGAGGACAACGAAGUCAGCAGGGCAGCGUGGCAGCGUGCUCGCUUCCCGCGUCCAUGCCCGAUAGCCCUCCGUGCCACCAACCCCCGUCCCCCUCGCGCGACGCGCACCAACCAGUUCCUGCUUUGCCCACGUCGACUCAGUCCGGCUGCCGCAAAGCGAUCACCGCGCGUAGCCACCACCCCCGCUCCGUGCGCUCCCGUGGCGACAGGAGCUCCGCACCCACCAAUUCAGUGGUCAACCUCGCCGUCCAGGUCUACACCAACCCACUGUCUCACACCGUACCUACUACUCGGCUGCGCCUGCGCUACCUAUUUAAUCCCUCCCCUCCCUCCAUUCCCCUCCAAGAAGAGCUUCAGCUUCAUCUGCAGCUACAGCUCCUCUUCAGCACAACCCUUUCUUCAGGACACAGAUCAAUCCAGAUACACAUACGCCGCCUGCCGAGUGCCGACGUCUAGCUGCCAGUUUGCUUUCAGAAUCCAGAUACACAUACACUUGCUUUAGUACGUCUGUGCAUAUUUCGAUGGAGUGCGAGAACGCACACGUUGCCGCCAACGGCGAUGGCUUGUGCAUGGCGCAGCCGGCGCGGGCCGACCCGCUCAACUGGGGGAAGGCGGCGGAGGAGCUCUCGUGUAGCCAUUUGGAUGCGGUGAAGCGGAUGGUGGAAGAGUACCGACGGCCCGUGGUGACCAUGGAGGGCGCCAGCCUGACCAUCGCCAUGGUCGCCGCGGUGGCUGCCGGCAGCGACACCAGGGUCGAGCUCGACGAGUCCGCCCGCGGCCGCGUCAAGGAGAGCAGUGAUUGGGUCAUGAACAGCAUGAUGAACGGCACCGACAGUUACGGCGUCACCACCGGCUUCGGCGCCACCUCUCACCGGAGGACCAAGGAGGGCGGCGCUCUGCAGAGAGAACUCAUCCGGUACGAAUUAAAUCGCAGAACCAGUUCUACUUCUUGUUAAGCAUUUCUGUUAGUUAUGUGUACCAGACUAUCAAUUGAGUUACGGAAGCCUUAUAUUUUCGUGAUUGCUUGUGUGUUCAGAUUCCUUAACGCAGGAGCCUUCGGCACCGGCACCGAUGGCCACGUUCUGCCUGCCGCUGCGACCAGGGCGGCGAUGCUCGUCCGAGUCAAUACCUUGCUCCAGGGAUAUUCAGGCAUCCGCUUCGAGAUCCUCGAGACGGUCGCCACGCUUCUCAACGCCAACGUGACACCAUGCCUGCCGCUCCGGGGCACGAUCACAGCAUCCGGUGACCUAGUCCCGCUUUCGUACAUCGUCGGCCUGGUCACCGGCCGCCCAAACUCCAUGGCGACCGCUCCAGAUGGCACGAAGGUUAAUGCCGCUGAGGCAUUUAAGAUCGCCGGCAUUCAGCAUGGCUUCUUCGAGCUGCAGCCAAAGGAAGGCCUAGCCAUGGUGAAUGGCACGGCAGUGGGCUCGGGGCUUGCAUCCAUGGUGCUUUUUGAGGCUAACAUCCUUGGCCUCCUUGCCGAGGUCCUGUCAGCCGUCUUUUGCGAGGUGAUGAACGGCAAGCCAGAGUACACCGACCACUUGACCCACAAAUUGAAGCACCACCCCGGACAGAUUGAGGCUGCUGCUAUCAUGGAGCAUAUCCUGGAAGGCAGCUCCUACAUGAUGCUCGCGAAGAAGCUCGGUGAGCUUGACCCAUUGAUGAAGCCAAAGCAAGAUAGGUAUGCACUCCGCACAUCGCCACAGUGGCUUGGCCCUUAGAUUGAGGUUAUCCGUGCUGCCACCAAGUCGAUCGAGCGGGAAAUCAACUCCGUCAACGACAACCCACUCAUCGACGUCUCCCGUGGCAAAGCUAUCCACGGUGGCAAUUUCCAGGGCACACCCAUCGGUGUGUCCAUGGACAACACCAGGCUUGGCAUUGCUGCGAUUGGCAAGCUCAUGUUUGCCCAAUUCUCAGAGCUGGUGAACGACUUCUACAACAACGGUCUGCCUUCAAACCUCUCCGGUGGGCGCAACCCAAGCUUGGACUAUGGCUUCAAGGGUGCCGAGAUUGCCAUGGCCUCGUACUGCUCCGAGCUCCAGUUCUUGGGCAACCCUGUGACCAAUCAUGUUCAGAGCGCGGAGCAACACAACCAAGAUGUCAACUCUCUUGGUCUCAUCUCCUCAAGGAAGACCGCCGAGGCCAUUGACAUACUCAAGCUCAUGUCCUCGACGUUCUUGGUCGCGUUGUGCCAGGCCAUCGACCUUCGCCACCUUGAGGAGAAUGUCAAGAAUGCUGUCAAGAGCUGUGUGAAGACUGUGGCUAGGAAGACACUGAGCACCGAUACCAAUGGCCAUCUCCAUAACGCGCGCUUCUGCGAGAAGGACCUUCUGCUCACAAUCGACCGUGAAGCCGUGUUUGCAUACGCAGACGAUCCUUAUAGCGCCAACUACCCACUCAUGCAGAAGAUGCGUGCAGUUCUUGUGGAGAAUGCCUUGGCAAAUGGUGAGGCCGAGCGCGACGUGGAGACGUCGGUGUUUGCCAAGCUUGCCACGUUCGAGCGGGAGCUUCGGGCAGUGCUGCCAAAGGAGGUUGAGGCUGCCAGGAGCGCCGUGGAGAAUGGCACUGCCACACAACAAAACCGUAUUGCCGAAUGCCGGUCGUACCCCCUCUACCGAUUCGUGCGCAAGGAGCUUGGAACGGAGUACUUGACCGGAGAGAAGACGCGGUCUCCUGGCGAAGAGGUGGACAAGGUGUUCGUUGCCAUGAACCAGGGCAAGCACAUCGAUGCGCUCCUUGAGUGCCUCAAGGAGUGGAACGGCGAGCCCCUGCCUCUCUGCUAAAUAGAGGAUCGAGAAAGUGAAGAGUAGUGUGCUUCAGAUUUCUGAAGGCUCUGAUGAUAAUACUGUUUUUUCAUUGUAUAUUCUAAAAGUUGAUGUUUACAAUGUUCUUCUAGAGCUGCCAAUAUAUUGCCAAAGAUUGCAAUUGCAUGACUUGGUAGUGUUGGGUAGCCAGUAGAACUUUUAUGAUGUACGUAAGUUAAAAAGGCAAUGUGUGUUAAAUUUUCAUGAUAAAUUUACUGGCUCCAUUUUUUGAGAUCAACCGGUCCUUGUGACAAUAGUCCAAGAACUAACUAUUGGAAAUUCUUAUGGUGUGUGUACGGCGAUUCGGAAAGUAAAACUCGUGCCUACCUGGUCACCGGUCGGUAAUAAGUUCUCUAAAUUCUUUGAACGGGGACGAUGGCUUCUUUGAAUUCACAAUCUCCCAUCUAGUUUUUGCAGUUUCGGUAUUCUGCUUACUAGUUUCAGUCUGGAUUUCUUUGCAGGCACACAAUGAUGUUUAACUUUGUGUUAUUCAACUACCGUACCACCGCAUAUCUAUGAAUCCAUUUUUUUGAUUAUUAAUUCACUAAUGAUCUCAGCCCAUAACACAGGGUACAUACACAUGAAGUUUCUCUAUGCUUCUGAACAUUGCACUAUUUUUUAGUUCUAGCCAUACUUAGGCAGGAAAUAUAUAUGAAGAUUGUAAGGUUGCUCAGGCAUGUGACGCGUAUUUAUAUUCUACUCCCUUUGGUGUUCUUUAAUCUACACGCAUCAACAGCUCUGUGCGUACAUUGACCAUAUAGGAGACGUGUAUGUAUGUCCCUCUGCACCGGCCACCGUACCCUACCAACUAACGCGUCAGUGUUGGAUCAAAUGAAGAUGUCAACCAGUUGUGUCCUAAUCUCGAAUUCAUUAGGAGAAAUAGAAAGAAGUCAAGUAGUCAUCUUCAAACCGUAUUUUUUUCAUUGUAUUUCCUUAUUCAAUCUCGAAAAAAUUGUAUUUCCUUAAAAGUCGGUGUUUUGUAAUCUUCCUACAAAGCAGCUAGUUUGUUGCCAAAAAUGCAAUUGCAUGCUUCGGUAGUGGUAGGUAGCCAGUAGAACUUCUAACAUGUAAGUUAAAAUGGUACAAUGCCUGGUAAAUAUUCAUGACAAAUAUACGUGUCCCUUUUUCUAAAUCAAUGGUCUGGUGGUUCUUGAGGCAACUUCAAACAGUGCAAAGAAUCUAUUGUGUUUUCGUGACCGUAAAGAAUCUAUUGUUGUCAUGUCAUACAGUGUGUGAACAUGAUAAACCAACAUAGACCAUGAUCAGAAAGUUAAAAUGGUUGGAGUUCUGGAGCAGGAAAGUUGUAUAAGGACCCACUGGUGGUAGAAACUGACAGCACGACAAUGGGUAAUGAACUCCAUGCAGGCUCGAUGAACCAAUCCAAUUGUUUCUCCCUGCUGGUUGACAUAAAAAUGAAGCUUCCGCACUUCUCAUGUGAGGUCAACAUCAUGGGGAGGAUUUGUAAUUUUUGGCUCACGAACUGGCAGCUGAAGCAAGGAGAAAGGACAAUCUGAAGCUGAUAGGCAGGGUUCCGGAUACUCUUCAGCAAGUUUAUUUGCUCCAUUGUAACCCAACCUGUUGGUAGAUUACUCAUUGGUUGUAAAAAGAAGCUAAAAUGGUUCCUACGUAGUAACAUAGUCACCGGUCAUCUCCGUAGUGGCUAGUUCCGCUUUCGUCGGCAAAAUGCGAUGGCUUCUCUGAAUUCUCAGUCUUGUACCCACUUGUUCCUAUUCAAGUGUUCCUUUUACCUACUCCAGUCUGAAAUGUGAAAUGUAACAAAGCACAUAAUACGUAACAAAAGCACAUAAUAUGUUGUUCUCCUAACUUGGUGCUAUGAAUAUUUUAGAUAGAAUAUUCUCAUUUCUUUGUGGCGGCCGAACACAAAUAGUUUCUUUUGUCAAUGGAAAUGUUCACUAAACUAAAUAUCAGGUUCAAAUGUAAUUUUAAAGGCACUCAAAAGAAGCUGACAAGAUGAAGUGCCAUUCAUGCCUCGCUAAAACCCCACCCUCAUGUGGGAAAGAGCCCUCUCAUAUAUGAUUAUGAUUUGAGGAGAAAUUGAGGGAGUAAUAUUUUGGGGUUAUGUUAGGGGUGCAAUUAUAGUUGGUAGGAUUCUUAACCACACUCAACACAUGCGGUUGUUCGCUCAAGGGAAAAAAUACAGUUGUUCGUGCAUCCAUGGGAAACUGAUGCAUCGAUAAAAUCUUAAUCUUUAACCAAUGUUAGUAAGUCAAUGGUCAACAACUUGAACGCUAAUGAUUUGGUGGUGUAGUUGUUGGCAAUCAUAGGUCAAGUUUGUUUGCUGAUAGGCAGGGUUCCUGAUAUUCUUCAGCAAGUUUGUUUGCUCAAUUGUAACCCAACCUCUUGGUAGACUACUCAUUGGUUGUAAAAAGAAGAAGUUAAAAUGGUUCCUACGUAGUAACAUAGUCACUGGUCAUCUCCGUAGUAGCUAGUUCCGCUUUCGUCGGCAAAAUGCGAUGGCUUCUUUGAAUUCUCGGUCUUGUACUGUUGGGGAACGUAGAAAUUUCAAAAAAUUCCUACGCACACGCAAGAGUCAUGGUGAUGCAUAGCAACGAGAGGGGAGAGUGUUGUCCACGUACCCUCGUAGACCGAAAGCAGAAGCGUUAGAACAACGCGGUUGAUGUAGUCGUACGACUUCACGGCCCGACCGAUCAAGCACCGAAACUACGGCACCUCCGAGUUCUAGCACACGUUCAGCUUGAUGACGAUCCCCGUACUUCGAUCCAGCAGAAUGUCGGGGAAGAGUUACGUCAGCACAACGGCGUGGUGACGAUCUUGAUGUUCUACCGUCGCAGGGCUUCGCCUAAGCACCGCUACAAUAUUAUCAAGGACUAUGGUGGAGGGGGGCACCGCACCGCACACGGCUAAGAGAUCAAGAGAUCAAUUGUUGUAUCUAUGGGGUGCCCCCCUCCUCCAUAUAUAAAGGAGUGGAGGAGGGGGAGGGCCGGCCCUCUCUAUGGCGCGCCCUAGGGGAGUCCUACUCCCACCGGGAGUAGGAUUCCCCCUUUCCUAGUAGAACUAGCUAGGAGCCCUUCCAAGUAGUAGGAGUAGGAGAGAAGGAAAGGGAAGGGAGAAGGAGAAGGAAGGAAGGGGACGCCCCCCUCCCUAGUCCAAUUCGGACUAGUCCAUGGGGAGGGGUGCGGCCACCCUUUGGGGCCUUUCUCUCCUUUCCCAUAUGGCCCAUUAAGGCCCAAUACGAGUUCCCGUAACUCUCCGGUACUCCAAAAAAUACCCGAAUCAUUCGGAACCUUUCCGAUGUCCGAAUAUAGUCGUCCAAUAUAUCGAUCUUUACGUCUCGACCAUUUCGAGACUCCUCGUCAUGUCCCUGAUCUCAUCCGGGACUCCGAACUCCUUCGGUACAUCAAAACUCAUAAACUCAUAAUAAAACCGUCAUCAAAACCUUAAGCGUGCGGACCCUACGGGUUUGAGAACUAUGUAGACAUGACCGAAACACAUUUCCGGUCAAUAACCAAUAGUGGAACCUAGAUGCUCAUAUUGGCUCCUACAUAUUCUACGAAGAUCUUUAUCGGUCAAACCGCAUAACAACAUACGUUGUUCCCUUUGUCAUCGGUGUGUUACUUGCCCGAGAUUCGAUCGUCGGUAUCUCAAUACCUAGUUCAAUCUCGUUACCGGCAAGUCUCUUUAUUCGUUAUGUAAUUCAUCAUUCCAUAACUAACUCAUUAGUUACAUUGCUUGCAAGGCUUAUAGUGAUGUGCAUUACCGAGAGGGCCUAGAGAUACCUCUCCGACAAUCGGAGUGACAAAACCUAAUCUCGAAAUACGCCAACUCAACAUGUACCUUUGGAGACACCUGUAGAGCUCCUUUAUAAUCACCCAGUUACGUUGUGACGUUUGGUAGCACACAAAGCAUUCCUCCGGUAAACGGGAGUUGCAUAAUCUCAUAGUUGUAGGAACAUGGUGAUGCUAAACAAUCAAGUGCUAAGCUAACGGAAUGCGUCAAGUCAAUCACAUCAUUCUCCUAAUGAUGUGAUCCCGUUAAUCAAAUGACAACUCAUGUCUAUGGUUAGGAAACUUAACCAUCUUUGAUUCACGAGCUAGUCAAGUAGAGGCAUACUAGUGACACUCUGUUUGUCUAUGUAUUCACACAUGUAUUAUGUUUCCGGUUAAUACAAUUCUAGCAUGAAUAAUAAACAUUUAUCAUGAAAUAAGGAACUAAAUGAUAUCUUUAUUAUUGCCUCUAGGGCAUAUUUCCUUCAAUCUCCCACUUGCACUAGAGUCAAUAAUCUAGUUCACAUCGCCAUGUGAUUUAACACUAAUAUUCAUAUAUGUAUAUGAUUAACACCCAUAGUUCACAUCGUCAUGUGACCAACACCCAAAGGGUUUACUAUAGUCAAUAAUCUAGUUCACAUUGCUAUGUGAUUAACACCCAAAGAGGACUGAGGUGUGAUCAUGUUUUGCUCGUGAGAGAAGCCUAGUCAAUGGGUCUGUCACAUUCAGAGUCGUAUAUAUUUUGCAAAUAUUCUAUGUCUACAAUGCUCUGCAUGGAGCUACUCUAACUAAUUGCUCCCACUUUCAAUAUGUAUCCAGAUUGAGACUUAGAGUCAUCUGGAUCGGUGUAAGAUCUUGCACCGAUGUAACUCUUUACGACGGGCUCUUUUAUCACCUCCAUAAUCGAGAAAUAUUUCUUUAGUCCUUACUAGGGAUAUUCUUGACCAAUGUCCAGUGAUCUACUCCUAGAUCACUAUUGUACUCCCUUGCCAAAUACAGAGCAAGGUAUACAAUAGGUCUGGUACAUAGCAUAACAUACUUUAUAGAACCUAUGAUUGAGGCAUAGGGAAUGACUUUCAUUCUCUUUUCUAUUUUUUACCGUGGUCGGGAUUUGAGUCUUACUCAAUUUCACACCUUUGCAACACAGGCAAGAACUCUUUCUUUGACUGUUCCAUUUUGAGCUACUUCAAAAAAUUAACAAGGUAUGUACUUAUUGAAAAACUUAUCAAGCGUCUUGAUCUAUCUCAAUAGAUCUUGAUGCUCAAUAUGUAAGUAGCUUUACUGAGAUCUUUCUUUUAAAGAACUCCUUUCAAAUACUCCUUUAUGCUUUCCAGAAAAAUUCUACAUCAUUUCUGAUCAACAAUAUGUUACUCACAUAUAUUUAUCAGAAAAGCGGUAGUGACCACUCACUUUAUUGUAAAUACAGGUUUCACCGCAAGUCUGUAUAAAACUAUAUGAUUUGAUCAACUCAUCAAAGCGUAUAUUCCAACUCCGAGAUGCUUGCACCAGUCCAUAGAUGGAUCGCUAGAGCAUGCACACUUUGUUAGCACCUUUAGGAUUGACAAAACCUUCUGGUUGCAUCAUAUACAACUCUUCUUUAAGAAAACCAGUAAGGAAUGCAGUUUUGACAUCCAUUUACCAGAUUUCAUAAAAUGUGGCAAUUGCUAACAUGAUUCGGACAGACUUAAGCAUCACUACAGUUGAGAAAAUCGCAUUGUAGUCAACACCUUGAACUUGUCAAAAAAAAUUUGCGACAAGUCAAGCUUUGUAGAUAGUAACACUACUAUCAGCAUCUGUCUUUCUCUUGAAGAUCCAUUUAUACAAUAUGGCUUGCCGAUUAUCGGGCAACUCCACCAAAGUCCACACUUUGUUCUCAUACAUGGAUCCCAUCUUAGAUUUCAUGGCCUCAAGCCAUUUCGCGGAAUCUAGGCUCAUCAUCGCUUCCUCAUAGUUCGUAGGUUCAUCAUGGUCUAGUAACAUGAGUUCCAGAAGAGAAUUACCAUACCACUCUGGUGCGGACUGUACUUUGGAAGACCUACGAGGUUUUGUAGUAACUUAAUCUAAAGUUUCAUGAUCAUCAUCAUUAGCUUCCUCACUAAUUGGUGUAGGAAUCACUGGAACUGAUUUCUGUGAUGAACUACUUUCCAAUUCGGGAGAAGGUACAAAUUACCUUAUCAAGCUCUACUUUCCUCUCACUCACUUCUUUCGAGAGAAACUCCUUCUCUAGAAAGGAUCCAUUCUUAGCAACGAAUGUUUUUCCUUCAGAUCUGUGAUAGAAGGUGUACCCAACAGUUUCCUUUGGGUAUUCUAUGAAGACGCACUUCUUCGAUUUGAGUUCGAGCUUAUCAGGUUGAAAACCUUUUUCAUAUAAGCAUUGCAACUCCAAACUUAAAGAAACGAUGGCUUAGGUUUACUGCUAAACCAUAGUUCAUACAGUGUCGUCUCAACGGAUUUAGAUGGUGCCUUAUUAAACAUGAAUGCAGCUGUCUCUAAUGCAUAACCCCAAAACGAUAGUGGUAAAUCGAUAAGAGACAUCAUAGAUCGCACCAUAUCUAGUAAAGUACGAUUACGACGUUCGGACACACCAUUACAUUGUGGUGUUCCAGGUGGCCUGAGUUGUGAAACUAUUUCACAUUGUUUCAAAUGAAGACCAAACUCGUAACUCAAAUAUUCGUCUCCACGAUCAGAUCGUAGAAACUUUAUUUUUCUUGUUACGAUGAUUUUCCACUUCACUCUGAAAUUCUUUGAACUUUUCAAAUGAUUCAGACUUAUGUUUCAUCAAGUAGAUAUACCCAUAUCUGCUCAAAUCAUCUGUGAAGGUAAAAAAAUAACGAUACACGCCGCAGGCCUUAACACUCAUCGGAUCGUAUACAUCGGUAUGUAUUAUUUCCAAUAAGUCAGUAGCUCGUUCCAUUGUUCCGGGGAACGGAGUUUUAGUCAUCUUACCCAAAAGGCACGGUUCGCAAGCAUCAAAUGAAUCAUAACCAAGUGAUUCCUGAAAAUCCAUCUUUAUGGAGUUUCUUCAUGCGCUUUACACUGAUAUGACCCAAACGGCAGUGCCACAAAUAAGUUGCACUACCAUUAUUAACUUUGCAUCUUUUGACAUCAAUAUUAUGAAUAUGUGUAUCACUACGAUCGAGAUCCAACAAACUAUUUUCAUUGGGUGUAUGACCAUUUGAAGGUUUUAUUCAUGUAAACGGAACAACAAUUAUUCUCUAACUUUAAAUGAAUAACCAUAUUGCAAUAAACAUGAUCAAAUCAUAUUCAUGCUCAACGCAAACGCCAAAUAACAUUUAUUUAGGUUUAACACUAAUCCCGAAAGUAUAGGGAGUGUGCGAUGAUGAUCAUAUCAAUCCUGGAAUUACUUCCAACACUCAUCGUCACUUCCCCUUCAACUAGUCUCUAUUUAUUCUGUAACUCCUGUUUCGAGUUACUAAUCUUAGCAACCGAACAAGUAUCAAAUACUCAGGGGCUACUAUAAACACUAGUAAGGCACACAUAAAUAACCUGUAUAUCAAAUAUACCCUUGUUCACUUUGCCAUCCUUCUUAUCCACCAAAUAUUCAGGGCAUUUUCGCUUCCAGUGACCAUUUCCUUUGCAGUGUAAGCACUCAGUUUCAGGCUUUGGUCCAGCUUUGGUCUUCUUCACGGGAGUGACAACUUGUUUGCCAUUCUACUUGAAGUUUCCCUUUCAUUUCCUUUGCCCUUUUCUUGAAACUAGUGGUCUUGUCAAUCAUCAACACUUGAUGCUCUUUCUUGAUUUCUACCUUCGUCGAUUUCAACAUCACAAAGAGCUCGGGAAUCGUUUUCGUCAUCCCUUGCAUACUAUAGUUCAUCACGAAGUUCUAGUAACUUAGUGAUGGUGACUAGAGAAUUCUGUCAAUUACUAUCUUUUCUGGAAGAUUAACUCCCAUUUGAUUCAAGCGAUUGAAGUACCCAGACAACCUGAGCACAUUCUCACUAGUUGAGCGAUUCUCCUCCAUCUUUAGCUAUAGAACUUGUUGGAGACUUCAUAUCUCUCAACUCGGGUAUUUGCUGGAAAUAUUAACUUCAACUCCUGGAACAUCUCAUAUAGUUCAUGACGUUCAAAACAUCUUUGAAGUCCCGAUUCUAAGCCGUUUAAGCAUGGUGCACUAAACUAUCAAGUAGUCAUCAUUUUGAGCUAGCCAAACAUUCAUAAUGUCUACAUCUGCUUCUGCAAUAAGUUUGUCACCUAGCGGUGCAUCAAGGAUAUAAUUCUUCUGUGCAGCAAUGAGGAUAAACCUCAGACCACGGAUCCAAUCCGCAUCAUUGCUACUAACAUCUGUCAACACAGUUUUCUCUAGGAACAUAUCAAAAUAAACAUAUGAAAGCAACAACGCGAGCUAUUGAUCUACAACAUAAUUUGCAAAAUACUACCAGGACUAAGUUUAUGAUAAAUUUAAGUUCAAUUAAUCAUAUUACUUAAGAACUCCCACUUAGACAGACAUCUCUCUAGUGAUCUAAGUGAUCACGUGAUCCAAAUCAACUAAACCAUGUCCGAUCAUCACGUGAGAUGGAGUAGUUUUCAAUGGUGAACAUCACUAUGUUGAUCAUAUCUACUAUAUGAUUCACGUUCGACCUUUCGGUCUCCAUGUUCCGAGGCCAUAUCUGUAUAUGCUAGGCUCGUCAAGUUUAACCUGAGUAUUCUGCGUGUGUAACUGUUUUGCACCCGUUGUAUUUGAAUGUAGAGCCUAUCACACCCGAUCAUCACGUGGUGUCUCAGCACAAAAAACUUUCACAACGGUGCAUAUUCAGGGAGAACACUUCUUGAUAAUUAGUGAGAGAUCAUCUUAAAAUGCUACCGUCAAACUAAGCAAAAUAAGAUGUAUAAAAGAUAAACAUCAUAUGCAAUCAAAAUAUGUGACAUGAUAUGGCCAUGAUCAUCUUGCGCCUUUGAUCUCCAUCUCCAAAGUACUGUCAUGAUCUCUAUUGUCACCGGCACGACACCAUGAUCUCCAUCAUCUUGAUCUAUAUCAAUGUGUCGUCACAUGGUCGUCUCGCCAACUAUUGCUCUUGCAACUAUUGCUAUCGCAUAGCGAUAAAGUAAAGCAAUUAUUUGGCGCUUGCAUCUUAUGCAAUAAAGAGACAACCAUAAGGCUUCUGCCAGUUGCCGAUAACUUCAACAAAAAUAUGAUCAUCUCAUACAACAAUUUAUAUCUCAUCACGUCUUGACCAUAUCACAUCACAACAAGCCCUGCAAAAACAAGUUAGACGUCAUCUACUUUGUUGUUGCAAGUUUUACGUGGCUGCUACGGGAUGAGCAAGAACCAUUCUUACCUACGCAUCAAAACCACAACGAUAUUUCGUCAAGUUAGUGAUGUUUUAACCUUCGCAAGGACCGGGUGUAGCCACACUCGGUUCAACUAAAGUUGGAGAAACUGACACCCGCUAGUCACCUGUUUGCAAAGCACGGCGGUAAAACCAGUCUCGCGUAAGCGUACGCGUAAUGUCGGUCCGGGCCGCUUCAUCCAACAAUACCGCUGAACCAAAGUAUGACAUGCUGGUAAGCAGUAUGACUUGUAUCACCGACAACUCACUUGUGUUCUACUCGUGCAUAUAACAUCUACGCAUAAAACCAAGCUCGGAUGCCACUGUUGGGGAACGUAGAAAUUUCAAAAAAAUUCCUACGCACACGCAAGAUAAUGGUGAUGCAUAGCAACGAGAGGGGAGAGUGUUGUCCACGUACCCUCGUAGACCGAAAGCGGAAGCAUUAGAACAACGCGGUUGAUGUAGUCGUACGACUUCACGGCCCGACCGAUCAAGCACCGAAACUACGGCACCUCCGAGUUCUAGCACACGUUCAGCUCGAUGACGAACCCCGUACUCCGAUCCAGCAGAAUGUCGGGGAAGAGUUCCGUCAGCACGACGGCGUGGUGACGAUCUUGAUGUUCUACCGUCACAGGGCUUCGCCUAAGCACCGCUACAAUAUUAUCAAGGACUAUGGUAGAGGGGGGCACCGCACACGGCUAAGAGAUCAAGAGAUCAAUUGUUGUAUCUAUGGAGUGCCCCCUCCUCCGUAUAUAAAGGAGUGGAGGAGGGGAAGGGUCGGCCCUCUCUAUGGUGCGCCCUAGGGGAGUCCUACUCCCACCGGGAGUAGGAUUCCCCCUUUCCUAGUAGAACUAGGAGCCCUUCCAAGUAGUAGGAGUAGGAGAGAAGGAAAGGGAAGGGAGAAGGAGAAGGAAGGAAGGGGACGCCCCCUCCCUAGUCCAAUUCGGACUAGUCCAUGGGGAGGGGUGCGGCCACCCUUUGGGGCCUUUCUCUCCUUUCCCGUAUGGCCCAUUAAGGCCCAAUACGAAUUCCGGUAACUCUUCGGUACUCCAAAAAAUACCCGAAUCACUCGAAACCUUUCCGAUGUCCGAAUAUAGUCGUCCAAUAUAUCGAUCUUUACGCUUCGACCAUUUCGAGACUCCUCGUCAUGUCCUUGAUCUCAUCCGGGAUUCCGAACUCCUUCGGUACAUCAAAACUCAUAAACUCAUAAUGAAACUGUCAUCAAAACCUUAAGCGUGCGGACCCUACGGGUUCGAGAACUAUGUAGACAUGACCGAAACACGUUUCCGGUUAAUAACCAAUAGCGGAACCUGGAUGCUCAUAUUGGCUCCUACAUAUUCUACGAAGAUCUUUAUCGGUCAAACCGCAUAACUACAUACGUUGCUCCCUUUGUCAUCGGUAUGUUACUUGCCCGAGAUUCGAUCGUCGGUAUCUCAAUACCUAGUUCAAUCUCGUUACCGGCAAGUCUCUUUAUUCGUUAUGUAAUGCAUCAUUCCGUAACUAACUCAUUAGUUACAUUGCUUACAAGGCUUAUAGUGAUGUGCAUUACCGAGAGGGCCCAGAGAUACCUUUGCGACAAUCGAAGUGACAAAACCUAAUCUCGAAAUACGCCAACUCAACAUGUACCUUUGGAGACACCUGUAGAGCUCCUUUAUAAUCACCCAGGUACGUUGUGACGUUUGAUAGCACACAAAGUGUUCCUCCGGUAAAUGGGAGUUGCAUAAUCUCAUAGUUGUAGGAACAUGUAUAAGUCAUGAAGAAAGCAAUAGCAACAUGCUAAACGAUCAAGUGCUAAGCUAAUAGAAUGAGUCAAGUCAAUCACAUCAUUCUCCUAAUGAUGUAAUCCCGUUAAUCAAAUGACAACUCAUGUCUAUGGUUAGGAAACUUAACCAUCUUUGAUUCACGAGCUAGUCAAGUAGAGGCAUACUAGUGACACUCUGUUUGUCUAUGUAUUCACACAUGUAUUAUGUUUCCGGUUAAUACAAUUCUAGCAUGAAUAAUAAACAUUUAUCAUGAAAUAAGAAAAUAAAUAAUAGCUUUAUUAUUGCCUCUAGAACAUAUUUCCUUCAUGUACCCACUUGUUCCUAUUCAAGUGUUCUUUUUACCUACUCCAGUCUGAAAUGUGACAAAAGCGCAUAAUACGUAACAAAAGCACAUAAUAUGUUGUUCUCCUAACUUGGUGCUAUGAAUAUUUUAGAUAGAAUAUUCUUAUUUCUUUGUGGCGGCCGAACACAAAUAGUUUCUUUCGUCAAUGAAUAUGUUCACUAAACCAAAUAUCAGGUUCAGAUGUAAUUUAGAAGGCACUCAAAAGAAGUUGACAAGAUGAAGUGCCAUACAUGCCUCGCUAAAACCCCACCCUCAUGUGGGAAAGAGACCUCUCAUAUAUGAUUAUGAUUUGAGGAGAAAUUGAGGAAGUAAUAUUUUGGAGUUAUGGUAGGGGUUCAAUUAUAGUUGGUAGGAUUCUUUACCACACUCAACACAUGCAGUUGUUCGUUCAAGGGAAAAAAUACAGUUGUUCGUGCAUCCAUGGGAAACCGAUGCAUCGAUAUAAAAUCUUAAUCCUUGACCAAAUGUUAGUAAGUCAAUGGUCAACAACUUGAACGCUGAUGAUUUGGUGGUGUAGUUGUUGGCAAUCAUAGGUCAAGUCAAGUAUUAACAUCCUCGCAGAACAUGUCUAACGUCAACAAAGAUGAGGUUGAAAUUAGGCAAUUGCCGGUCUUAAGUCUUUAGAACCCAGGGUGCGAGAGUGUUUCAGGAAGGAAAUUGCGGAUAUUCCCUGAUUCGCAUGGGCGUUGAUGUUCAACUUAAUUUAAGCCAACAACCAAUUUAUCUCAAAAACAUUUCUUGAGUUAGGCAGUUAGCUAGCUGUCAUAGUUAUCUCCUUGAUUGGCAUGGGCACCGGUUAUAUAAAAGUGGGGAGUUUAUAACUGAAGAUCACUGAAAACAUCUAGUUGUAAUAAUUUGGAGGAGUUUGUAUGUUUUUUGCUUCAGAGGGAACGUCGGGCAAACAGCCAGUCUAACUAACUUCACUAAAACCGCGAAAUUACGGAGUGAACUGUAUUCAGCCUGAACAUGCACGGAUGUAAAUUGCAUCUGAAUUAAUCUAAACUGCUUCACUCGUUCGGGAGAAACUGCUUGCACAACGCUUCCACAUGCAUUUUUCACCUCGAGAGAUUCACAUGCAGUGUGAUCAUAAUGAGCAUACUGAUACAAGCCGGGGCUCUUUUCCUUGCGAGUUGUCGGAUCAGGUCCUCAACGAUCUCUUUCUAUAGACUGAAGCUCAAACAAGAAUGUGCACAUGUAUGCACGCAUUCGACCGACCCGUGUUUGUAAGAGCUGACCGAUUGGCUCCCUGACUUGUGACGACCAACCCCUCGGACGAUUCUCGUGGACACGGCGAUGUAAACCUCACACUCAGUAGUUUCAAGGAAGCAAUUGCUGUCGCAUGCGUGGUCACGGUGUGCACGCGUGUGACCGACCAUGACCAGGCCGGACGCAGGACCAGUGUACACCGGCCGGGUUCCCCUCGGCGGAACAGCCGGAAUCGAGGCUCAGGAGAAAAUCCAAACGUUGCUUGCCAUGGAACGCGCGAAUCCGUGAUGGUAUAGGACACAUGUCGAGUCCGCAUGUUGCAAUCAGAGUUCUCUCCACAGUUGAACUCUCUGUAGUGUAUAAGAUUCCAAAAUAUCUGCUCAACACAGGUCAAGUCUGUCCAGUCAAGUGUGCACUGAGGAGUGAAACUUCACACCGGAGGGCCGGAAGUUUGCAUCAGAAUGGCUUUACAUUCAGACCGGAAUAUACAAGACGACCGGAAUAUACAAGACGCUUUACAUUCAUUUGCUCAUUUGGAGAUGCAAUUGCACGGACGACCAAGACGGGAACAAAAGCGGGUUUCCAGAUCUUGACACGAAGCUUCAAUAGAUCAACUGGAGCUGAUAAAGGAAUCAACAAAUCCACGUGAUUCUCAUCACCGGCGUGUUUCCAUCGCGGGACUCGGUGACUGACUGAAAGUGGGGGGACUGAUCAGUGGACUGAAAGCAGCAGGAAAAGGAUAGGAAAAUAGGAGUACUCGAGACCAUGAUCGAGUUUAAGCCCCAUUUAACCAUGUGUGCUUGGUUAAUUUAAAAUAGUAUAGUACGUGGGGUUCUUUACACCCCAAAACAGAUCACUAGUGGCCUAGUGAUCAGAUAACGACUCCGGUUGUCCAUAGCAGAACUCCACUUUCUUUAGCUAAACAAACCUAUCUCCUUUCCUUUUAAAGAUCUCUUUUCCGAUAGUUUAUCCAUGGUGCAUGCAGCCGUGUUGCUUCUUUUAAAUGUUUCAAUAUCGACGACAAAGAACAUGAUUUACAUGAGUACAAUCUGCACGUUUGUAACUUUAGUGCAGCGUUAGGCAUCUUCAAGGCAGAAACGCAAACCGCCUGCAUCCAAUCAGACCGCGAAAGGCAUCCAACGCGGUUAUGUAUCGGUCUGCGGAGUAGUCCGGGCAUGUAUUCUUCCGUAAAUUGGAGACAAACAUGAAUGACUUUGCCAGAGUCCGGACAUGUAAUUGACCAAUCACAUGCAUGGUCUUUCUUUCCUCUCUCUUUCCAUCCGCACAUGCAUGGUCCCCCUCUUCUCUCUCUCCCAACCGGAUACUGAACCACAAAAAUUCCACCAGAUGCAUGGUCUCCACCUGCCUUUUCUCCUCCCAGACGGAUACUUUGUAAUUAGCGUUGGAUUGCUCUUUCCCGUAUCAUGUCCGCGGUCCACGUCCAAACAUAAAAAUGGACAUAUACCAGAGAAAUUUAUAGGUAGGCGUUGGAGAUGCCCUUACCUCAAUAAAAAAAAGAACUCAUAGUACACAGUUAUUCGAAUCAGACGAUUAAUUAUGAGGUAAGCAUGCAUCAUAUGUAUUUCAUGCAGUUGGUGUGAUGAGUAACUAAUUAACAAACAUGUAACAAACUAGGGCUUUGAUUUCUAAAUAUUUUAUUAUAGUUUAAAUUCAUUCCUUGGUAAAUCUCCUUUCUCCUCCUCUUCAUCUCUCUUCCUCUGCCCCCUCUCUUAAGAGUCGACCAGGGCUGCCCGGCCCGAUCCAAAUGGAUCGUCCGAUGCUGACUAAGUUUGUUAUGUGAGGAGGGCAUUUUGGACCUGAUUGCAUCAUGUAUCCGUGUUUCAGGGUCCUUCUAGUAAAGUACAGGGACUUGGUUGUCAUUUCUUUCUAGUUUGGGUCAUGCCAUAAGAUGCUAUGUACCUUCGCUUUGAUCAAUAUAGCAUUUGGGUCCUUUGAGACCCUUUUUUAUUAAAAAAUCAUUCAUUGCAAUUUAAACUAUGAAAAAAUUCUGCAAAAAAGGAAAAGGAAAAGAAACAACUUAACAUGAAAAUUUGAACAUGAUACAAUUAAAUAUAAUGAGAUUUACAACCAACUUAAAAUGCUCUAAUGAGUGAUGCCUACCAAUUUUAAAACCUGCAGCCAACCUCUUCUCUAUUUUUUAAAGAUGCUUUGGUCUUUUAGGGGAAAAACCAAAAAAAUAUUCAGAAGAUGGUGUUUAAGACAAAAAUAAACCUUUGAGCUCAAGCAACGAGAUAAUGAAGACCCAUUAUAAACUAGGCUAGCUACAUUUUGUGAUUUAUUGAGGUAAUACAUCUUAUGUAUAUUUACUUGAUCAGAUAGCAAUGUUAUUAAAGAAACUAGCUUAAACAUUUAAGUUUUUCACCUCCAAUGAUCCAGCUAAACCGAUGGUCCGACCGGUGAAAAUCUGAACUGACAACCUCAUCUAUUCAGUUGUCAGUCUCGUUUUUUAAACUAUGGUUGCAUGGUAGACAUGUUCACAUCAUAAGACCGUUAUGGACCAAGCUAGUAAAUUUAUUAGUUACAAUAAUUCUGAUAACAUGGAAGUAUGCACAUCCAACCAAAAGCUAUUUAAUGACUUAUAUCAAGGUUUAUCUAUGUAGGAUAUAUGGAUUAUAGUUAACUCACAUGGAUGUCUAGUUAUUAGUUGCAAAACAUUCAUUAAGUUUGGGCCAUACUCUAGUAGAUGCACAAGAAUGUUGGACUGAGCUUGGGUAGAACGAUAGAGCUACCAGACAAGCUCAGGCAGCCGCGAUCGCGACCAAGGCGCAAGUAGAGAGGGAUGGGGAAUUGUUUUUGCGCCAACAGCUAAAAUAUGAGUAAUGCUACAUCCAUGGAUGGGUGUGUGUGUGGGGGGGGGGGGAUUUACGGGCUAACCGGCUGGGCCAACACUUAAAUUUAAGGUUUAAUUAGGAGAAGUUAGUUAUUUAUUUAGGUCAAUUGCCUAAAAAAGUUAUUAGGCCAUUAAAAUCAGGACAUGACAGUUUUUCCCCUAAUUAUUACCUAAAUCUUCCGAUAAACUUUGUAGGUGGAGCAUUAUAGCUAAAAUAUAUAGAGGAUCUCUGUCCAUUCGAGAAUACGGAGAAUGAAAGGGGAGAAUAUCAGGUGAUACCACCCUUCACAUGCUACCAUGCUCCAACUUUUGAAAAGUCAUAUUUAAAUGUUUUUAUUUUUUAUGGAUGUGAACAAGAGACACUAGUAGAAACUGAAGCUUUAAAACCGGUUCGUAAGGGCCUUUAGUGCCGGUUCUGCAACCGGCACUAACGGGUGGAGACUAAAGACCCCCCCUUAGUACCGGUUCGGCACGAACCGCCACUAAAGGCCCACCACGUGGCGUGAGCUCCCGCCGUGGUAUGGCGGACCUUUAGUACCGGUUGGUGUUACCAACCGGUACUAAAGGUAUUUUUUUUAUUUUUUUGUAAAAAAUAUUUGAUUUUUUUUCGAUUUUCAAUUUUCUGAAUUAUUUGAUGAUUUAGUCUCUAAUCACCCCUCUUAACUGCUCAAGUGUGGAUCACUCAUUCCAAAUCAUCUAACUUCCUCGCCGGUCACCCAUCCUCUCACCCCUCAGCCUGAGCACACUUAACUUCGGAGUUCUAUUCCCCCUACUUUCCAAGUCUGCACUUGUUAUUUUCCUGACAAAUGUAAGCUGUCAAUGCUAUUAACCCUCAGCAGUUUAGCUUGAGCAUUAGGUCACACAUUUCACCGUUUGAGUUUGGAACUAUUAUUCUAAAAAACAGCUAACACUAAUAUUUCUUGACCACAGUUUGACCAUAGUUUGACCAGAUUUGACCAAAAUUCAAAAAAUUGAAAUAAUUAUUUAGUAACACAAAUUUUCUUGAAUAAUUAUGUAGCAACAUUAAUGCUUCUUGAAUAAGUAGUUUGACCAUAGUUUGACUAGAUUUAACCAAAAUUAAAAAAAACUGAAAUUUGAGCAUAUCUUUUUUUCCUUUUGGAAUUUGUGGAUUCUAAAAAAUUGCAAGCAGUGCUGAAUUUUUUGAUACAUUAUACGUUUUUUCUGACAUCGUAUGCAAAAGUUAUAGCCGUUUUACAUUUCCCUAUACUUUUUGCAAAACAUGUCCAAAUUUAAGUUUUUUAAUUUUCCUAACUAGUAGAUGUAGUAAUAUAACUACAUCUCGAAGAAUUUUAUUUUUUGAAUUUUUUAUCAUUUUCUUUUGUAUUUUUCAAAACUAAAAUGGCGAUACAUAGGGGGGAGGGGGGUAGAGUUUGAAAAAUUGCCCUAUAGUCCCGGUUUGUGUCUCCAACCGGGACUAUAGGUCAAACCCCUUUAGUACCGGUUCGUGGCACGAACCGGUACUAAAGUUAGCCAUUUAGUACCGGUUUGUGCCACGAACCGGUACUAAAGGUGAUCGCGGGGCCCCGGCCUGACGCCAGCCCGCCACCACCCCUUUAGUACCGGUUCGUGGAACGAACCGGUACUAAAUGUUCAAAACGAACUGGCAUUAAUGCAUAGCCGUUUGAACCGGCACUAAUGGUACCAUUAGUACCGGGCAGAAAUCGAACCGGGACUAAUGUGUCUCACAUUAGGUCCUUUUUCUACUAGUGAGAUGUGACUACUAACCCUAAAAAUCCAGAUCAUAGAUUGAGAAACAAAAAAGACAAAUCUAGAAUAAAUUGUUUCAGAAGACAAAACAUGAGUAGUGUUAGAAAUUACACUAUAUAUACAUAUUGAUUUGUAUUUUUUUGUAUCUCAAUGUAUAUUUCGAAUUUUGAUCUGAAUUUUUAGGAGAUAUAAACAUAUGUCUUGUGAACAUCCACAUUUUUGUUCAGAAAUUUUCAAAACAUCUUAAUGUGAAUUUUAAAAAAUUGGACAUGGGAGCAUGUGAAGGGUGGUAUCACCUAUAUCUCCCCGAAAUGAAAGAUAUGUUUCAAUGUCUCUUAGAAUUUUUUUCAUAAUAAAGAGCCAUAGUAAGGAUCUACUAGAAUGAGAACAUGUAGUAUUUGAACCCGAGCUCACAUGCUCUGUAAUGGACAGUAAAAUAAAAAAUAAGUUAAAAAAUCCGACAUAUUUUGUGGUAAACAUUGAUGAACACUUCAACUACAUGCAAAUUUUUGUGAUGAAAUCACAAUCGUGUAGGUCUGGGCUAAAAAGACAAAAUCAAUGCUUUAAAAUGACUAUUGUUGGAAGCAUUUUGAAGCAUCAAUUGUUUUUACCCCUCCACGAUUUCAUUUCAUAACAAAAGAAUGCAUCCGGUUAAAACAUUCAUCCAUGUUUAUCCCCCCCAAAAAACUCAUAAUUUUACUUUUUUUUUUAAUUUCUGUUCACCAGGGAGCAUGUGAGCUCGGAAUCAAAAGAGCACUUUUAGCUAGAGUGACUCCAUCUUCUAUAUAUAUAGAUAAAACUUUUAGACGUCGAUGGGGUUAGGAUCUGCUAUACAAUUUUUUUGCGGGAUGAUAUGAAUUUGUCAUAACCUUGAUUUACCAAUAUCUUUUUUGUAAAGAGGAGUCAAAAGACUCGACUCAUUUAUUAAUUAAGAGAGAACUAAUACAGAGGGUAAUCAAUAGCUCAAAAAUAAAAAUGUUGUCCUAUCAUCAUCAAGUUACUCAAACGGUUCGCCCCUAUGGGAACCCAAAGCUUUGCGCCGUUAUUUAAAAUUUAAUAUGUGAUUUGCGGUGGCGUAGAUUUCUUUCGAAAGACCCUCAAGUUUCUCUCAUUCCGGAUUGACCAAGUGAUGAGCAUCACAAGGGACGCCAAUGCCUUGCUACCGGUGGUAGUUGAGUCCACCAAUCAUCUAUGGAGUGAUGAGCCGCCCAUUGGGAGGGGUCGAGGUUAUCGAGACCCGAGACCCAACCAAGCUUUGAUCAGCCUCCAAACACAUAUUUCAGGCAACUGGAAACAUGCAUUUUUUUUUUGAAAAGGAGGAAACACAUAUGAUGCAUGCACGUAUAGAAAAGGUGAACCUCCCAGAAACAAUGUACUAAUGGCCCCUCACGAAAAGAAAUCGCCCAGCGUGGCAGCGUGCCCUCUUCCCCCGUCCAUGCCGGAUAGCCCUCCGUGCCACCAACCGCGGCACCCCCGUACCCCUCGCGCGACGCGCACCAACCAGUUCCUACUUUUCCCACGUCGACCCAGUCCGGCUGCCACAAAGCCACCACCGCACCCACCAAUUCAGUGGUCAACCUCGCCGUCCAGGUCUACACCAACCCAUUGCCUCACACCGUACCUACUACUCGGCUGCGCCUGCGCUGCCUAUUUAUUCCCUCCCCUCCCUCCAUUCCCCUCCAAGAAGAGCCUCAGCUUCACCUGCAGCUACAGCUCCUCUUCAGCACACAGAUCAAUCCAGAUACACAUACAUCUGCCGACGUUUAGCUAGCUUACUUUCAGAAUCCAGAUACACACAUACACUUUUAGUACCUCGCUGCAUAUUCCAAUGGAAUGCGAGAAUGCACACAUUGCAGCCAACGGAGAUGGCUUGUGCGUGGCGCAGCCGGCGCGGGCCGACCCACUGAACUGGGGGAAGGCGGCGGAGGAGCUCUCGGGGAGCCAUUUGGAUGCGGUGAAGCGGAUGGUAAAAGAGUACCGUAAGCCGGUGGUGACCAUGGAGGGCGCCAGCCUGACCAUCGCCAUGGUCGCCGCGGUGGCUGCCGGCAGCGACACCAGGGUGGAGCUCGACGAGUCCGCCCGCAGCCGCGUCAAGGAGAGCAGCGACUGGGUCAUGAACAGCAUGAUGAACGGCACCGACAGCUACGGCGUCACCACCGGCUUCGGCGCCACCUCUCACCGGAGGACCAAGGAGGGCGGCGCUCUGCAGAGGGAGCUCAUUAGGUACGAAUUAAACCACGAACGAAUUAUAUUUCACAUGUUGAUCAUCUCUGUCUAUGAGUUAUGGAAGCCUUAUUUUUUUCGUGUGUUGUUUGCCUGUUCAGAUUCCUUAACGCGGGAGCCUUCGGCACCGGCACCGACGGCCACGUUCUACCUGCCGCGGCGACGAGGGCCGCGAUGCUCGUCCGAGUCAAUACCUUGCUCCAGGGAUAUUCAGGCAUCCGCUUCGAGAUCCUGGAGACGAUCGCCACACUUCUCAACGCCAACGUGACACCAUGCCUACCGCUUCGAGGCACGAUCACCGCGUCGGGUGACCUCGUCCCGCUUUCGUACAUCGCCGGCCUGGUCACCGGCCGCCCAAACUCCAUGGCGACGGCUCCAGAUGGUACGAAGGUUAAUGCUGCGAAGGCAUUUAAGAUCGCUGGCAUCCAGCACGGCUUCUUCGAGCUGCAGCCCAAGGAAGGCCUUGCCAUGGUGAAUGGUACGGCAGUGGGCUCAGGGCUUGCAUCCAUGGUGCUUUUCGAGGCCAACGUCCUUAGCCUCCUUGCUGAGGUCUUGUCGGCCGUCUUCUGUGAGGUCAUGAAUGGCAAGCCGGAGUACACCGACCACUUGACCCACAAGUUGAAGCACCACCCCGGGCAAAUUGAGGUUGCCGCCAUCAUGGAGCACAUCCUUGAAGGCAGCUCCUACAUGAUGCUCGCAAAGAAGCUCGGGGAGCUUGACCCACUGAUGAAGCCAAAGCAAGAUAGGUAUGCACUCCGCACGUCGCCGCAGUGGCUUGGCCCUCAGAUUGAAGUCAUCCGUGCUGCCACCAAGUCAAUCGAGCGGGAGAUCAAUUCCGUCAACGACAACCCACUCAUCGAUGUCUCGCGCGGCAAAGCUAUCCAUGGUGGCAACUUCCAGGGCACGCCCAUCGGUGUGUCCAUGGACAACACCAGGCUUGCCAUUGCUGCGAUCGGCAAGCUCAUGUUUGCCCAGUUCUCGGAGCUGGUGAACGACUUCUACAACAACGGUCUGCCUUCCAACCUCUCCGGCGGGCGCAACCCAAGCUUGGACUAUGGCUUCAAGGGUGCCGAGAUUGCCAUGGCCUCGUACUGCUCUGAGCUCCAAUUCUUGGGCAACCCUGUGACCAACCAUGUCCAGAGCGCGGAGCAACACAACCAAGAUGUCAACUCUCUUGGUCUCAUCUCCUCAAGGAAGACCGCAGAGGCCAUUGACAUAUUGAAGCUCAUGUCCUCGACAUUCUUGGUCGCGUUGUGCCAGGCUAUCGACCUUCGCCACCUCGAGGAGAAUGUCAAGAAUGCUGUCAAGAGCUGCGUGAAGACGGUGGCUAGGAAGACACUGAGCACUGAUAACAAUGGUCAUCUCCACAAGGCACGCUUCUGCGAGAAGGACCUUCUGCUCACAAUCGACCGUGAAGCCGUGUUCGCGUACGCAGAUGACCCCUGCAGCGCCAACUACCCCCUCAUGCAGAAGAUGCGUGCAGUUCUUGUGG